rnacentral:lncRNA from 1 species
AUAUGUUUGGCCUUUCCCUCUCUCCUUCCUUUCAUGAAAAUUAUAAUAUUAUGCAGCUGUAACACUUUUUUGAGCAUGGCUAGACGGAGAUGUGCCCCCUCUAUGGUUCCUUGUCCAAGGGAUGUAGUAUUCACUCCCUCAAACGGUAGUGUUUAACUUGGAGUUUUCCCACCUCAAAUGCUCCUCCAAAUUCUGGUAUCAACAGAGUUAACUGGUUACAAAUUGCCAAAGAAAAUACUAAUCAAUGGCUUUUCAGCUAAGAGAAACAUCAGUUGGUGGAAAGAUUUCUGGAUACGUUAGGCUACAUUGAAAAGGAAACCAUAUUAACUAUCAUUAGAAUGAACUUCAGACUGGUUAUGAUUGCAGCAUUUUCCUUUCUUCUUUUCACCUUACUAAUACUACUAUAUAAUCAAGAUUUUAUGAAAGUUAUUCAAGUAUUUGGAUACUCUUGGUAAGCAAAAUAUGAAUGAACUCAGUUUAGUUUUGCAAAUCCAGAAUGGAAGAACUAAGCGAUAGCGAUAUGAACUGAGUAUUGCGGAAGAUUAAGGUACUCUUAUUGCCUCAUUUAUAUACAGUUAUAGAGCUGAUUGCUGUUGCUGUUAACAAAUGCUACAAUUUGAGUACAGUACCAAAUCUGUUGGGAAGCAGGAGAUUUUAAAGAGAGUCCAAUUGGAAGACAAGAUACUUCAACUCACCAGCUCUGGGAGGAAGCCAUUAGCGAAGGAGCUUACUUUGGUUAGCCUGCUGUGCAUGUACGAUAGCAUAAUUUUAAAUAAAACUAUGUAGUUUUAAGUAAAAUUGCAUAGUUUUGAUAUAUACCAAAGUAAAAAAGCCAUACCACAGACUAAACCCUAAUUCUAUUCCCAUCUCAUCUCAAACUCACAGCAACUCUCUCAAAGCAUCCACCAGCCUCACAAACCUUCGUCUCAUCGCCAACCUUGCUGCCGUUCCCGUUGCUGCUAUUGCGGUCCCCGUUGCUGCAACCGUCGCCCUUGCUGCAGCCGUCGUCGCCCUAGCUGCAGUCGCCUCCACCCUUGCUGCCGUCGUUGUCAAGCCGCUGCCGUCGCUGCCGUCUUCUCAGGUAUUGUUGUUGUUAUAAUACACUUCUAUGGUGUUUUAGCAGAAUAAUAGACCCUGGCUUCUAUGGUAAUUUUCAUUUGAUUUUCUGGGCAUUAUGUCCACUUGAUGCUAAUUAACCCUGUCGUUUAGAAUCUAUUGGUUUGCAUGAUUAUCAUUUAUUAAUGAAAUUGCAGCACUUUGAACAUGCAAUUUUUUUAGCAUUCCCAUUCGUAUUUAGAACGGAUUUGAAAGUGUGCUGUUUAAGCGGGUUUGGAUUCGGAUAUUGGUGGACGGGUACCUUACCCGUUGCCAUCCCUACAUAUUAUCAUUUCUUACACUUAAUAUUUUCUUUUUUCUCUUUUUUCUUUUAUAUUUCUUUUAACUUGUUCUUUUUUAUUUUUAUUUUUUUUAAUUUAUGUAACUUUUUGUGUAUUCAAACAAGUCUUUACUUGUUAUUAUUAAGUUUGUUGUUCUUACUGUGGAGUUAUCAUUUUUUGGCAAAAUAUGACCAUUUUAUUGUUGAUUUUUACUAUUUUUAAUGCAUACUAAGUGCUACUUUCGUACAUUAUUUAAUGAGUAAAUGUUAAAUAUAAAAAAAGUCGAUAAGGUCAAAGUACCUAUUUCAAUUAUAUUAUUAUAUUUUAUUCUCUCACUUUUCUUGUAUUUUCUGUUUAUAGCAUAUUUUCUCAUUGUAAUUUAUCUAAAUUAUAACAUUAUUUCAUUUAAAGUAAAAUUAAAAUUGUUAUUUAAGAGACUAUAUAUAGCAAUUUAAUUGAACAUUUAAUUAAAAUAAAUUUUUAUUAUAUAUUUCUGUUAAAUAUAUAAUAUUCAUAAAUAAUAACUGUUUUUAUUUACUCACUAGAUGCAUAUUGCAAUUUACAUAAGAAUUCAAAUUUAAAUUUUAUUUUUUAUUUAAAAAUAAUAAUAAUUUGAGUACUAAAAAUAGUAAAUAUGCCAAAAAAAUAAAAGAUAAUUAUCAGUCAUAUACUUUUAUUUUGACAUAAAUAAUAAAUUAAAACUCUUAAGUUUGUCUUUUUGCAUUUUUAUUCCUAUGUGUUUAGAAACAACACCUUUUUAAUCCUGAUAUAUUUUUAAUGCUCUAUUAAAUGAUAAAAAUGACAUAGCAACCAUAUGAUUUUAUUAUAUUAUAUAGUAAAUUGGUCUUUAUUAUUUCGUACAGUAAAACAUUUUAAUCCUUAAUUAAAUGGACUCUUUGACUAAUAUUAAUUUAUUAAUAGAAGAUCUGUUUUGCUGAACGAUUUUAUAAAUAUAAAAAUGAAGAGUGCUGAAAAUAUGUACAAUAGGUAAGUUCAGAGGGAUAUUAAGUAGCCCUAUUUUUGUUUUCUUUUUUCGUUGAACUAAUACUGUAGUUUUAAUAAUUUUUUAAACAACCUUUCUACUUACCGAGGUAGCCAUUUCUAAUUCGUUCAUUAAUUGUGACCGCCAUAAACAAGAUCUUCUUUGCAAAUGUCCCAAUCUAACAAUUAUAUUAAAACGUUCUCAUCUUCAAUUAGUUUUCUUUCAAGGUAUUAAUUCAUUUUUAAUUGUUUCUGUUUCUUUCUGUAAAAUCUAUUUUGAUAAAUUGUAGAUUUUUUUUCUAAAAGAAUUUGUAUAUGGUUGUUGUUUUAACGGUCUGCUGCUUUGGGUUUUCCAGUAUUUUUAAGUUGGUUGUUUAUGAAUAGUAGAUUAGAGAUUAGGUGAAAUGAUAGCGGGAGGUGCAAGAGUCAGGCUAAACAGAUGGCAACAGGCAGCAGUUGCAGUGGGUUCAGCACUGGGUGCAUUGCUAGACCCAAGAAGAGCAGAUUUGAUAGCAGCUCUUGGAGAAACAACUGGGAAACCUGCUUUUGAGAGGGUUCUUCAGAGAAUGAAAAGUUCCCCUGAAGGCAGAGUCAGUUUCUUUCUUUCUUUCUUUAGAUUUCUUACUGUUUCUUAUAUCUAAGUAAUGUUCUUGAUUUGUUUAUGUUCUUAGAUAAAUUUUCUGUUAUAAGAAUGAUGUUACAUUUGGUAUUAUGGCUGUCUUGACAGAAUUAGGAAUUUAAAUGACUUCUGAACAAAAAAAAAACCCUUUCAAAAACUCUUGUAUAGCUAUCAAGUCUUUUGCUCGUUGUCCAUAUAUUGAGAUUCUUGAAACAUACAUCUGUAUUUUAUAACUCAAGAAAUCUACCUGGAUAUUGUAAUUAGACAUGUAAUUGGCAGUGGAAUGUUAGCAGUAUAUACAUCUCUUAUCUCUUGCAGAGUUUUAGUUAAAAAGCUUCAAAUGAUAAACUGCUAGUUAAUUAACAUCACUUCUAGUUAUUGAAGAAGUAGUAUUGCGUCAAAAUUUUCGAAUGAACGUUAUUAUUUUGCUUUAAUUCUCUGGUAGUUAUCAAGGUCUGUAUGCAUGUAUAUGUCCCCCUUUUCUCCUCCUCCAAAUUGCUAUGUUCUAAUGUUUCUCUUUUUUAAUAGGCAAUUGCUCAUCCUUUUUUAGACCAUUGUUGUUUUCUGUGAUCAAUAAACAAUAGAUUUCCAAUGGGUAAUUGGAAUUUGAGUGAGUACUGGCAGGUCUAAUAGAUUAAAUGUAUGUUAUACAUCAUUGUAGAGUUUUCCAUGUGAAUUUCUUGGAAAAAUUGAAUUGAUGAAGCACCUAGAAGUCUAGAUUAGUUGUAUAGAUACUUAUAUUAAUACCAGAGUUUUUGACUGCUUAAUUAAGUAUUUAGAUGUUCUGCAAGAUAUUUGAUGGGUUUAUAUCGAAGAGGAGCUUUUUUGUGCUAAACCUUUUAGAAACUUAGAAACCAAUUUCUUCCGAUAAAUGAAAUUAGCAUGAACACUAUGUUUCUGCAGAUCUAUGAAAGCAAAUCAUAUACACUUCAAUCAGCAAAACCACUAAAUUUAUUCUUUUGACAGGCAGUACUUUUGGACAGACCACGUGUUGUAUCUGCAAAUAUAGGAUAUGCAUGGGAUUUACCAGCUAACACAUUUGGUGCUGCCUACGCUAGAUUCAUGGGAUCCAGGAACUUUUCCCCGGAUGACCGUCCACUAGUGCGCUUCAUGGACACAGAUGAAUUGGCAUAUGUAGCCAUGCGGGCUCGUGAAGUGCAUGAUUUCUGGCAUACCUUAUUCGACCUCCCCACCAACCUAGUUGGUGAGUCAGCACUGAAGGUGAUAGAGUUUGAGCAAAUGUACCUUCCUAUGUGUAUAAUGUCUGUGGUAGGAGGCACAACAAGAUUCAACGAGAAGCAGAGAAAAUUGUUCUUACAGCAUUAUUUCCCAUGGGCAGUUCGAGCUGGAAUGCAGUGCACAGAUCUUAUGUGUGUAUAUUAUGAGAAGCACUUUCAUGAGGAUUUAGAUGAUGUCCGAAGGAAAUUGGGCAUUAUUCCUGCUCCAGCUGUUCCUAAACAAAAUGCAGCUUGAUUGGCAGUAGUUGCUAUUGGCUGGCUGAAGGGAGGCUGUGCCUCAUUUUGAGGAUUUACCUUACUAUGUUAUCCUGUUUGAAAUAUGUACAGACAGUUCUAUUUGCAAAUACCAAACAGUAUCUUCAUUUGGCAUAUCCCAUAUUAUUAUUCUCAUAUACAUAACUACAUAAUGUAAAUGGUUGGAACCUGGGUGUCAUUAGUUUCUCAAUCUGAUAAGAACCCUACUCGCUACAUGCAGAAGAAACUUUGCUUUCUGUAAUUUAACCUUUCAUUUGGUUAGCAUUCUCAUCUCAUCUCAAACUCACAUCAACCCUCUCAAAGCAUCAACCACCCUCACAAACCCUCGUCUCAUUGCCAACCUUGCUGCCAAUCCCGUUGCUGCCAUUGCCAUAGCCCUUGCUGCGGUCGCCAUCGCCCUAGCUGCAGUCCCCUUCACCCUUGCUGCUGUCUUUGUCAGCUGCUGCUCCAGUCUUCUCAGCCGUUGCUGCCAGGUAUUGUUGUUGUUUUAAUACACUUCUAUGGUGUUUUAGCAGAAUAACAGACCUUGGUUUCUAUGGUAGUUUUAUUUGAUUUUUUUGGCAAUAUGUCCACUUGAUGCCAAUUAACCCUGUUGAUUAGAAUCUAUGGGUUUGCAUGAUUAUCAUUUAUUAAUGAGAUUGCAGUACUUUGAACAUUUUUUCAGCAUAUUUUGAACUAGUUGGCCUUGAAGGCUCUUGUGAAUUUCCAUUAUGAAUUUGUUUGUUCUAGUGAGAUUAAGUUAUGGAGAAAGAAAUGAAUAUGAUUGUUAAGAAAAUACAUAAAGGUUGGUUGGACUAUACUUUGCAUAAGAGUUUCUCAGUUAACGCCAUUAAUUCAUGGAUUUUGAGGUGAUCCGUGACUGUUAAGUUCCACGUUUAUUUUUUUCUUGUUGUUGAGGUGGUUAUUAGGUUUCUUUCUUGAUAAUGCUUUGGGAGCUGUAGAAAUAGGGUGGUGCGAUCUCAGGAAUGAGAUUAUCAUGGUAUGAGUGGAGAUGGAAUUUUUGUAUAAUUAUUAAAAAUGCACUAGGAAAAUAUAAUGUGAAAGAAGCUUGUUUAGGAGUUAGGGUUAUUUUUCUAUUUGAUAUUACUAUUUAAGAUAUAUUUAACUGUAAUUUGUUGAUGUACAAGUUAUAAUAAAUAUUGUAUCUUAUUUAGGGUAUUAUUUUAAAUUUUAUUAAUUUUAUACUUGGUUGUAUUAAUAUAUUGAAUACAUAAUGUUGGAUACUUAGAUUUGACUAGUUUAUAUAUUAUAAUUUUUUUUCAUUAACUUUUGUUAAUAUAUUUUAAAAUUAAAUUAUAGUAAACAAGUUUGGUAAAUAUGUACUCAUUUAAUUACCCAAAUAUUCAUAUAAACAGGUUUUAACGGGUAGGGUACCUGCUACUUGUUUAUAUAUCCAUAAAAUUUAUUUAAUAGUCAUUUAAUUUUAAUUUAAACGGGUUUUAAUCGGGUUCGGAUAGUAUGUGGGUAUUCCUAUUCGGAUCUGGGAUGGGUUCGGGUAAUAAAAAUAAUUUUUUAAAUGGAUUUGAGACGGAUUUGGAUAAUAUGUUAUUUAAACGGGUUCGGGUUCGGAUAUUGAUAAAUGGGCGGGUACUUUAUUCGUUGCCAUUCCUACAUAUAAUUAUAGACUAAGAAGAGCUCUCCCCGUCCUCUGCGGUAGCUGAUAACACAAUAAUAUAUGCAUUUUAUAUGAUAUAUAUAUACAUUAUUUUUCAUAUUAUCUUUGCAUAUUUAAUCUUUUAGAGCUAUUAUUCGUUGUUUUUGAUAUUUUUCUCAUCGGGUUCGUUUUGUUUUAUUUUUGUAGAAAUUGGCUCGAGUUGCUAGGCGUUGGCGAGGAUGUUUGUAGAUUCGUUCAUGGUCAAGCACGAUAUCAAAGAGAUACUCAUGCCUAGGAGGAUCUUAUAUCGCGAGACAAGUAAUAGAAGCUAUCCCGCAGCCACUACGCGACUUGGCUUUCAAGGCCAACGAUAAAGCAAAGAAACAGUCCACUCCGCCCCCUGCUCACUGCCUGCCCAUGGCUGGAUCUGCAAAAUUGCAUUUUGGACACCUGUCUAGUCGAAUUUUUAGGGUGAAAAUCUAGCCAAACUCAUGGAUAUCCUAUGAUAUAAAUAGAUGGUGAAAAGAACCUGAAAGGGGAGCCCCCCCUUCUCCUUUUCUCUUUAGUUUUAGGCUGUGUUUUCUUUCUCUAUUGUAUGUUACUUUUUUUUGUGCUUUGAAGAUUUAUUAAAGACCUCAUCAUUCAAUUAUCAAUCCAAGUAUUUUCCUUUUCUUUUUUAAGUUGUUAUUAUGUUUUCUUUUAUAAUCUAUUUUGUUUAUUUAACUAUCAUCAGUGAGUAGUUUUCUAAUCCAGGGUUAAGUGAAUUCUAGCCAUGAUUGAUGUAUGAUUUGUUCCUUUAAUUCUCCAAAUUAAUUAUUUAAUUGCUCUUGCUUAAUUGAUUGUGCAUAUUCCAAUACUAGAUUAUGGAUAAUUAGUAUUGUUAUGAUUCUAUUGCCUUUAUCACAACGGGACAGAUUUGAAUAUUUCAAUUAAGGGCAUGAAAUUCUCUAUGGGAGUAGGUAGAAUGGAUUGUUAGAAAAUUAGAGUAUUGAGUUUAAUGUCUUUAAUUUGCAUGAUUCCACGAGAGUAGAUUUUGAUUGCAUAUUAGGAAAGCCUUUAAUACUCGGGAGAGAUCUAUGGUAUUUUAUAGGGUUUACUUUUCCUUAUGAACAUUUAUUUAAUUAGUUUGGGGUAGGAACUUAUCUUUGCAUUAAUUAUGCUAGUGGGGAUACUUAACUCUAAGUGUUUUUUAUCCUUGAAUUUAUUCUCAUUAUUAUUAAUUGCAUUAAUUAGACUUAGAUUAAUUCUUCCUCAAUGGUUGAUUUGGUUACUUAGCAUUAAUUAAAGUCAAGAUUAGCUAGUUCUUACUACUUCAGUCUCUAGGGAUUCGACCCUUGCUUGCCCGACUACAUAGUUAGGAGGUCUAGUUAAGUUAUAUUUAAUAGGCACGCGACAGCCUUGUUAGUAGCCUAAGAGCUGCACUAAGUUCCUGUGCCUCAACCUUGCCAUGCUGAUAAUCUCAGCUACAAAUUCUUUCAUCCCUUUUUUUGAAUCAUGUGAGACUUUCUUCACUGCAACUUGAACAUUGGAAGAAGGGAGUACUCCUCUAGAUACUUUUCCAAAGCUUCCAGCUCCAAAAAAUUCAUCGUCUUUGAAGCCUUUAGUUGCUUUGCAUAGAUUCUUGUAGGAGAACCUUUAAGGACCCUAUUCCUUUUUGCAAUCUUCAUGUAUUUCUUUAUAUUCUUCUUCCUUAUAAUGAAAAUGCCAAUAAUAAUUGUUAUCAGAACUACCAUUACUGCUGCGAGUAAAACUAUAAUUAAUGCUGCUGGUUUUUUCUUUCUUUCCUGAAUUAGGGAAGUGAAGGGCUUUGAAAUGUCAAGGUUUUGUGCUCUUCCAGCUUUAUUGAAGCUCCAUCCAAGAAUAUAAUGGCCACAUGGAAGCAUACCAAUUGCUGUUAUGCAUGCAAAUAAAGGGGCUAAUGCCUUGUAUGUUGGCUAUAUUCUAACCAAUAUCUCUUUUGCAAUCAUGAAGCUAUCUUAUCACCAUCUCUUCUUUUAAAUGUGUCAACUUGUUUGAAAUGAUGGCUGGAAGUGUAUCAUUUUUUUCCAAGUACACAUACUUCAAAAUGGCCAGGUAAAGUUUUCAAUUCUACUUUUGGUGCAUGCAUCGCAAAAGGCAAUAUAUUUUUUUAUGAAUAUCAAAUUUCUUAACUUCAUACCUCUUUAAAGCCGAUGGCAAUAAUUGUAAAGCCAUAAUUGCUUCUUCUACUUCAAGACUUAACUCGAGUUCAUUCUCAAUUUGCAUCAAGCUUUGACUAAGCACCACUUUAAGCUCAUCUUCUCCAUUCAAAUUAAAAGUAUCCUACACCAACUAGACCUGUUCAUGGACUUGGAUAUCCGCCCAAGCCUGCCCAAGAAUUUCUGGGCUUGGACACCUCUUUUUUUAUGUUAAGCCCACCUAAGCCGGAACCGGGCAAAGCCUGCUUAUUUUUUAGACAGGCUUGAAAAUAUCAUUUCUUUAGAGCCCACCAACAAGCCUGACCUGACUCAGAAAUCAUAAAGAAAACUAUAGUAUAUUUUUUAUGAUGGCCGAGCUUGGUUAAAAGUUUAGGCCCGCAUAGCCAGGCUGGGCCGCGCUUGGACCUGGACUUGAAAACUUCAAGCCCGACCCGAGAUUUAAAUAGGUCUAGCGCCAACUGAUCAAUAACAUCAAUAAAGUAAAUAGUUAGAUCUUAUGCAGGAUAUUUCAUAGCAUCAAAGAUAUUAAAUUUAACAAUCUCGCCAUCAAAUUCCAUGGUGCGUAUACCAUGCUCCACAUUAAUUUUUGUUUUAGCUGUCUUGAGAAAGAAUUGCUCUAAUAAGAUUGGUGUUGAACUAGAUAAAUCAAUGUCUUCCAUUCUUAAAGUAUAAAAAUCGAUUGGGAAGACUAACUUUUUAACCUGCAAGGCUAAGGAUUUAUCUAAGGUAGGUGAAAGAAGUGCAUGCUAAAGUUAGAAGGACAUCGUGUGAGAAGAAGUAGAGAAAACGUCAAGAUGUUAUUGCUAGUUCUGUGAUGUAUUAGUGUCCAUUAAGGCUAUUGGUGACGUUGGUUGUGUUUUAUUAUUAUUGUUGUUGAUUUUUAUUUUUAUUGUUACUGUUGUUAUUUUUUUAUUUUGCUGCUAUUGAUUUAUUUUUUCAUUGAUGUUGUUAUUUGGUUCAAUAAAGAGAAGAGUAUGAUGGUUCUUAUAGAGAUGAUAUUCGCAACGAUGGCAGAUAGAAAAUAAAGAAGGUGGAGGAAGAUGAUGGUGGUUGGGGCGAUGGCUGAAGAGCUGGCGGUGGAGCAGUGACGAUUUUAUUUGGGGCCAAUGGGGGCUGUUGCCCUCCUCAAUCCCAAAAUUACAAUACCUUUAGUUUUUUUUUUAAAAUUUAAUUUUUAUUUAUUAUCCUCACUAAUAUUUAUAAUUAUUUUUAUUUUUAAAAUCUUCAUAAGUUUAUCUUUGAUUUUUUUAAUUUUUAAUUUUUAAUUUUUAGUUUCUAUUAAUUUUUCUUAUUUUGUACAAUAUUGAUAAAAUUGUCUUUAAUCUUUAUUAUUUUUUUAUAUUUUUCUUUAGUUUAUGUUAGUUCUUUUUACUCCACUGAUUAAAUUUGCUAGAAUCGCCACUGUGGUGGAGGAAGAUGAUAGUGGCUGUGGUGGUGGUGGUGGAGGAAGAGCUGGCAAUGGCGAUGGAUUACGAGCUAGUAGCGACGAUGAAUGAAGAGCUAGCGACGACGAUAGAGAUGGAGAUGGCGGUAUUUGGGACGAUGGUGCUCUCUUCUUUUUCAAUUAUUUUCUCUGAUUCUGUAAAAAGAAUCGAAAGAAAUUAUGUAAUUAUUUUAUUGAAUUCUUUUUAUUUUUUUUAUAUAUUUGUAAUAUCAAUCAAAUUAUCUAUGAUUCGAUUCUUUUUAUACAAGUUUAUAUAGAAAUUAUUUUCAUUAUUUUAGAAAAAAAUUCUCAUCAAGAAAUAAAAAAAAUAAAAAAAUUAAAAGUAGUAUUAUUUUAUAUUUUUUAAUAUAGCUUACUUUCCCACAAAUGUGUGUAAAGACUACUCUCUUAAAUUUGAAAUAAACUGACCAAUUUAUCAAAUGUGUGAAGUAAUUAGGCCAAAAAACUGAUUUUAGGGUGAUUUAAACCUACCAAAUAAAUCCAGAGAGCAAAUUGCUACUUAAACCUUGCUCGAUAUAUAUAUAUGGGGUUAUGAUUUGCCGUUUGAAUAGGUAAAGGUUCCAACUUCCGGUUUUAAAGAGAAUUUCCAAAAAUAUUAAUAUUUGGAGUAAUUAUGACUUCCCUACUAAAUUUUUCAUUAUUGUAUUCCUAAUAUUUCAUCACUUUCUAUUGUAAUGUUGUUUGGGUAGCAUAUAAUUCUUAUAUUCAUUGUAUUAAUAAAAUCUAAAAUAUUUAAAAUUUUAUUGAAAAAGACAUUUAAAAGUAUUUUAAAUUAUUAUUAUUUUAUAAAACAUGAUAAAUAAUUUUAAAAUAUUAAAAUACAUAUCAACUAAUUUUAUGUUAUUAUUUAUGGUUAAAGUAUAACAAACUCCUAACAUUAGCAAUAGAUAACCCAAAACUAACAUAAUUUUUUUAAUAGGUACAAUCAGGAACCUAAGGAUGCCCUUUUAGUACGUAAUAAAUUUUUACAGAAACAUCUGAAAUAUUUACAGCAUAUUCCUCAAGGUUCAGCUUCGCCAAUUUCACGGCAUCAAAUUGGUGGAACCAAUUCCAAGCUUGCAACUGUAGGCCAAACAUGAACAGUCCCUCCGUGGUUUAAGGAAUGCUUACCUCCUAUGUCGUGAAAUUGUGCAGAUUCAGCGACCAGUGCUGAGGACUGAGGCAGUGAUAGACAAACUAGAGUACUCGUAAGAUGCUACAGAUGAUAAAAUGCAAUCCUCAGCUUCAUUCUGGUUAACUAGGACCAACCCUGUACGAGGACUAUUCAGUGGUAUAUCUGGUAAGUCGGCCUUUCCAUCUAGAUAUUGCAUCACUUGCCUCAUAGUAGGCCUGACUGCUGGCGCAGGGUGAGCACAAAGCAGGCCUAGCUUCAAAACAAAUUCCAUUUCCUCCGCCAUAUACUUACCUUGCAAUUCAGGAUCGCUUGUGUCAAGAAUGACACCUUUUUUCCAACAUUCAAGAACCCAGUCUACCAGAAUCACUUCCCUGGGGGGUCUUUCUGGCUCUAUAGUCUUCCUUCCACAAGCCACUUCCAGUAUAAGUGUUCCAAAAGCAAAAACAUCACUGCUGGUUGUGAACCUGCCAGUUCUUGAAAUCUCUGGUGCAAGAUAUCCUAUAGUUCCAACAACACGUGUUGUUUGUGGAAGUGAUCCAUGAUCAUAGAAUUUAGCUAAUCCAAAGUCUCCUAACCUUCCUUUAAGUUCAGCAUCUAACAUAACGUUGCUAGCUUUCACAUCUCUGUGUAGAACAACUUGAUCCCACUCUUCAUGGAGGUAAAGAAGAGCAGAUGCAACUCCUUUCAGGAUCUGAAGUCGUUGAACCCAAUUCAGGUUUAGUGUAUCAUUCUGAAAUAGGAAUCUGUCAAGGCUCCCAUUUGGCAUAUAAUCAUAUACCAAGAGCAGCUCUCUCUUUCGCCUGCAAUAGCCUAGAAGCUGAACCAGAUUCCUAUGUCGUAGCCUGCCCAUGCUGGCAAUUUCAGCUACAAAUUCCUUCAUUCCUUGUUGGGAACCAUGGGAAAACUGCUUGACUGCAACUUGUGUAUUGGAAGAAGGUAAAACUCCUUUAUAAACCUUUCCAAAACCCCCAGAUCCCAGAAGUUCUUUGUCUUGGAAUCCUUUUGUUGCUCUGUAGAGAUCUCUGUAAGAGAAUCUUUGCGGGCCAUAUUCUUGUUCCCAAUCUUCAUGCAAUUCUUCAUAUUUCUUCCUCUUUAUAUAGACAGCUCCAAAGAUUGUGAUUAGAACAAUACUUGCUGUUAUCAACGGGAUCAUAAUUCUUAAAUUUGGUUUUUUACCUGAUUUUGGUUUCGGUGGAAGGGAAGGAAGCUUUGACAUAUCAAGACUUUGUGCGGGCCCACUUCUGUUGAAGCUCCAACCAAGAAUAUAAUGAUAGCUUGCCAUAGAUCCUGUAGAUGAAGAAAAACCAACAUACAUAGAAUCCAAGAGUACUAUAGAAAGAUCAAUAGUUGUUGACAAGAGAGGCUUUUCUGGCUUCUUGCUUGUUAUAGGCGCUAGUGUUACAUUCAGUAACUUCUCCACAGCAUCAUAAUCUAUCCACACCUGCAUUGGACUUCUACUUAUGAGCUCUAAGCUCUUGUUUUGAUUGUCUGAAAAGUAUGUUGCUGAGGCUGAUGCAUUAGAUAUCAAGCCAUUCACAUCAAUCCCAACAUGGUUGUCAUUGAUGUCUCUAAAAUCAGGAGUCCAUAUAGUGUCAAGCUCAACAGCAAAGACAUGGUUUGAGUCCCGGCCAUUGGUUGAUGAAUUAAAGAGUCCCAAGUAUUGUAUCCCCAGAGCCCCUAUAAACUCCACAGUUGGAGAUAUAGUAAAAACAAGCCCAUGGCCCCCAAGAGUAGGAAUCUCAGGAUCAAUGGCAAAAACGAAACUGGUAGAAAAUGAGAGAGACUCAGCAUUUUUGGGUGAAGACUUAUCGAACUUGAGAGGGAACGGAAAGAAAGCACGGCCAAUUUGGUAGUAUGAAAUGUUUGUUAACUCCAAUAGGCCAUUGGGGUGAAUUUUUGCAAUCCCGUUGAGAUUCAGGUUGGAUUCGUUGAAGCCAUGGUAGAUGAACUGGUUUCUAUCUUGAGCAAAUCCUGAGUGUUUCAAGAAAACAGAAUUGAGAAGUACAAUAAGCAGCAACCUGAACACUGAAAACAUGGGGGGAAGCAAAGGUAAUCGGCUUGCUCAAUUAAUCAAAAACUUCUGUUGUGAGUUCAGAUCAUAGGCUGAAAUACUUGUCAAAGCUGUGUCGAAGGUAAUUAUACAUUUUCUUUAAGUUAUUGCAGUUUAAGCAAGAAGUAUUAACCAAUUCAUCCAUUAUUCAUGCUGGAUCCUAGUCAAGGGUCAAAAACUAUGAAUAUAGAAUGCCCACUUGAACAACAACUAUAUCUUAAUAAGUAGCAGAAGUUGACUGCUAUCAUCUAUCUUAUUAAAUUAAUGAUGGAAUGAUAUUCUUAUUUAUUGGUGACUGAAAUUUAAGAUAUCCCAUGUUUGAUUCCAAAAUUUAUUUUUUCUUAUUCACUACCAUCCAAUUUCGUUAGCUGUAAGCUGUAGAAGCAAUCAGGAGACUUUUGGGAAUUCAUUGACUUAACUAACUUCGUUAUAUGUUACUGAUAGUAUAUAAUAACAAUGGUCAAUAUACUGAUAAUAACGUAAAGUAAUAGUCAGUGGAUAGCUGCACUGAAUGAGCCUGUUAAAGUAAGUCAAAAUCUUAAUAUGCUGCUACUCUGAAUCCCCUGAUUCUGUAAGAAAUUUAGACCAGGAGUUAAAAGUUAAAACCAGAGUAAUUUUGUUUAAUUUCAUCAGGAGACCUCCCAUUACUACUUUCUUUCUCAUAAUUACAUUUAGCUGCAUACAUUUGUUAAAACAGAACCAUGCAUGUGCAUUUGCAUUACAGCCUGCAUAAGCUGCAGCAUGGAAGUAAGAUGGAUGUUGCUCAUAUCCCAUUGAUCUUAGGAUCCAAUUCCAUCUCCAAUUCAAACCCUUUAAAUAUUCAAGUAGCCUAUGACUUGUGCAAUUACAUUGGUGAACUACACUAAGAUCUUCUAAACCUGCUUGAACAUUCUGUUAUUCAUUUCUAUUGUCCUGUACACCAACCUUUGGUUUGCUAGUCUGCUAGCAAUUUAUCAGAAUCCCAUAUCAGCAAGCAAGAGAACUAAACAGGUAUUGUAUCCUGUAUCUGAUUCCAAAAUAUAUUGUCUUAUUUACUGUCAUCUAAUCUCAUGAAAUUAAUGUGGAAUAGACAGGAGGAAAUUGGAGAAUUCUUUUGGGAAUCAUUUGACUUGAUUAACUUUAGAAAAGAAAGCACUGGUAACAUAUAAUAAUAGCUAGUUGGUAACUGCUCUGAAUGAGCUGUUAGACUAGAUAAAAUUGUCAGUAUGAGACCUUGAUUCCACUGAAUCAGUAAUUAAGUUAGACCACCAAAUUAUAUUUAUUAAAACCUGCAAUUAAACUUUCUAAACUUAUAUUAUAAUUAUUUUAAUAGUAAAUUAAUCACAAUAAAAUAAAAGUAGAAACUUUCUUUUUUUUUUUUAAAAAAAAAAAAGACAGUGAGAAAAAAAAAGAAUGUAACAAGGAUGGAUUUUUUAAAAGUCAUAGUAAAAGGACUAAAAGAGCAGUAAAUAGAUAUUAAAAAAGUUUAAUGAUAUUUUCUUCUAUAUUAGUUGGCAUGUUAGUUUAAAUUUAUUAAUAAUAAAAUAAGAAUGAGUUUUAAAUUCAGAAAUAUUUCAAAAUUUUUAUCUGUAUAAUAUAUAAAUUAAAUCUAUAAUAAAAUAUAACAAUAAAACUUAUUUUUAUAUAUGUAUAUUUUGAUGUAAUAAUUAAUCUAAUAAUAAAAAAUUGAAAAAUUAAAAAAAUUCACUUUAAAGCAAUUAUUCUAUUAAUGAAAUAUUAUAAUAAAAAAAUAAUUAUUAUGAACACUUAAACUAAUAUAUCAAUAGAAUAAAACUAAAAUUAUUUCAUCGUUUCUUUUUUAUCUCUUGUCUUUAUUUUUUAUUAAAAUUUAGUAUGAAACUAUUCGGACUUAUAUAUAUAUAUUGUAAAAUUAUAAUUCAUGAGAUACUUAUAUAAUUAAGGACAUAUUAAAUUAAAUUAAUUAUGUAUAAAAUUACAUAAAUUAAAAUUAAAUUAUUAAUUUUAGAUGUUUUAAUUAGUCCAAAAAUUUCUUAAAGUUAAUUAAUAAUUAAUCUAUUUCCAACCUAAUUCUAUCAUAAUUGUAUUAAGAGUUAUCACUUGUACAUUUUUCUUUUAAAAUUCAAAUAAUUGACUAAAGAAAUUGAAGCAAUGAAAUAGCCAAAUUUAAAAAAUGUAAAUAUUGAUAGGAUAUAUUAGGAAUACUAUUCUAAAUAGAAAAUUAUAAAAGUCAAAAUAAUAGAAAAAGGAAAUUAUGGUGUAAUAAGUAUAAGGAUUAGUAUGUAAUUGUUAAUAAUACUUAGAAGUCAUGUUAAAUUAUUAAUAGAUGUUGUUAUAAGAUAGUAGGUAAUUUAACAAUGGUGUGAAAAUGAGUAUAUUACUUGAUUGAAACAGAAUCUAGAAACCUUAUAACAAAAAGGUCUCCAGAAAUCAUAAUCAAUCUAUCCAUUUCUGUGUAAUUACUAUUCUCCAUUAUCAAUACCAGAAAACUCACAAGUGUAGAUGAUAUGUCUACAAAGAAAUUUAAUGAAGUCUCAAUCUAAAAGAACUUGUCAACUAAGGAACCCUUAUGCUUGCAAAUGGUAACAAAGACCCAAAACCUUGUAUAUUCAUUGGCUGGUUCAAUUGGUGUUUCUUUUUUUUUUUUUUUAAAAAAAAAAAGAAAACAAAAUGAAUUACAAUAAACUGGUCCUAUUGAGUUGUAAGAAAUAUAUAAAAACAUAUAAAAUAAAUGCAAAAACACCCAAUCAACUUUGAGUUUUCAAAAAUAUUGUUGAUUUUUAAGAUGAUGCAUUAUAUUAUUGUUUUGAGUAUAUGAAUUCUGAUUUUACAGUUUGGUUGUUCUUGUUUAUAUAUACAAUGGUUGCAAUGAUAGCUUAAUCUAUAUAACGGCUGCCUUGAGACCUAUUUCUAACGUCUCAUUCUGAUUCAGGAAAAAUUGAAGUGGCCUUUUCCUUUGGCAUGGAUGGUUGCUCCCUUUCCUGGAAGUCUGUGAGGAAUAACCCUGCACGGGCUUUUCUGCUUGUGCAGUGUCUGAGACUUCCCUAUGAUCUUCUUCUUCUAUCCUUUUCUUUCUAUUGCAUUUAACACUUAAACUAAUAUAUCAAUAGAAUAAAACUAAAAUUAUUUCAUCGUUUCUUUUUUAUCUCUUGUCUUUAUUUUUUAUUAAAAUUUAGUAUGAAACUUUUCAGACUUAUAUAUAUAUAUAUAUAUAUAUAUAUAUAUAUUGUAAAAUUAUAAUUCAUGAAAUACUUAUAUAAUUAAGGACAUAUUAAAUUAAAUUAAUUAUGUAUAAAAUUACAUAAAUUAAAAUUAAAUUAUUAAUUUUAGAUGUUUUAAUUAGUCCAAAAAUUUCUUAAAGUUAAUUAAUAAUUAAUCUAUUUCCAACCUAAUUCUAUCAUAAUUGUAUUAAGAGUUAUCACUUGUACAUUUUUCUUUUAAAAUUCAAAUAAUUGACUAAAGAAAUUGAAGCAAUAAAAUAGCCAAAUUUAAAAAAUGUAAAUAUUGAUAGGAUAUAUUAGGAAUACUAUUCUAAAUAGAAAAUUAUAAAAGUCAUAAUAAUAGAAAAAGGAAAUUAUGGUGUAAUAAGUAUAAGGAUUAGUAUGUAAUUGUUAAUAAUACUUAGAAGUCAUGUUAAAUUAUUAAUAGAUGUUGUUAUAAGAUAAUAGGUAAUUUAACAAUGGUGUGAAAAUGAGUAUAUUACUUGAUUGAAACAGAAUCUAGAAACCUUAUAACAAAAAGGUCUCCAGAAAUCAUAAUCAAUCUAUCCAUUUCUGUGUAAUUACUAUUCUCCAUUAUCAAUACCAGAAAACUCACAAGUGUAGAUGAUAUGUCUACAAAGAANNNGAGUUGUAGAAUAUAUAAAAACAUAUAAAAUAAAUGCAAAAACACCCAAUCAACUUUGAGUUUUCAAAAAUAUUGUUGAUUUUUAAGAUGAUACAUUAUAUUAUUGUUUUGAGUAUAUGAAUUCUGAUUUUACAGUUUGGUUGUUCUUGUUUAUAUAUACAAUGGUUACAAUGAUAGCCUAAUCUAUAUAACGGCUCCCUUGAGACCUAUUUCUAACGUCCCAUUCUGAUUCAGGAAAGGUUGAAGUGGCAUUUCCCUUUGGCAGGAAUGGUUGCUCCCUUUCUUGGAAGUCUGUAAGGAAUAACCCUGCACAGGCUUUUCUGCUUGUGCAGUGUCUGAGACUUCCUUGUGAUCUUCUUCUUCUAUGCUUUUCUUUCUACUGCUUUCAACACUCCCCCUCAAGGUGGGUUCGUAGAGGUUGAUGGAAUCCAUCUUGCUGAGAAUGGCUUGAUGAUUAUUUUUGUUGAGAGCUUUCAUAAAUAUGUCGGCUAGCUAAUCAUAACUUCUGACAAAUGGUGUUUCAAUUUGUCAUGAUUAUACUUUUUCUCUGGUGAAGUGGCAAUCAACUUCGAUGUGUUUAGUACGUUCAUGAAAUACUAGGUUGGAUGCAAUGUGUCGGGCCGCCUGAUUGUCACAAUACAUCUGCAUAGGUCCUCUACAUUCUAUUUUCAUGUCGAGGAUACUUGCUUGAUCCAAGUGAGUUCACUUGCUCUAGAUGCCAUGGCUCGAUAUUCUACCUCUGCGCUUGAUCUUGCCACUACGCUUUAUUUUUUUUUUACUUUUCCAUGUUACUAAGUUUCCUCCUACGAAGGUGCAGAAUCCUAUCGUUGACUUUUUGUCACUGCCUCCUGCCCAAUCUGUAUCAGAAUAGCUAAUUAUAGUGUUAGAGUUAUUUUUUUUCAUUCAGAUUCCUUGCCCUCGGGUUCCCUUGAGAUACCUAAAUAUCCUAUCAAUGGCCUCUAGAUGACUAGUGCGAGGAGCAUGCAUAAACUGGCUUACCAUACUUACUGCGUAAGAAAUAUCGGGUCUAGUGACAGUUAGAUAGAUCAACUUUCCUACUAGGUGUUGAUAAUGUCCUAUGUUAUCUAACGGAUCACCAUCCUCCAAAUUAAGUUUAACAUUAGUUUCCAUUUGAGUGUUCGUAGGUUUAGCUCCUAGUUUUCCAAUUUCUUUUAAAAGGUCGAGUACAUACUUUCUUUGGGAUAAAAACAAGCUUUUAUGUGAUUUGGCUAUUCUAUUCCAAGAAAGUAUGAUAGUUGACCUAGAUCAUUGAUAUCAAAUUCCCUUUUUAAUUUUUGUUUAACUUUUUCAAUUUCUUCAUUAUCGUUACCGGUUAUGAUGAUAUCAUCCACGUAUACAAAAAUAAUGAUGAUGCACAUGUGAGUGUGUUUGACAAACAUAGAAGAAUCUGAAGUGCAUUUAUUGAAAUUGAUAUUUAAGAGGAAAAGGCUUAGCUUAGCAUAUCUCUUGGAGAUUGCUUUAGUCCAUAAUUGCCUUUUUCAGUUUACAUACCAAAGAAGGGUUUGAUGUGAACCUGUGACCUGGAGGGAGGGUCAUAUAGAGUUCCUUCUUCUAGAGUCCCUUGGAGAAAUGCAUUUUUAACGUCCAUUUGAAAUAGAUUCCAUCCUGAGUUAGUAGCAACAGAAAAUAGAAUGCAAACAGUAUUCAUUUUUGCUACUGGUGCAAAAGUUUCCUGGUAGUCAACGCUAUAGGUUUGUGUAAACCCUUUGGCUACUAAUAUGGCCUUGUAUCUCUCAACUGAUCCGUCACAAUUAAAUUUUAUUUUGUAUACCCUCCUACAGUUUUUUCUCUGUGGUGGUAGGGGAACAAUAUCCCAAGUGCUAUUCUUCUUUAAGGUAUAAAGUUCUUCUUUCAUGGCCUUGUACCACUUGGGGUCAGUGUUUGCAUCAUAAAAGGAUGUGGGUUCUGUGUGUGCCAUAAUGUCUCCUAGAUAGGCUUGAUACUGAUGUGACAUUGAAUCAUAAGUGAUGAAUUAUUGAAUUGGAUAUGAUAUCUUAUGGGAUACAUAGUCCUUUAACCUGAAAGGAGGCCUGGUUGGUCGAGUGGAUCUUCUUAAGGUAAUUUCUUCCUGAGGAGGUUUGAUUUCUUUGCUGCUUGUCACAUUCUCUCCCCUGAAGGAAUUGUCCUUAAGUUGAGAUGUUGCUCCCCCUCUGGGUGAUUGUCCUGAUUGGGAUUGCUGUUAUUAGAGAAAACAGGGUUAUCCGGAAAUAGUAAUGUGUGUGGCCCAUAAGUGUGGUUGGAAGUAGUACUAUGAUGGUCAUUCUCCUUAUAAUAAGGUUCAUGUUCUAGAAAUGAUACGUCCCUGGAAACAUAAGUUUUAUGAGUGAGGGGAUCAUAGCAUUUAUACCCCUUUUUUUUCCUACAGAGUAUCCUAAAAAUAGGAUUUUGGCGGAGCUUUUUAUCAAUUUUGUUAAGUCUUUUAAGAUGGACAUAAGCAGUGCAGCCAAAGACUCGAAUGUGUCCUAACUCGAUUUUUCUUCCUUUGAGGAUUUCUAAAGGACUGAGGUAUUUUAAUUUGGCACUGGGUAACCUGUUGAAAAGGUAGGUGGCAGUGAUGGGUGCAUCAGACCAGUAGGUAGAAUGGAUAUUAUUUUGAAAAAGUAGGGUACGGGUGACUUCAAAAAGGUGUCUGUUUUUCCUUUCUGAGACCCCAUUUUGUUCCGGAAUAUUGAUGCAAAUAGUUUGAUGAAGGAUGCCUUCCUUUUUAAAAAAUUCUAAAAGAUUUUGGUUUAUGUGUUCAAUGCCAUUGUCAGAACGAAAUUUUUUGAUUUUUCCGGUGUAUUGAUUUUUAAUAAAGUUAAGAAAAAAUUUGAAAGCAUGUAAACACCUUAUUUUUCCUUUUUAACAAAUAGAUCCAAGUAGUACGAGUAUAAUCGUCAAUAAAUGUGACAAAGUAUCGAAAAUGAUUAUAAGAUAUAAUAGGUGCAGGUCCCCAAACAUCAUAAUGAAUUAAUUCAAAUCUUUUUUCAGAAACACGGGAAGAUAUUGAAAAAGGAAGACGAAUGUGUUUGGAAAAUUUGCAAGUAUCACAAUGAUUGGAAUUAAAUUACAAUAAAAAAGUUUGUUCAAGACGUGGUCGGAGGGAUGCCCAAAACGCAAGUGCAUUAGCAUGCCUUGAUCGACUAAUCUUGUCGACACAAGACAUUGAUUGGUGGAAUCCUUUAGAUAGGAUAGUCCAUUGUUAUAAUGUCUCUCACCAAUCGUCUUCACUGUAGUUCGGUCCUGAAACAUUAUUGAAGAUGGUAAAAAAAUAACAUUGCAAUUUAAAUCAUUAGUUAUUGUACCAAUUGACAAUAAAUUGGACUUGAAGUCAGGUAAGAACAUAACAUUUUUUAGAGAUUUAUUAAGUAGUGUAGUAGUGCCACUACCUUGAAUUUGGAUUUUGUUUCCAUUAGCAACUGUCACAUGUUGGAAAUUUUUAGCGGGAUGGAAAUUUUGCAAUUUCAUGUGAUCAUAAGCACUAGAAUCAAUAACCCAAUCAUUUUGGCAUGUUUUUAAAUAUGGUGGUACAAAAUUAAAUGAAUUAGAUACGGAACCUGACCCAUUGGGUUGUUGAUGUUGAACCAGGGCUUAGAUUUGGGACAGUAAUUGAUUUAGCUGGACCGUGACUGCUGGGUCGGGUCCCUAUCGGAGUCGGGUCGGGUUGGGGUUGGAUCCGGAUUGAAAUCGGGUCGGGUCAGCUGGGUCGGAGUCGGGUCGGGUUUGCUCAUAACCCUCAGACCUGUUAUAAGCACCCGAUCCGCUGCUUCUCAAAUUUAACCUUUCAUUAGGGUUUUCUCUUCUACUUUUUUCGUCGAACCUUUUCUCCUUCUCACCUCUUCCCCCUUUCUUCACGCCUCUAGAGCUCUCUCACCCCCUAGACGGCCUUAGCUAUGGGUGGAGAUGCUAGCAGCCAUCACGAUGAUGGCCCUACUUCUUGUAAUGGUCACACCGCUCGAUGGUGCUAGGUCCUCCCCUCUGGCGGGCUUGCUCUCAUCGAGUGGUACAUGUUCGGUUGUCUGUGACAUCGAGGGCUGAGUUCAUCGUGCUUCUUCUUGUCUCUUUGCACUGGUUAUUUGAUAUCACAAUGUCUAUUCUGGGAAGCUCUGUUCAUAGGAGGAUCUGCGACCUCAACCUUUCGUAGCUUGAGUCCAUUCCUCCCAAGUAAGUGUACACGAGGUCUUACUCUGCUCUUUUUUGUAUUUCUUCUAGGUUGUUUGAUGGCAGAAGGUAAUUCUGCAACUCUUUCCAACUGAUUAAAAUUUUUGUUGCAUAUUCCGAAGAGCUUUUUGUUCCCUGUGUGAUUUGUGACAGUUCAUAUUUGAGUUUGAAUAUAUGUGCAAAGUUCUGUUAAUGGCCAUAUAACCCCUUUAUUUUUUCCUAAAUUGCCUUUGAUGAUUCCAUUAAAAUGCAGAGUCGGGAAAUCUGUGUUUCCAUGGUGUUAGUGAUCAUCGACAUGACCAUAUGGUCUGUCGUUUGCCACUCCUCUAUUUUUUCUAACUCUUCUUCUGUUGGGGCUUCUGGCUUUUCUGGCUUUGGUUUUUGUUUGGUUCUAGUGAUAAACCCCAGCUUUCUUCUACCGCUGAGGCCGAUAUACAUUGAUUUUGACCAUUCAAAAUAAUUUGAGUUGCCUUUCUUUAUUAUAUUGGUUAAUUUGUGGUUUUCAGACAUGGGUAAGAAAGAGUUUCUUUUUUUGUUGAAGGGAAGGAUGGGUAGAUGAUGAGCACAGGUUUAAACCGGCUCUGAUACCAUGUUGAUUCUUAAGAUGAUGAAUUGUAUAUUAUAUUGAGUAUAUGAAUUCUGAUUUUAUAGUUUGAUUGUUCUUGCUUAUAUACAAUGGUUGCAACGGUAGCCUAAUUUAUACAACGGCUGCCUUGAGACCUAUUUCUAACGUCCCAUUCUGAUUCAGGAAAGAUUGAAGUGGCAUUUCCCUUUGGCAGGGAUGGUUGCUUCCUUUCUUGGAAGUUUGUGAGGAAUAAUCCUAUAUAGGCUUUUCUGCCUGUGUAGUGUCUGAGACUUCCCUGUGAUCUCCUUCUUCUAUGCUUUUCUUUCUGUUGCUUUCAACAAAUAUGCUAUCUAAAAAAUUACAGAAAAUACGUUGGAUUUGUUUUUGUUGAUUUACUUACUGGUUUUGAUAGAUUUCUACUUAGUGAAUUUAUAUUUAGUUUAUGUAGGUUUUUCCUUAUUUUCUGUUUAGUUUCUAAUUGAAUUUAUAUUCACUUUCUAGACGAAUUUCUAGUUUUGGUUAUAUUUGGAUGUUGAGCUUUUAUUAGAAUCUUGUGAGUUUAUGUUUAGUUUUAGUUCGUCUAUUUUAUAUUUUCUAUUUAGUUUCUAUUAAGUUUGUAAGAAAUUAUAAUUUCAAAAACACUAAAAUAAACAACAAAAGCAAACUUUCUACGCUUGAAACUUAGUUCAAGUGGCAAGAAAAGUUAAAUAAUAAAUUUUCAAUUUAUUAGAAUAACAUACAAUAAUAACUUUGUUUCUGUAUUUAACUUUGUUGGUUUCUAUUAGUUUCCCGGUGAUUUUGGUUAGUUUAUGUUUUAAACGAAAGAAUAUAAAAAAGUAAUUAUUUUAAAAAAACAUAAUAAAUAUAAAAAUAGCGUAAAAAUGCAAAAACAGAAAAAAAGGAGUUGGUAAUUUAGCUUAUAACUCUAAAUAAUUUAGUAAAUAUGAAAUGAUAUUUCUUACUUUCAUCCUAUAUUGAACAAAAAUCGUAGGCAAUUGACAUAGCUGUCAGCUAAAAUAAAUUUCAAAUGUUUCUAUGUGCAAGAACCAUUUAAAUGACAUCUAAAGUAAUGUUUUGUAUCUAAUUGUCAUUUAAAUGGUGUUCAUGGACAGGGUAAUAGCAGCAAGGAAACACUUUUGAUUGAACUGAACAUAGUUAUAGUAGGAGCAAGAAAUUUUGCUGAAGCAAGGAGAAGGAGGUUUUGGUCCAGCUUGAUAUGAAUCAAGGCUGCCAUGAGAUUCCAUUGCGAAGGCAUGUAAUAAAAUGUCUAAAAUGGAAAUGCAACUCAUGCAUGAAAACAAGAGUCCAACCUUAUAAUGAAGCAUUCAGUCCAUUUGAAGAAUAAAAGCCAUUCGAUCACGAUUAGACUUCUGGGCUUAAUUCAUAUUUAUACGGGUUCUUAUCUUUUUGGGUUUUAGCUUAAGUAAUUAUUUUAUUUUAUUUUUAUUUAAUUAAGGAUUAUUUUAUUAGAUGUGAGUUAUAUGUAUUGUGUGUGGAGUUACAAAUGAGUGCAUAUGUUUAGUUGUCAUUUGGGAGUUACAAAAUGAGGGCCAUCAAUGUAAAAACAACCACUUUGAAUGAGUUUUAAGGAGAAUUAAAGGAAAAAACGUGAGAAAGCUUAAAAGAUAUCCAUUUAGCUUUCUUUAUCUUGUUUUGGCUAUAAAUAUCAAAGCCAAAUUUAUUUGUAAAGAAGAAUUGAUGAAUGAUAAUAUUUAUUUGCUCUUUGUAAGUGUUGUUGCUUAAGUUCUUGCAUGAACUCUGAACUUAUCAAACUAUUUUUUAGUUUGUGGCAUUCUCUAAUUAAAAUCUUGUGUUUGAUUCUUAAUUUAUCAAAUCAUACUUAGUUUGUGGCGUUUGGAGUUGAAUUCAAGUGCUAGUUUCAUUAUUGGAACUAGUUUUCCCUAAUUUCACUUUAGGAAAUUCUUGGGUUUUGGAAUCAUCUUGAUUGAAGGGUGUUUUCUUGCAUUCCAUAUGUAUCAUAACUCAUUAGUUAUUGGGGUGUAUGGUUGCUAAGAUGAUGAUUUCCUAUCAUUUGGUAUCAGAGCUUGCUUCAAGUUGAGGUUUGCUUAUCUUUGUGUUUUGUGUGUUAUUGAAGUUUCUCAUCUUCUUUACUUUUUUUUUUGUGCCGAAUUCUUCUUAUUUCAAUUUUUUCCUUCUGAGUACUCUUUGUUUUAAAGUUUACAUCUUUGUGUUCAUUAAAUAAAUUUUUGUUUUCCCUUCUUGUUAAUCUUUUUAUGUUGUUUUUUUUCUUUUCCUUCAAAUUUCAUAUCAUAUUUUUUGUUCUUUCCUUCAAACGUCUUUGUGGUUCUUUAUUUUCAUCUUUAUUUCAUUCUUAGACGUAAAUAAAAAAAUGUUUCAUGAAGCUGAAUUCAUUAGACAAUAUCGAAAUCUUCGUUAUCAAUCUUAUAAUAAGAUGUGGGGUCAAGGAAAUGAUCGUUAUGAAGACUAUAGACAAAAUUUUUAUUCUUUUAAAUCUAAAUCUAAGAGGUUAGAUAGACAACCAAGUCAAAUUUUUGUUGAUAAAUUGUCCAAGGAGAACAAAUCUUUAAGAAUCGAUCUUGAAGCAUUUAAGCAUGAGCUUGAAGAGUUCAAGAUGUUGAUUAAUAGCUUUCUUAAGCAUCUUAAAGAUAAAAGCCGAUUCUAAGCCAUCAUUAAAGACUAACAACGAUGAUGUAAAGGAGGUAAAUUGCUCCACUAGAGUCAAUGUAGAUUUUGAAGACUUGAUAAUUGGAGAUGGCAAGAAAGACAAUGACUUGCUACCUUUGAAUGAAUUCAAUAAUGAAGAAUUUGUAGCUGAUGGAGAGGCAAUGGUUCAGUUAGUGAAGAAUGAAAGAGUUUUGCUUGAUAAAACUAAGACUUUUGAGCAUGUUGAAUUUAUUGGUACUAAAAAUAUUAUUUUUUCUAAAGAUCCUCUAAUCACUAUUGCGAAGAAAUUGCAGGUUGAUGAUAGCAUUUUAUUACCGUUUGAUAUUAUAUGUUUAUUUCUUUCGUAAUAUUUGGGCAAACUUCGAGGACGAAUUUUCUUUCAAGAAACAGGGAAUGAUAUAAAUCAAGGCUGACAUGAGAUUCCAUUGUAAAGGCAUGCACCAAAAGGUCCAAAAUGGAAAUGCAACUCAUGCAUGAAAAUAAGAGUCCAACCUUAUAUGAAGCAUUCAGUCCAUUUUGAAGAAUAAAAGUAAUUCGGCUAUAAUUAGGCUUUUGGGCUUAAUUCAUAUAUAUAUAUGAGUUCUUAUCUUUUGGAUUUUAGCUUAAGUAAUUGUUUUACUUUAUUUUUAUUUAAUUAAGAAUUAUUUUAUUAGGUGUGAGUUAUAGGUGUGUUGUAUGGAGUUACAAAUGAAUGCACAUGUUUAGUUGUCAUUUGGGAGUUACAAAAUGAGUGUCAUCAAUGUAAAAAACAACAAUUUUAAUUAGUUUUAAAGGGAAUUAAAGGGAAAAAUGUAGAAAAACUCAAAAGACAUCCAUUUAGAUUUUUUUGUCUUGUUUUAGCUAUAAAUAUCAAAGCCAAAUUCAUUUGUAAGAGAAGAAUUGAUGAAUGAUAAUUUUUAUUUGUUUUUUGUGAGUGUUUUUGCUUAAGUUCUUACAUGAACUUUUAACUUAUCAAACUAUUUUUAGUUUGUGGCGUUCUCUAACUAAAAUCUUGUGUUUGAUUCUUAACUUAUCAAAUCAUACUUGGUUUGUGGCGUUUAGAGUUGAAUUCAAGUGCUAGUUUCAUUAUUGGAACUAGUUUUCCCUAACUUCACUUGAGGAGAUCCUUGGAUUUUGGAAUCAUCUUGAUUGGAGGGUGUUUUCUUGCAUUCUAUAUGUAUUAUAACUCAUUAGUUAUUGGGACGUAUAGGUGCUAAGAUGAUGAUUUCCUAUCACAGCUUACAAGGUAACUACUCAUUUCUUCAAUGCAUAACAAGCGUUUUCUUGUAUAUUUUAUGAGGGAAAACUAAAUGAUGGGCAAGAAGUCGCAGUAAAAAGGAUAUCAACAAAUUCAGGACAGGGUUCAAAGUAGCUUAAAACUAAAGUAACGCUGGUCGCUAAACUGCUACCCUAACUUCACUUGAGGAGAUCCUUGGAUUUUGGAAUCAUCUUGAUUGGAGGGUGUUUUCUUGCAUUCUAUAUGUAUUAUAACUCAUUAGUUAUUGGGAUGUAUAGUUGCUAAGAUGAUGAUUUCCUAUCACAGCUUACAAGGUAACUACUCGUUUCUUCAAUGCAUAACAAGCGUUUUCUUGUAUAUUUUAUGAGGGAAAACUAAAUGAUGGGCAAGAAGUCGCAGUAAAAAGGAUAUCAACAAAUUCAGGACAGGGUUCAAAGUAGCUUAAAACUAAAGUAACGCUGGUCGCUAAACUGCUACCCUGGAACCUGGCAAGGCUGGCAGCCUUUGUGUAUUUCUCAUGGCUCAACAGUGGUGUGGUUGCUAGUCCUUGAUGGCUUUGUCCAUAUAAGUUGUCUAAUUGUCAUCCUAAUACUGUCUCUUUCUUUAGCUUUCCAAUGAUAUUUAUAGCAGGUAUCUGCUAGCAGUGAUUAACUAUAAUCUCAAGUUUUUUCUUUAUUCGUUUAAAAAGAAAUCUUGUCAUAAAAAUGUAAACUAUCUACGGAUCAAGAAGUAUAAAUAACAGGAAUAACUUUCUUAUUGAAACUCUUCGAUGUAAACUCUUGCUAGACUGUUGAAACCAUAAAAUUGUGCAUAUAUAUGUGGUCUUAAUGCUCGAGCCUCUUUCAGGAAUUAAAGUUGGUUUCAGACCUGUCAUAAAUUUGAAGGAACAGUAGUACUUAGGAAGAUUAAUUUUCUAUUCUGAAGAAUAUAUUUAAGAAUAAUUAAGGAGUCAUUUACUUAAGAUUAACUCCCUUUUCUAUAUAUGAAGGAUUAUCUGAUAAAAAUAUUCCAGUCACAGACUACCAAGUUUGAUGGCAAUGCUUUUCUUCCAUUCGCUCAAACUUGGACCUUGUAUCAAAUCAAAAUCUAUCAUGUACCUUGAACAUUUUUAACCAAAUCUUUUAUGUUCAUUUACAGUAAGAAAAUAUAUUUGACUUAUCUAUUUUGUUAAGAUUUAGAAUUAUGUUACCACUUUUAAGUAUUUAGGUACUAUUUUUGUUAAGGUCAAUAUAUUGAUAAUAGCAAGUGGAUAACUGCACUGAAUGAGCAAGUUAGAGUGGGUCAAAAUCAAAACCUGUAGUUGUCAAUUUUAUCCUUCACUCGUGAGUUUUUUGUGAACUUCAGCACCCAGAGAUAUUUGAUUGAAUUCAUCAUGAGAAUUUCAUUACAUUUAGCUGCAUACAACUGUUGAAACAAAACCAUGUAUUUGUAUGAAAGCAAGCAAAUGGUUGUUUGCUUAUUAUAGCCAGUUGGUGGCUGCUAUGAAUUAGCUGUUAGACUAUAUCAGAAUGUUAGUAUGCUACCUUGAUUCCCCUGCCUCAGUAAUUAAUUUAGACUAAAACCUGUAGUUGCAGAUUCAGCGACCACGGUUGAGGNNNNNNNNNNNNNNNNNNNNNNNNNNNNNNNNNNNNNNNNNNNNNNNNNNNNNNNNNNNNNNNNNNNNNNNNNNNNNNNNNNNNNNNNNNNNNNNNNNNNNNNNNNNNNNNNNNNNNNNNNNNNNNNNNNNNNNNNNNNNNNNNNNNNNNNNNNNNNNNNNNNNNNNNNNNNNNNNNNNNNNNNNNNNNNNNNNNNNNNNNNNNNNNNNNNNNNNNNNNNNNNNNNNNNNNNNNNNGGCCUAGCUUCAAAACCAAUUCCAUUUCCUCCAUCAUAUAUUUGCCUUCCAAUCUAGGGUCACUUAUCUCAAGUAGUACCCCAUUUUUCCAACUUUCGAGGACCCAGUCUACCAAAAUCACCUCUCCAGCUGGUUUUUGUGGCUCUAUAGUCUUCCUUCCACAAGCCAUUUCUAGCAUAAGUGUCCCAAAAGAAAAAACAUCACUGCCGGUUGUGACCCUUCCUGUUCUUGAAACCUCUGGCGCAAGAUAUCCAACGGUUCCAACCACACAGAUUGUUUGAGGAGCUGAUCCGCGAUCAUGAAACUUAGCCAGUCCAAAAUCUCCUAACCUUCCGCUAAGAUCAGCAUCUAACAUAACAUUGCUAGCUUUCACAUCUCUGUGCAGAACAACUUGUUCCCAUUCUUCAUGGAGGUAAAGAAGGGCAGAUGCAACUCCUCUCAGGAUUUGAUAUCGUUGAACCCAAUUCAGGUUCGGCGUGUCAUUCUGAAAUAGGAAUUUAUCAAGGCUCCCAUUAGGCAUAUAAUCAUAUACCAAGAGCAGCUCUCCCUUUCGCCUGCAAUAGCCUAGAAGUUGAACCAAAUUCCUAUGCCUUAGCCUUCCCAUGCUGACAAUUUCAGCAAUAAAUUCCUUCAUUCCUUGUUGGGAAUCAUGGGAAAACUUCUUGACUGCUACUUGUGUAUUUGAAGAAGGCAAUACUCCUCUGUACACCUUCCCAAAACCCCCAAAUCCUAGAAGUUCUUUGUCUUUGAAUGCUUUGGUUGCUUUAUAAAGGUCCCUGUAAGAGAAUCUUUGAGGGCCAUAUUCUUUCUCCCAGUCUUCACGCAAUUCUUCAAACUUUUUCCUUUUCAAUAUAUAGAGUGUUCCAAAUAUAGCAAUCAGCACAACACCUGCCACAAUGGAUGAGGCCGUAAUAAUUAACUUUUUAGGCGGAUGUGAAGGCGGUGCAGGCAGUGAAGGAGGUGGAGCUGGAGGAGUUACAGGAAGUGAAGGAGAUGGAGGAGCUAAAGGAAGUGAAGGAAGCUUUGACGUAUCAAGACUUUGAGCUGGACCACUUUUGUUGAAGCUCCAACCGAGAAUAUAAUGGUAGCUUGCCAUGGAUCCAGUAGAUGAAGAAAAACCAACGUACAUAGAAUCCAACAGGAUUAAAGAAAGAUCAAUAGUUGUUGACAGGAGAGGCUUUUCGGGUUUCAUGACCGUUAUAGGAGCUAGUGUUAUGUUGAGUAUCAUCUGCACUUCAUCAUAAUCUAUCCAUACCUGCAUAGGUUUCCCACUUAUGAGCGUUAAGUUCUUAUAUUCCUUGUCUGAAAAGUAUGCUGCUGGUGCUGAUACAUUUGAUGUCACGCCAUUCACAUCAAUUCCGACAUGGUUGUUAUUAAUGUCUCCACAAUCAAGAGUUUGUAUAGUAUCAAACUCAAUGGCAACAAGAUGGUUUGAAAACAGGCCGUUGCUUGUCGAAUUAAAGAGUCCAAAGUACUGUGUCGCCAGUGCCCCUGGGAACUCCAUAGAAGGGGAGAUAGUGAAGGCAAAGCCAUGGCCACCAAGACCAGGUGUCUCACCAAGGGGAAGUCUCUCAGGAUCAAUGGCGAAAACAAAGUUUGUAGAAAACGAAGACUUGUUGAACUUGAGAGGCAGCUGAAAGAAAGCACGACCCACUUUGAGGUAUGUAAUAUUUGUUAACUCUAAGAGACCAUUGGGGUGUACGUUUGCAAGCCCACUCAGAUUCAGGUUGGACUCAUUGAAUCCAUGGUAGAUGAACUGAUUUUGAUCUUGAGCAAAGCUUAAGUGCUUUGAGAAAACAAAAGUAAUCAGGAGAACAAACAGCAUUUUAAACGUUGCAAACAUGGGGACAUAGAAGUUGCUCUGUUCUCAGAAGGUUUGUUCUAUGAGAUUUUGCUUGUCAUUUGUGUUCCGAUUCUUAGCCUGAAAUAGCAACAUGUCGAAGCAAAUACUUUUUCAAUGCUGCUGCAACGUGAAAGACACUAAUACUCUAUAAUACACCUAUUUAUAAGUUUUUACUCAAAUCAAGUUGACAUAAAUCAAGGUCAGAAACUAUAUAUGAAUAUUAAAUGACAACUUGAACACAAUUUAUAUCUUAUAAAUGGCAGAAGUUUAACUGUAUCACCAUAAGAAAGGGUGCUGCUUGAGAAAAUAAAUCAAAAUCACAGAAUGAUGAACUUUAUUUUAUAGGUGACUGAAUAUGAUUAUAUAUAUAUAUAUAUGUGUGUAUAUUUUGUAUCAUGUGUCUGCUUAUAAACAUUUUGUUUCUUAUAUACUUUCAUCAAAUUUCAUGAAAUCUAGACUUCCAUUUUAAAAGGGCGACUACUUUUGGGAAUCCUUUUGACUUGACUUACUCUAGAAAAUAAGUUACUGAGAUCAUAUGAUGAGAAUAAAUAACAUAUUUGAUAACACACAAUAAUAACAAGUAAUGUCCUUGAAUCAGCCUGAUUAGUGGGUCAAAAUGUUAUUCUGAUAUCCUGAUUGGUGAUUCCCCUGCUUCAGCAAGCAAUUUAGAACAGCAAUCAGCACCCAAAUAUUAUUUGAUUGACUGUGUUGCAACCGUCACGACCUUUUUUUUUAUUGACUCCCUCCUGUGACAAUUAUUAACAUUUGAUACUCAGAUUUGGAUUUGGCAGCAAAUAUGCAUUGAAACGAAAGGAUAAACAUUAUUUCAAUUAAAUUAAAACCUGUCAUUGUCAAGAAAUGCUUUACUGAUGUGGGUUUCUUGUGAACUUGAGCAACAAAAUAUAUUUGAUUGACCGUGUCUUGUAACAAUUUUUCUUUUCCACAUUGCAUGCUCGAAAUUAUUUUUAGCAGCAAACAUUCAUUGAAACAAAAUCAUGAGCAUGCAUUGCAGUGGUAUUGAACUUGUCCAAAUGUACAAAGUUAAGAAACCUAUUAUAAUGAAAAUUCUAGAGAAGUAUAUUUCUUUUUUUCCAUUGAUCGACUUCGUGUUCAAUCGUCUUGUGCUGCUACGCAUGUAUCUAUCACGGUUUGUUCAACAACUGCAACAAUGAUCCGAGAGCUGGGCACCGCAGAAUCCUUCCACCAACUGUGCUCCUUCCCUAGGGUUGAAAACCAGCAUGACUGCCUUCAUUAUAUGCUGCUGUAUUCAAGAAAGGUGACUGUACAAGUUAAAUGUUCAUACCCUGAAUUCUUAGGAUCCAAUUCUAUCUCCAUACCAACCUGUCUGGGAUGGAUAAUCGAGAUACUGAUACUGAAUUUAAGCUUAUUCAAGCCCUUUUGAUCUUUUCCUGAAGGGGCAGAUUGCAUACAGAUUGUUGAAUGCAGAAGUCGCACUGUUGUAACAGUUAGCAGAUUGCAUACUGCACUCCAUUUCCUUUUUUUGUAAACAUGCUCUAACAGUUUGUCAUUUCUGUUGUGCUAUGUAUUCUAUCUAAGCUUUUAGUAGUUAGCAAUUGUUUUUGCAUCUUUCUCUAUUAAUCCAUCAUUUUUCAAUAAUACAUUAUGACAUUGUUAAGGUUUAAUUUAAUAUAUUAUUUUCUCCUUCCGUUAAAAUAAUCCGUUAAUAUAAUAUAAAAAUACGAAUUUAUCCUUAAAAUAUUAUCAAAUCUUAUAGCAUCAAUUACUAUAACCCUUUAUGCUAUAUAAAAUUACUUUGACCCCCUCAUCAUAUUAAAAUUAAUAUAUAUCAAUUUUAAAAUUUUUAAAAAUAAUUUUUAAAAAUUUUAUUAUAUAUCCAAGAUGAAUUAUAAUUAUGAUAAUUGUUUUAAAUAUAAUUAUACUUAAUAUUGUUUAUAAAACUUAACAAAGCAUCUGCAAUUAUAUUUUUAUAAUUAAAAUUUUAUGUCACUAAAAAUGUAUAUUUAUAAAUUUAAAGAAAGUUAAUAUAUACAAUUUAUAAACAGAAACUUGUGACUUUAUUGAUUAUAUUGUAAUUAUGAAACUAAAUUUACUAAUUCUUUUAGUAAGUAAAUUACAAAGAAUUAUAUAAAAUCAUUUAAUUUAAUUUUAAAAAUAUUUCAUAACAAACUNNNNNNNNNNNNNNNNNNNNNNNNNNNNNNNNNNNNNNNNNNNNNNNNNNNNNNNNNNNNNNNNNNNNNNNNNNNNNNNNNNNNNNNNNNNNNNNNNNNNNNNNNNNNNNNNNNNNNNNNNNNNNNNNNNNNNNNNNNNNNNNNNNNNNNNNNNNNNNNNNNNNNNNNNNNNNNNNNNNNNNNNNNNNNNNNNNNNNNNNNNNNNNNNNNNNNNNNNNNNNNNNNNNNNNNNNNNNNNNNNNNNNNNNNNNNNNNNNNNNNNNNNNNNNNNNNNNNNNNNNNNNNNNNNNNNNNNNNNNNNNNNNNNNNNNNNNNNNNNNNNNNNNNNNNNNNNNNNNNNNNNNNNNNNNNNNNNNNNNNNNNNNNNNNNNNNNNNNNNNNNNNNNNNNNGUUAUUAUAGUUAUUUACAAGACACUUAAAUUUUAUAAUAAAUUUUUAUUAUAGUUUAUUUUGUUAUAUUAAUAUAUUUCAUUAGUUGAUAAAAAAAAAAUUUAGGGACCUAUUAGUGUAUUGUAUUAUAAUUGAGGGGGAAAUAGUAAUAUAUUUCAAGGGCAGUUUUAGAAUAUUAAAAAUUAUUAUGUUUUGACUAACAAAAUAUUUUUUGAAAUUUUGACGGAACUAUGAAAAAAUAUAUUAACGUACACUUUAAGAAAAUCAUAAUGUAUUAUUAAAAAAUGAGGAGUUGAUUUGUGUAUUUCACAUAACCUCGUGGGGUCGUAGUAAUUAUCUCUUGGAAACUUGUAAAUAGUCUUAAAGAAAGUGAAUAUUUUUUCUUAAACAAGACAUCGUUAAAAAAGUAUUGAGUUAAUAGAAAAUUGCGAAUAUAAGGAGAUUAAAGAAGAUCCAAAUAUUGAACAAUUAAUCCAUGAGAUUCAACGACCAAUUGUGAGUAUUGAAUCGGAAUGGGACAAGGAAUAGGAAAGAUUACUCUCUGUAGGUGCUUCAUGGUUACCUGGAAGAAAACCAAUACCUGCAUUGUACAAAGAUAUCUGAGGCAAUGUAGCAUUUCCAUCCAAAUAUUGCAUCACUUGCCUAAUUGUAGGCCUAGCCGUUGGUAUCCGCUGUGUGCUAAGCAGGCCUAGCUUCAAAACCAACUCAGUUUCUUCCGCCACAUAGCUGUCUUCCAAUCUAGGAUCAAUAGUCCCAAGAAUGUUCCCUCUUUCCCAACAUUCAAGAACCCAAUCUACCAAUAUCACUUCCUCAGGUGGUCUUUCUGACUUUACAGGCUUCCUUCCACAUGCUACUUCAAGCAUAAAGAUCCCAAAUGCAAAAACAUCACUGCUAGUAGUAGCCUUUCCUGUUGUAGUGAGUUCAGGAGCAAGAUAUCCCAAUGUUCCAACCACAUGAGUUGUUUGAGGAGUUGAUCCAUGAUCAUACAACUUAGCAAGUCCAAAAUCUCCUAAUCGCCCAUUAAGGUCAGCAUCUAAUAAAACAUUACUAGCUUUCACAUCUCUAUGCAGAACAACUUGUUCCCACUCUUCAUGAAGAUAGUAGAGAGCAGAUGCUACUCCUUUAAUAAUCUGAUAUCGUCGAACCCAGUCGAUGUUAGGUUUUUCAUUGCUAAAUAAGAACUUAUCAAGGCUUCCAUUGGGCAUAUGAUCAUACACCAAGAAAAGCUCCCCCUUUCGCCGGCAAUAGCCUAGCAGCUGAACCAGGUUCCUGUGCCUUAACCUUCCCAUGCUGGCUAUUUCUGCUACAAAUUCCUUCAUUCCUUGUCUUGAAUCAUGUGAGACUUUCUUGACUGCAACUUCCACAUUGGAAGAAGGUAAAGUUCCUCUAUAAACCUUUCCGAAACCUCCGCAUCCUAGAAGCUCUUUGUCUUUGAAACCUUUGGUUGCUUUGUAAAGAUCCUUAUAGGAGAAUCUCUGAGGACCAUACUGCUGUUCCCAAUCUUCACGUAUCUCUUCAUAUCUCUUCCUCAUUAUAUAAAUAGUUGCAGAGAUAGUCAUGAGCAAAACAAUCACUAUUACCAAUGGAAGCAUAAUUUUCAUUGCUAGUUUACCUCUUGAUUUUCUUUCUUGAGGAAGUGAAGGAAGCUUUGAAGGGUCAAGGCUUUGUGCUUGCCCACUUCUGUUGAAGCUCCAUCCAAGAAUGUAAUGAUUACUUGAGACUGAGCCUGUGGAUGCAGAGAAACCAACAUACAUGGAUUCCAAGAGCAGUGCAGAAAGAUCAAUAUUUGUUGACAACAGAGGCUUUUCUGGCUUCAUUCUUUCUAUAGGAGCUAGAGUUACAUUGAGUAGCUUCUCCAUUUCAUCAUAGUCUAUCCACAUCUGCAUUGGUCUCCCACUAGUGAGCUCCAAGCUCUUAUUUUUCUCUUCAGUUUCCGAAAAGUAGGACGCCGAAACCGAUUGGAUGGAUGUCAAAUUGUUGACAUCUACUCCAACAUGGUUGCCAUCAAUAUCUCCAAAUUCAGGGUUUUUUACAGUAUCUAACUCAAUGGCAAGUAAGUGAUUUGAAGAUAAACCAAUUGUUGUAGAGUUAAAGAGUCCAAGAUAUUGAGUUGCUAUAGCCCCUUUGAACUCUAAAGAUGGUGAAAUAGCAAAGGCCAAACCAUGGCCAUCAAGACCAGGUGAUUCAGGAACCAUGGCAAACACAAAAUUGGUAGAAAAUGAGACUAAUGAUGUUCGAGAAUUGUUAGACAGAGAUGAGUUGAAAUGCAAAGGAAACGGGAAGAAAGCAUGACCAAUCUGCUGAUGUGAAGUGUUUGUAAGCUCUAGCAGGCCAUUAGGAUGAAUAUUUGCAGCCCCAUUGAGGCUGAGAUUAGCUCCAUUGAAUCCAUUGUAGAUGAACUGAUCUGCUUCUUGAGCAAAAGCCAAGGGUUUUGAGUGCACAAAAAGAGUAAACAAAAUACUUAGUGAUAUAAAUAAUGCUGCCAUUGAGAACACAGAGUAAGAAACCAGAAACCUGAUAUCGUAUCUUGCUUGCUUGAAUUUGUUAAGAACUUUUCUGCCACUGAGAUAUUUUUCUUUUCUUUAUUGAUUUUGAAUUCAAAGCCUUGACCUUAUAACAUUUUCAAACCAAAUGCAAUAUCAACCAACAUUUGGUGAAAGUUAGAACCAAGUUGCUGUUUUAGGUAGCUCUGUAGGCCCAUCAGAAUAAAAAUCUAGAAGAGAAGAACAAGAAGAAGAAGAAGAAGAAGAAGAAGAGAAAUUGUGCUUCUAAACUGAUCAAUUCCUGAAGUUCUGGGAGAGUACUGGUUUUCAAUGAUUGUAGGCUUGCUGAUCAGCACAUACUGGAAAGAAGGUAUGUACAAUUUGGAGCUUGAUGACUGACUAUAUUUUUACCUGCCCUUUUGCUUUCAGUGGGUCUGAGUAUUAUACAUCAUCCAAUAUGAAUUCUUAUGUUUGAAUUAGCAAAUUUUGGUGUGCCUUUUGAAGUCAAUAUACAAAAAGGACAAUUAAAAUAUAUAUAUAUAUAUUUAUUGGUGGCUUUUUGACUUUAAUAAAAUCAGUCCUGAUACAUUAAAUUUUUGUCUUGUACUUUGGUCCAUGGUCUAAAAAAUAUUAUGAAAAUUAAUCAUUUAGUUGCAUCAUAUUGAAUUUUCUGAAAANNNNNNNNNNNNNNNNNNNNNNNNNNNNNNNNNNNNNNNNNNNNNNNNNNNNNNNNNNNNNNNNNNNNNNNNNNNNNNNNNNNNNNNNNNNNNNNNNNNNNNNNNNNNNNNNNNNNNNNNNNNNNNNNNNNNNNNNNNNNNNNNNNNNNNNNNNNNNNNNNNNNNNNNNNNNNNNNNNNNNNNNNNNNNNNNNNNNNNNNNNNNNNNNNNNNNNNNNNNNNNNNNNNNNNNNNNNNNNNNNNNNNNNNNNNNNNNNNNNNNNNNNNNNNNNNNNNNNNNNNNNNNNNNNNNNNNNNNNNNNNNNNNNNNNNNNNNNNNNNNNNNNNNNNNNNNNNNNNNNNNNNNNNNNNNNNNNNNNNNNNNNNNNNNNNNNNNNNNNNNNNNNNNNNNNNNNNNNNNNNNNNNNNNNNNNNNNNNNNNNNNNNNNNNNNNNNNNNNNNNNNNNNNNNNNNNNNNNNNNNNNNNNNNNNNNNNNNNNNNNNNNNNNNNNNNNNNNNNNNNNNNNNNNNNNNNNNNNNNNNNNNNNNNNNNNNNNNNNNNNNNNNNNNNNNNNNNNNNNNNNNNNNNNNNNNNNNNNNNNNNNNNNNNNNNNNNNNNNNNNNNNNNNNNNNNNNNNNNNNNNNNNNNNNNNNNNAAGAUUUUUUAUAUAAAUGUAAUGUUAUUUAUAUUUUUAUUUAUUAUAUAAUUUAUACAAUACAGGUACAAAAUUUUUAGUUUUAUGAAGUUAAGAAAAUGAGUUUUAUAGUUAGUUAAAAAUUUAUUAGAUUAGUUAUAUUUUACAUAAAAAAUAGUAGGUUAAAUGAAUAAUUAACUAUUAUUCAGAAUAAGAGCCAAUAAAAUGAGAACAAAUAAAAAGUUGGCUAUAAAUUCAACUAAUAAUCUAGGAAACAUAAUAGUAAGUCAUGUCUAAUAACCAACUAUUCAUUGUAAUAACCAACACCUUAACAAACUUUAGCCAUAUUUCAAAUGCAUUCAACCAACUCAGUCGCUAAAUAAACAGUUGGUUGACUGAAUUACGAUUCUAAAUUAAAGCUUAAAAAUUUCUAAUGCACCCAAUAUUUAUAUUACAACAAACAAUAUGAUCUCACUAAUAUAAAAAGAGGGGUAAAAAAAUUAUAAAUUUCUAAAAAAUAUAUAAUAAAAUAUAAUAACCUAAAAAGCAUGAAAUUAUAAUAUACAUAAUAUAUAUUAAAUCUUUUAAGCCAAUUUAUAUAUUAUGCAAAUAUAAAUUUUUGACAAGUUAAUUUAAAAAAUUAAUUAAUUUGAUAAAAAUUUGCACAAGUCAAUAAAAAUUUACAAAAAAAAUAUUAUUAUGUAAAUAUAAUACUAUUAUGUUAUUUUUUAUUUAUUAUAUAAUUUAUAUCAUAUGGUGUACAAAAUUACUAAUUUUAUGAAGUUAAGGAAAUAAGUUACAUAGUUUGGUUAAAAGUUUAUUAAAUCAGUUGUAUUUUACAUAAAAAAUAUUUUUAUGUAAUAUUUAUGUUCAUUAUAUAUUUUUAUUAUAUAAAGUAAUUUAUUCUAUAUAUUAUGCAAAUAGAAACCUUUCACAAAUUAAUUAAAAAAUCACUUAAUUUGAAGAAAAUUUACACAAGUUAAUAAAAAUUUAUUAAAAGAUAUUAUUAUGUAAAUAUAAUGUUAUUUAUGUUAUUUUUCAUUUAAUAUAUAAUUUAUACCAUACGGUGUAUAAAAUUACUAAUUUUAGGAAGUUAAGGAAAUGAGUUGCAUAAUUUGGUUAAAAAUUUAUUAAAUCAAUUAUAUUUUACAUAAAAAAUAUAUUUUUAUGUAAUAUUUAUGGUGAGCAUAUAAUUUUUUAUUAUAUAAAGUAAUUAAUUCUAUAUAUUAUACAAAUAGAAUUUUUGACAAGUUAAUUAAAAAAUCACUUAAUUUCUGAAAAGUUACAUAAGUUAGUAAAAAUUUACAAAAAUAUAUCAUUAUAUAAAUAUAAUGCUAUUUAUAUUAUUUUUCUUUUAUUAUAUAAUUUAUACUAUACGGUGUAUAGAAUUAUUAAUUUUAUGAAGUUAAGGAAAUGAAUUACAUAGUUUGGUUGAAAUUUUAUUAAACCGGUUGUAUUUAUAUAAACAAAUAUUUUUAUGUAGUAUUUAUGCUGAUUAUAUAACUUUUUAUUAUAUAAAGUAACUUAUUCUAUAUAUAGUGUAAAUACAAAUUUUUGACAAGUUAAUUGAAAAAAUUACUUGAUUUGAUAAAAAGCCACUCGAAUUAGUAAAAAAAUUAUUAAAAGAGAUUAUUAUGUAAAUAUAAUACUAUUUAUGUUAUUUUUUAUUUAUUAUAUAAUUUAUACCAUAUGGUGUAAUUUUAUGAAGUUACGUAGUUUGAUUAAAAGUUUAUUAAAUCAGUUGUAUUUUAUAUAAAAAGUAUAUGUAUGUAAUUUUUAUGCUAAUUAUAUAAUUUUAUAUUAUAUAAAAUAAUUUAUUUUAUAUAUUAUACAAAUAGAAAUUUUAGAGAAGUUAAUUAAAAAAUUAUUUAAUUUGAUAAAAAUUUACAAAAAAAAAUAUUAUUAUGUAAAUAUAAUGGUAUUUAUAUUUUUUUAUUAUAUAAUUUACACCAUAUGUCAUAUAAAAUAAUUUUAUGAAGUUAAGGAAUGAGUUACAUAGAUAUAUACAACAAAAUAAGAACAAAUGUUAAAGUAGGCUAUGAACUCAACCAAUAGUCUAGGAAGUAUAAUAGUGUGUCAUGUCUAAUAACCAACUAUUCAUUGUAUCAACCAAUAUUUUGACAAAUUUUAAGUAUAUUUCAAAGGCAUUCAACCAUCUUUGUCGCUAAACAAAAAGUUGGUUGAUUGAAUUACGAUUUUAAGUAAGUUAAAACUUAAAUAUUCCUAAUUCACACAAUAUUUACAUUACAACAAAUAAUAUUAUCUCAAAAAAUUUAAUCUAAUAAAAAAAGAGAGGCAACAAAUAAUUAAUUUAGAAAAAUAUAUAACAAAAUAUGACAAUCUAAAAACUAUAAAAUUAGAAUAUAUAUAAUAUAAAUUAAAACUUUUAAGCCAAUGUAAAUCUAAGGUUUAAACGAAAUAUGCAUAUUUCUUAACAAUCUCAAUUAUUAUUCUAAAAUAAAUAUAUAUUGCUUUAAAUAAACAAAGAAAAAAAAACUAAUAGGACACUUAAAUAUAAUGAGAUUUUGUUAAAUGAUUAAACAAGCUAAGACCUUCAAACAAUAUCUGAGUUAUCAAAUCGAUUCAUCGUCGAGAAUUGAAUAGUAUAACAUAGAAAGAUCGUUUAUCCAUACUGAAUUCAAAAAUGGCUGGAUUCUUGAUUCAAUUGAUAAUUUUUUUUUCCAUUACUUUUUUUUUAUUUGAUAUUUAUUUUAUUAAUAUCCCCAUUCUUUGGUAAUGGAAUGCAUAGAAUAUAUUAAAAAUAAAAAAACUUUAGUGCGCAAUUUGAAUGAGAUAGAUUGUUUCAAAUUCAAAUUUGUAAUUGAGAUUACACAAAAUCGGAGCAAAAAAAAAGAGACUUUUCAGAUAAAGAUUAAAAGGAUUCUAUCAAAGCAAUUAAAUUGAUUUUGUGAUGAACUAUAUGAUUGAUGAUUUUAGAAAAGAAAAGAGAGAUAUGAAAAAAUAAAAAAAAAAGACCUAAUAUCUCUUUUAAUUUUUAGUAUAUUAAAAAAAAUAACUUAUAUUACUAAUUACAUGUUAAUAAAAAAAAAAAAUAAAGUGUUAUAAAAAUAUUAAUGGCCAAGAUUUGUUUUAUAUAAUAUAAUAGUAAAUAGCUAAUUACGGUAUUCUAACUGCAAUACCUUGAAAGCACCCUAGAGUUCACCCAAAAGCUAUAUUAAACUAUUGAGAGAAUAAAGUUAAUCAAAUAUUAAUGAUAAUAUAUUCUUUUUAGUGGCCGGUUCUUAAGAUUUAAAAAAAAAUGAGAAAGAUAUUUAAAAAUAUUUAAUAUACUAUAUUUUAAAUAUAAUAAAUAAAUAUUAAAUAUUUAAAAUCUUAUUAAAUUCUGUUUAUAAAUUUGAUUUUAUAAUUACAAUAAUAAUGACGGUUAUGCAACGAUCGGACAAACGACUAGUUCUUAUAAAUUUGAAGUUUCAUAUUUAAUUAUCUAAACAAUGGUUUGUAGUAAGAAAAAAAAAACAUAAAUUAGUUAUAGAUCAAAUAAAGGGCUGACGAUGGAUUAAAAAGGUAAAUCUAUGAAGAUAGUUGAUAAUUGGUUAAUAAGGGCGAGCUAUCAAAAAGAUCUUUGAAGGUUAAUUUUAUUGUCUGUAAGGAUGGUUAGAAAAUUUUGAACGGAAUUGUCCGGCCACUCACUCGAAUAAUAAAAUCAGUAAUUUAUAAAAAUGGAUGACUAAAGUAUAUAAGGAUAUAAAUAGCAUGUAGUGCAAGUUUGGUCCCACAUUCUUUAUAUAGGCAUUAAGAAUCUUUUAGUCCUUCCAGGAGAGACACUCUACAUUUAUAGUUCGUCAGGAUGAAUGAUGAAAUUGAAUGCUUUUUCUUGUUCUCUUUUUAUUUUAUUUCUAUUAAAAAGGUUAUGGUAAGAAUUAUUGCAAAGAAAAUGAUUGGUGAAAUUGAAUGCAUCAUAUUUCUCCUCUAUUCUUUCUGAGAUAGUCAAUUUUAUUAAGAAGAGUAGCCUACUUAAGUAGGCACGUAUAAAAAAAAAAUUAAAAAUACCCUAAAACUCAACUCUGCUCUAAAUUAAUCUAAAAUAAAAGAAUUUUUUUUUUUUCAGUUAUUUUAAUAUUAUAAAAGAAUUAUAUAAUUUAAAAUACGUGUCAUUAUUUCAUUUUCUUUUAAAAUAUAAAACAUUUAAAUUAAGUAUGCUACUCAAAUUAUUGUCUCUCUCUUACCAUUCUUUCCAAAUCCAAUCCAAGGAAUGAAAUCUUUUCUUUUUUCUUUUUGUUUAGGGACUACUGCUUUGCUUAUCUAUUUGCAGCAUUUAUGUCACUCUUAUUCCCUGUAAGGAUAAUGAUUAGCAAGCUUGUGCACAGUCUUGCUGAAAGGCACCCUUCAGUGAAGAUACAAAGAAUUGUCAAAACAAAUGGAGCUGCAGAGACAGAUUAUUAGAGCAGAGAUGAGAUUAAUCACUCAUCAGAACGUAUCAAACAUGGGUAUUAAUGAUCUUGGCAUAUACUUUUCUAUAAAAUACAUAAUUUAGUACACUCGUCAACAGAAAAUGAUGUCUUCUUUAGCUAGUGAAUGCCUCUUUGAAUUGGUCUGCAGUAUUGUUUCAUGAGUUUCCUCCUCAAAUCACUGCAACAGCAACAAAAUCCCAUCAGAGACUGGAAAGAGAAAAGUUACAAACACUAACAACUUUAUCUUUUGCAAAAAGAAGAACCAGAAUGUUUACCUCAGAAAGUCUCCAAAACAUUCAGCGACCAUUAAUCAGGAUUGAAUCCACGGCAGAAGUAGAAANNNNNNNNNNNNNNNNNNNNNNNNNNNNNNNNNNNNNNNNNNNNNNNNNNNNNNNNNNNNNNNNNNNNNNNNNNNNNNNNNNNNNNNNNNNNNNCAUGGUUGGCCUAGCUGCUGGCAAAUGGUGUGCGCAAAGCAAACCAAGUUUCAAAACAGACUCCAUUUCUUUCACCGCAUAAUUAUCUUCCAAUCUUGAAUCAACACACUCAAAAAGAUCCCCUCCUCUCCAACAUUCAACAACCCAUUCGACCAAGAUCACCUGCUCAGAUGGCCUUUCUGACUCUAUAGGCCUCCUUCCACAAGCUACUUCAAGCAUAAAAGUACCAAAAGCGAAAACAUCACUAGAGGUAGUUGGCUUUCCAGUUCUAGUAAGCUCUGGUGCUAGAUACCCAACAGUUCCAACUACACAAGUUGUUUCAGGGUUUGCUCCAUGGUCAUAAAACUUAGACAGCCCGAAAUCUCCUAACCUUCCAUUCAUAUCAACAUCUAACAGAACAUUACUUGCUUUCACAUCUCUAUGCAGAACAACUUGUUCACAUUCUUCAUGGAGGUAAAGAAGAGCAGAUGCUACUCCUUUAAUGAUUUUAUAGCGAUGAACCCAAUCCAGAUUCGGCUUUUUAGUGCUAAAUAAGAACUUAUCAAGACUCCCAUUAGGCAUAUAAUCAUAAACCAAGAAAAGCUCCCCUUUUCGCCUGCAAUAGCCCAGGAGUUGUACUAAGUUUCUAUGCCUUAGCCUUCCUGUGCUUGCAAUUUCAGCUAUAAAUUCUUUCAUACCUUGUUUUGAAUCAUGUGAGACUUUCUUGACUGCAACUUGUACAUUCGAAGAAGGUAAGACUCCUCUAUAAACCUUCCCAAAACCUCCAAAUCCAAGAACCUCCUUGUCCUUAAAACCUUUAGUUGCUUUAUAAAGAUCCUUGUAACGGAAUCUUUGAGGACCAUAUUGCUGUUCCCAAUCUUCGCGGAUUUCUUCAUACUUCUUUCUCAUUACAUAAAUAGUUGCAGAGAUAGUUACAACCAGAACAACAACAGCUACCAAUGGAAGAACAAUUCUCAAAUCUACUUUCCCCUUUGAUUUUGUUGUCUGAGGAAGUUUAGGAAGCUCUGAAGGGUCAAGAGUUUGUGCUUGCCCACUUCUGUUAAAACUCCAUCCAAGAAUAUAGUGGUGACUUGCUACUGAACCAGUGGAUGCAGAGAAACCAACAUACAUAGAAUCCAAGAAAAGUAAAGAAAGAUCAAGAUUCUUCGAUAUGAGAGGCUUUUCUGGUUUCUUGAUCUUAAUUGGAGCUAGUGUUACAUUAAGCAACUUGUUUGUAUCAUCAUACUCUAUCCAUACCUGCAUUGGUUUACCACUUGUAAGCUGCAAGGUCUUGUUUUCGCCAUCAUUCUCCGAGAAGUAUUCGGCUGGAGCAGAUUGAAUGGAUGUCAAAUUGUUGAUGUCAACACCAACAUGAUUAUCAUUGAUGUCUCUAAACUCCCUGUUUCGUACAGUAUCUAACUCAAUAGCAAGCAAAUGAUUUGAAACGGAACCAAUGUUUGUAGUAUUAAAUAGUCCAAGAUACUGAGUAUCUGUUGCUCCUGUUAGCUCUACAGACGGUGAGAUAGUGAAAGCAAUGCCAUGACCACCUCUACCUGGCACUCAGGAACCAUGGCAAAUACAAAACUGGUAGAAAAUGAAAAGAUGAGCUAGAAUUGUUAGCCAAAGAUGAAUUCAAAUGCAUGGGUACUGGAAAGAAAGCAUGACCUAUUUGUUGGUAUGAAGUGUUUGUAAGUUCUAAUAGACCAUUGGGUAGGAUUUUUGCAAUCCCAUUUAGUCUCAGAUCAGAUCCUGUAAAUCCAUUGUAUAUGAACUGUUUUGUCUCUUCAGCUAAAGAUAUGUGUUUCAAGAUCAGAAACAGAGAGAGAAAAAUAUGAAGAGAUCUGUGAAAGAUUGUUGCCAUGGAAGCAAAAGAAAAUGGAGAAGAAGGGAAAUUGAAAUCUUCUGAGAGAUCAUAUGUUUAACAUCUGUGUUAAGAAUAAGAACAAACAAACAUUUGGUAGAAUUUACAACCAAAAAUCUCAGAUAUUAAAUGGCUAUUGUCUGUCCCAUUAGAAUUUUAAAAAAUCCGAUAGAGUUAUUCAGUAAUUUGUUGAGGCAAUAAUGUUCUUGAAGCCAAAUUUUAAGUUUUAAUGCCAAAAGAAAUAUCAUUUAACAUAUUUGUAUUAUGGAUUGUGACAUGUGAAAGAAAUGCGUUUUCGAAAGAAAAUAGAAAAUUUCCUUAAAAAAGUCAUUUUUUAUUUUAAUAUUAUCCCUAAUAAAUUUAUUUAAUUUUAAAACGAUCCUUUAACUUUAAAGAAAAAAAAUCUAUUAUUUUUAUGUUUAACUAUAUAAUGAAAUUUUAAAAAUUUAUAGAUUUUAAAUCUAUAAAUCAUAAAUUCAUAAAUUUUGAUUAAAGUCGUAUAUUCUAAAAUUUUUAAUCCAAAUAAUACAUUCGACUAUUUCAAAUGUUGGCAAUGAAAUAAUAAUACAUAUUUUAAAUCUUGUAUUUAUUUAUAUUUAUUAUUUAAUAAAAAUAUUCAGGACUUAAUUCUUUAUCAUUUUUUCAAAAACAUUAACAUUUAAUUAUUUCUUCUAAAUAAAUUUAAACACAUAAUUUUUAAUAUUGGCUCGAAGCAUUCAGAAACAAAUCAUUCAAGUUAGAAAAAUUGAAUCCUGAUUAAUAAGAAAAUAAAUAAAUAAAUAUAUAUAUAUAUAUAUAUGGGUUAACUCUGUUUUAAAUAUAUAAAAAAUUGUUAAAGUUUUUGCCAGGCUUAUGUGCACAUGUGAAUACAUCCAUAAUUGAAUAGACUACCAACCAUUAGUCAGUCAGUCAGAGUGAGACAAAUAGACAAACAUGUNNNNNNNNNNNNNNNNNNNNNNNNNNNNNNNNNNNNNNNNNNNNNNNNNNNNNNNNNNNNNNNNNNNNNNNNNNNNNNNNNNNNNNNNNNNNNNNNNNNNNNNNNNNNNNNNNNNNNNNNNNNNNNNNNNNNNNNNNNNNNNNNNNNNNNNNNNNNNNNNNNNNNNNNNNNNNNNNNNNNNNNNNNNNNNNNNNNNNNNNNNNNNNNNNNNNNNNNNNNNNNNNNNNNNNNNNNNNNNNNNNNNNNNNNNNNNNNNNNNNNNNNNNNNNNNNNNNNNNNNNNNNNNNNNNNNNNNNNNNNNNNNNNNNNNNNNNNNNNNNNNNNNNNNNNNNNNNNNNNNNNNNNNNNNNNNNNNNNNNNNNNNNNNNNNNNNNNNNNNNNNNNNNNNNNNNNNNNNNNNNNNNNNNNNNNNNNNNNNUGUUUAUCUAGUCAUUUACUUAGUAAUUUUCUUAUUUUACUUUAAAUUAAAUCUAAUGAAUGAGAUGCUAAUAUGUAUUUUCCUUAAAUCACUCAAGCUAACGAUGCAACUUAAAUUUCUUAUACUAAAGUAACGAAGAUGUUUGUAAUACUUUUAACCUAAAGAUUUUUAUAAUCAAUAUUACUACUAAAUUGAUAUAAUGGUCAACCAAUAAUAAUAGAUGAAACUAAUGCAUAUAUGAAGGUAAAAAAAUCAUUCAUUAAAUAAAUAAUAAAAUUCAUAUAAAAGUAAAAAGGCUAAACUAAACCCUUAUGAAAACUAGCCUAAUAUAUUUAAUCCAAUGAUCCUAACAUUAGAUAGAAAAACAUAAAAUAAUAAAGUAAAGAACUCUUUCUAAAUCUAGAAUUUCUUCAAAUAGAAAUAAGAUUUGUCAUCACUUUUCAUUUUUUGAAAAACUCCUUAGAUCUUAAAAAUAGUAAUGAAAACUAAACUAAAGUGUUUAUGAAGAACUAUAGAGAAUUAUAGAGAGAAUAAUAGUAGGCAUAUGUAGAGAGCAGAUAGAAGAAAACUCUCCUCCCCUCUAGAAUUAGGUUUUGCAGAGAUAUAUAUAGAGAAAAGUCAUUCUCUAAAUAAGUCUCUCUAAAGAUGUAUACCUAAUAUAAAUCUAUCUAAUAAAUAAGACUUUAAGUAUAUUUAUCUCCACUAAAUAUUAUCUCAUAAAUAACUUUUAAUAUAAAUCCUAAUAAUUACACAAAAUGGCUAAAUUGUCCAUUGGGCCUUAUAAUUAACAGUCUAUGCAUCUUCAACUUGGGCCUUGACACGACAUAUCCAAUUAAGUUUCUUUUUGUGUAUUUAGCUCUAUAUUUUCCUCUUUUGGCUAAUACUAUCUAAAAAUAAACAAUUAAAUUUAAGUAAGGUAAAAUCAUAUAUUUUCACCAUAUUAUAUAUAGAAAUAUAUUAUUAAAGCUCUAAAAUAUCAUUAAAUUUCUAUAUAUAAUUUAGACCGACCAGUAGUCCAGUAAUUAAAGUAUUUCUAUGAAGGAUCUAAAUUUAAAUUUCAGAUAAUAAUUUUUGAGAUAUUUUUAUAAAACUAUUCAGGUGACGGUUUAAUUGAAUCUCUUUUAUAUAAUUCCGAUCAAGUUAUAAGUAUUUGAAUUUAAAUUUCAUAUAACAGUUUUUAAGAUGUUUAUAUUUUUUAUAAGACUGUUCAGAUCACGUUUUAAUUGAAUUUUUUUUAUAUAAUUUCGAAUUAAAUUUCAUAGCACGGUUUUCUAUAGAAUUAUUUAGGACACGUGUAUAAUUUCAAGAUUUAUAUUGUAAUGACUGAUUUAGACUAUAUCUUAAACGAACCAUAGCUCUAUUAAUAUUCCGAAAUGAAAAAAUAAAGUCCAUGAUUACAUUAUUGAACAGAAAUUGGUACUAUUGUUAGUGACUUCUCCCCCUAUUUCUGUCCAAAAUUUGUUAUUCUGAACAUACCUUCGAUCCAAUUAAUGGAUUGUGGCAGCUGCAGCUCUGCUGUGUUAUUCACACAUGGGGCCAUACUUAUGGGUGGGCUCCUCGUGCGUCCCAUAUAUUCCUUUCUGUAUAUGUCUCUUGAUAUUAUAAAGAUAUUAUACUAUAUAUUAUUUAAUUAAAUGAGCUGAUUAGAGCUCACAAAUAUAUAUAUAUAUAUAUAUAUAUAUAUAUAUAUAUAAUGGCCUGACCUCUUUCUUUUUAAAGGGCUUCCAUUCUACUAGUAAUAAAGUAAACAACUUUCGGUAAAAUUUCAUUAUUUUUUAUAAUAAAUAAAGAAUAAUGGACCAACAUCUUUUAGAAUAAAGAUUUCCAUGUUAUGAAGACAUUGCACAUGAUAAUAAUAAAAUGUAUUUAUUUAAUGGUAAGACUAUUGGCCUAAUCCAUUAUGGUUAAAACAUAUAAAACAGAUUUCCCUAACAGUUUAUUUUUAUUUUAUUUAUUAGAUUUUCUACUUUCUUUCAGAUUUAGCUGCUCAUGAAAAUUACAUGAGACUUGUAUUUUUUUGCCUUUCAUGCGGGUCGGAACUUACCUAAUAAAAAAUUUCGCUAUUUUAGGACCGUUAUAGUUAUGGCCACUAUUUACCAGUCUUCGGUUGCCGGCUCUUUAUCAGGUCACCAACUUUUUUGACCUUCCGGCACUGGGCAGGCGUCAGCCCCCAUACAUGGUUUUACGACUUUAUGGAGACAUGUGUUUUUAGUAAAAAGCCACCCGGGCCUAGUCACUAUGACUCCCUUUAUAAGGAGGCACCUCUUUUCCUGAAGUUACGGGGCUAUUUUGCUGAGUUUCUUAGAAAGAAUUGUCUCGCGCCCCUAGAUAUUCUCUACCUCCCUAAUCAUCAAGAUUGUACCAAAAUUUUCUUUAAAAUAUACCGAAUCAAUAUAGUUAUUCUUCUUCUGAUGCAGCAAUGCAACUUCAAUCAGUAUCGAAAUGAAAUUUUAGAUAAUUUCUUUGUUUUUUUUCUUCUUUUCUUUUAUUACUGUAAAACUAUGUACCAUAAGAUAAGGUCGGGUAAAAUGUAAAGUUUUUAUUUUUAAUUUUUAUAAUGAGUGUAAUAAUAAAUCAAAAAAUUCUGUAUUAUUUUUUUUAUUCAUAUAAGUAUAAUGUUAAUGCUAAAAAAAGUGCCAAUCUAUUUAAAAUAUUUAAAUGUUAAUGCUAAAAAAGUGUCGGCCUAUAUAAAACAUCUAAUGCAUCGUUUAAUUCUUUUAAUUUAAUAAUUUUAUAAAAGAAAUUACAUAGUAAAGGCUAUUAUUUAUUUUAUGGGAGUUUUACUAACAACAAUAUCAAUUGAAAAAUGAAAAAUAAAUCAAUUAGUCUACCAACAACUAAAACGAUCUCCAUAUCAAUAGACAAUUAGGCAUUAUAACUUAUAAAGCAUACUAAAUUAGUCAAUAUUAUAUCCAGAUUAUUAAGUUAUUUAUCUUUCGAAAUGAAUAGACAUGCCUUAAUAUUAAAUAUAUACAUUUAAAAAUACUUAGUAAAUAAACUUGAAUAGCGUAAUAAAAAUCAAACCGGACUAUAAAAAUUACUUAAGCAUUAUCAAUUAACUUUCAAAAAUAGAUAAAGCUAGAUAUUAUAAAUCUCCAUGUACAUCAUCUGUUGUUGCUCAUGUAUUUUCAAGAUUUCAUGAGUGAAUUAAGUCUUUUAUUAGAUGAAACUUAAAUUAAUAAUUCUUAUCCUAAUUCAACAAUUCCACCAAAAGAUAUGAUUAUGAUAUUGGGUACCCCUUUCAGAGGAAGUGGUCAAGAUAACUUCAACAGGGUCUUUGAGGAAGAAAAUAAUGGCAUGAGAUCACAGUGAAAAACUAAUACUUGUGGGGAGCCAUUAAGCUAGUAACAAGAUCCUGUGUUCAGUCCAACUAUGAUUUAAUCAUGUAUGCUUGAAGAAUUGAGACCAUAAUUCUUCAAUGGUGAGUUAUAUUUGAGGUAAUAAUGCAUUACUGAUUAAUGAUUAGCAAGAGAGGACCUCUAGUAAUUAGAGCUAGGAUUGCUAUUGGAUGUUUAAGCCGUUAUUCAAGUUGAGAUAUGCAUAUAUUACGAGCCUAAAUAAAUUUGUAAAUACUUAUAAAAACAGUUUUCAAAAUAAAUAAAUAAAAACAAACAAAAAUUCUUUUUUUAGAAGAACUGAUUGAGAAAAUACAAUCUCAAAUACAACCUUAGUAGGGCCUUAGGCAUGUUUUAAAACACAUUUGAGAUGGCAUAUGCUUAGCUUGUAUUUUUUUCUUUAUUAUCCCUUUUAUUUAUUUAUUUAUUUAUUUAUUAAUACCAGCUCAUGAUAUGUUGCUAAAAAGAACCCUGUUAAAUAAAUUCAUGCAAAUUUGUAUUUGUCAUUAUUGUUUCUACAUGUGAACCAGGAAAUUUCUUUUUACUUUCUUUGAAUUGGCAAAAUUUGAACUAAAUUCCCAAUUCUAGUUCAUUUUAUUGAAGAACCCUCAAAGCCAAUUGAAAACAAGAAACCUAAAUUGGGGAAAAACAUACUUUCACUAGAAUACAAAGUAGGUGGGAGGAGAUGAGAUUCCAUUUGAGUAGAGAGAAAAUGACAAAUGCCUAAUUUUCAUAGUAAACAAACAGAAAAGCGAUCGAACUCUAUUUGCUCCUUUUAUGGGAAAAAAAGAAGCAUUCAAUUAUUUAAUAUAUGAACCCUCCACAUUAAAAAACAAUAAUAAUUAUAAUUAUAAUAUUUCUAGAAUUAAUAAUUCAUAAAACACAUGGCCAAACAGCAAUGGCGGCACCCAGGCAUCAAAAGUGGUUAGCUAAAAAAUAAAAUUAAAACAAAAACAAACAAGAACAACAAAAGGNNNNNNNNNNNNNNNNNNNNNNNNNNNNNNNNNNNNNNNNNNNNNNNNNNNNNNNNNNNNNNNNNNNNNNNNNNNNNNNNNNNNNNNNNNNNNNNNNNNNNNNNNNNNNNNNNNNNNNNNNNNNNNNNNNNNNNNNNNNNNNNNNNNNNNNNNNNNNNNNNNNNNNNNNNNNNNNNNNNNNNNNNNNNNNNNNNNNNNNNNNNNNNNNNNNNNNNNNNNNNNNNNNNNNNNUUGUUGUUUUUUAUAUUAUAUAUUAAUUGGAUUGGUUGGAAAUAAUAUUAUAAAAUUGAUAAGGAUAAUGUCAAGAUUAAACAACUUAUAAAAUUGGAAUUUAGCAAUUCAAUUUUAAUUGGAUUAGCAAUUGAAUGGAAUACAUGAAAGCAAUUUGGAAAUUUGCACAUUAUCAUAUACUAAAAAAAGAAUUGGAGUAAAGGAUCAAUUGGAACAUAACUAAACAGAAAUAUUAAUAAAAGAUGGAAAACUAUUUAUUAUAAUACACAGAAUUUAUUUAGCCCAUUGAGUUCCUCUUUCAGUUGGCUUGAAGUAUUCUUCCAUGAGUUUCUCCCUCAGCAGCUGCAAUAUCAACACAAUGCAGAAUAUUUUAGGCAUUCUUGUUAGAAUUUCAUUCUUAAUUUCAGUUUUAAUUCAUACUAUUUUAUAAGUAAAAGCCAAAAUCUUUUUAACUAAAUGCCUAUUUGAAUGUUUAUUAUUUGAUCAGUUUCAAUAAUUUAAUUUUUAUAUUUAAUAAAUACACUAUAAGUCUUUAUGUCGAUGAUUAAUUAAUAAUUAUAAUUUUUUAUUAAUAAAAAUUAAAAAUUAAAAAUUAAAACCGUCAAUAUUUAUAGAAAUAAAAUAAAAAUUAUAAAGAGUAUGUUAGACUUAAAUAAAAUAUUUUACAUUUUAUUUUUAAAUAUUUUAUGAGAUAUUUUUUAUUAUAGAAAUUAUAUUCUUUAUGAUAACAAUCAUUAUUUUUGAGGAUGCUUUCAACUGUUAAUUGAUAACUAAUAAAUUAAAAUAUUGGAUAAAAAUUUAUUAACUAUUGUAGUUAGUAUGUUAACUAUUAAGAAUAUAUUUUAUUUAUAAUAUUAGUUAAAAAAAAUAUAAUACAUUUAAACAAAAAAAUUAAAUUGGAAAAUCGGUUUUCUAACUACGAAUUAUCUACAUGAAAAAAGAGAAGGAAAGAAAAAAAAAAAAAAAAGAGAAGAUGAGUUUGGUUCACAGGUUUUUAAGUUAACUGAUAAAGAUUUUAAAAGCUUUUCUUAUAACAAAUCUUAUUUUUAAAAAUAUAUNNNNNNNNNNNNNNNNNNNNNNNNNNNNNNNNNNNNNNNNNNNNNNNNNNNNNNNNNNNNNNNNNNNNNNNNNNNNNNNNNNNNNNNNNNNNNNNNNNNNNNNNNNNNNNNNNNNNNNNNNNNNNNNNNNNNNNNNNNNNNNNNNNNNNNNNNNNNNNNNNNNNNNNNNNNNNNNNNNNNNNNNNNNNNNNNNNNNNNNNNNNNNNNNNNNNNNNNNNNNNNNNNNNNNNNNNNNNNNNNNNNNNNNNNNNNNNNNNNNNNNNNNNNNNNNNNNNNNNNNNNNNNNNNNNNNNNNNNNNNNNNNNNNNNNNNNNNNNNNNNNNNNNNNNNNNNNNNNNNNNNNNNNNNNNNNNNNNNNNNNNNNNNNNNNNNNNNNNNNNNNNNNNNNNNNNNNNNNNNNNNNNNNNNNNNNNNNNNNNNNNNNNNNNNNNNNNNNNNCAGUUUUUUCUUAUUCAUAAAGAGAAGAAUUUAAACUUAAAAUCUCAUUAAGUUGAUAUAUACCAACUAAUCGAUACGUGAAUAAUUUGUUUUUAAGUUUUUAGUAAGUGCACAAAUAACUGUGUAAAUAUUGUUCUACAGUAUAAGAUCUAUGUCCUUUUAUGUGCUAUCACACUUUAAGAAAGUCUAUACAUUUUUAAAGUAGUUAUUCCUCAAUUUAUAUUUUAUAUUAAAUUAAUUGAAAUGAAUUUCAAAAGACUUUAUAAAAUUAUAUAUAAAUAUAUAAUUUAUAUGUUUAGUUGAAAUAAAAAUUUAUUUAAUAUUUUAAUGCAAUAUUUUAAAUUUCUAAAUACAUUCUAUAUUGAUAAGUUAUAUACAUUUCAUAAAAUCAAAAUACUUUCUUUCAAUUUUAUUAUUUUAUUUUAUUUUCUUUCUCAUAUCUUCUUUUUAUAAUUUUUUUUAUUGUAAACCAUUCAAAUAUAAUAUUUAUUUCAUUUGAAUUAAUUUCUGCAGUUGUUAAUAAACAUACAAAUUAUGAUUAAAAAUAAAUAAAUUUUUUAAUAAAUUACAACUGAAUAUGGCGAAUUUCGAAUUAAAAUCUUAUGAUAUUAUUGCUCAUAUGAUAGGUCAUGUUUAAAUAAUCUUAUUCAUUAAAUUUAUAAUUAAAUAAUUGAGAUUUGUUAUUUAAAAAUAACUAUCAAUUUUAAAAAAUAAAAAUUUAAAUUUUAAAUAAAAUUUCAACCAUUCAAUUUAAAAUAAUAAGUAUGAAUCAUGAUAGGUAAUUUUCAAGUUCAACAUUAGAAAAUCUGAAGCCAUUCUUUUGUUUUUUUUUUUCAUGGAAGUCUUUCCUCUAUGCCUCUGUCUUAACUUCUAUCUUCCAAAGUUUUGAAUGUAUAAUAAGAUACCUUUCAUUGUUUCUGAUCCCUUUUAGAGCAGGUUCUGCUCCAUUGAUAUCUUUAUUUUUAGUAAUCAAAUAAGAAUAAAACCGAAUAAGCACUCUUAACAGUCAUGGAAUACUUCUUCUUUACUUACAUGUAAAAUCCAUACUCAUUUUUUCAUUUAUAAAGAUUUAUCAUAGCUGAUAAAUAGAAGGUACCUUCAUGAGCAUUGGUUGAAAUGGGAAUAUUUGAUGAUGAAUUCUGAGCCGAAUGAAAAACUAAACGUUGCUGUUGAGCCUGAGAAGUCUCAUUAUUCCUAAGCAAAAAUGUUACAGCCUCUCUAACUUUCUCCACCACACCAGUAUCACCAGGACCUUUUCUGGGACUAAUUGCCUGGGAUAUCACUUGAGAAAGAGCCUUCUCAUCCUCACCUGGCUCCAAUUUAUGCAUUAUAUACUCCUUCACUGAUACUCCUUUAUCCCAGAUUUGCUCGCUCGCACUAGCGUGAUUUGUAGUAGUCGUUACUGCUGCAGGAGCAGAUACCGGUUCAGCUUUUUCCAAUGUUGUUCGAGUUACUUCUUGCUUUGUCGCAACUGGGGCUGGUGCCUGUGGGGUUAAUGCCCUUGCUCUAGGACUUGGUGUUGGUGGGUCACAUGACUUCCCUGCAAGGAUUGGUGCUAUUGUGGGUUUCUCAUGUGGCUGUGUUGCUAACGAGGACUUGCCAGGUGAUUUUGGUGACAAUGAAGUUUUUUUUGCAGGCGAAUUUGGUGCUGUCGGAGCUGGAGUUGGGGCUUGUGGUUCUGGGCCCGAAAUGGCAAGACUUUGAAUCUUAGAAGCAAUGGCAUAUGUAGCUUCAGUUACUGUGGCAUAUGCUGGUGCAAGUUUCUCUGCCACAGUUUCGGAGAUUGUUUUGGAUGCAGCUUUAGGAGUUAUAGGUGCCGUUGUUCUGGAUGCGGACCUCGGACUGUGAGUAGUUCUAACAGAUUUUGCAGUGUUAACACUACUUGUCAUAACAUGCUUCUCAGAUAUGACAGGAAUUGCUCUUGGAUGUUGUCUAGCUGUCUCUUUGUAACCUNNNNNNNNNNNNNNNNNNNNNNNNNNNNNNNNNNNNNNNNNNNNNNNNNNNNNNNNNNNNNNNNNNNNNNNNNNNNNNNNNNNNNNNNNNNNNNNNNNNNNNNNNNNNNNNNNNNNNNNNNNNNNNNNNNUGUCUGUGAGUACGGAUUGACCACCUUGAACCAUCCGAUCCUGUACGCACCAAACCUCACAGAAAUUACAAGAGAUGGUACGUAGCAUACGCAUUAAUCAUAUAAGCUUUAGUCACAGAGUUAUGUUUGUUACCUCGCAGAAGUUGUUCUAUUGUUGGGGAGGUUGGAGUUCUUGGGGCUUCGCCCUGUCUGUUUAUGCCAUCAAAUUGGGAUAUCGCUCCAGUUCUUGAUUGAGGGUGUGCCAUAAUUAUGGUUUCAGCAUCUCUUCCUAGACCCUGUUUACAAUUGGAAAUGGAAAUUUAAAAGAGCAACGCUCAAGCACCAUCUUCGCAGUUCUUGAUUAGACAGAAAAUGAGCCACAUAUCUUUCCGAAGCUUUUGGAAUCCAUUUUUACACAUGGCAAUAAACAUCAUACACUUUUAUUUGAUUCUCAUUUGUUGGUAAUAUAUUAAACUCCUCAAAUAAGCAUUUGACUAGGCAUCAAACUGCUUCCCUUUUCUCGGCUUAUUACAGGUUUUUUCCUUUUAAUAAUUGGUACUGGUAGCCAUGUUUUUUCCUUAAAAACAAAGACAAAUUUACACGGACUAAGCACCAUAUGAUAAUGUAUAUCAAUGGCUGUAAGAGCUAAACUUCAAAAUUGAUAGAGCUUUUUAUUUUUUUUCAAUUGAUGGACACUCCAGAGAUCAUUGCAUAACUCUGAAAGCAGGUCAUCAAGCGGCUCCUAAAUUUUCCAUAACAAGAAACUAGAACAAAAACUUUUAUACAAGAAGACCAGUUCACACUUUAAGACUUAAAUUGUAAAUGCAAAGUGGAUAUGCGGUUGCAAAUGAAACUGCAUUUGCAUAUUUAAUCUAAGAGCGUGUAGAUGAGAUGGUAAGAGUUUCUUUUAGCUUAAUUAAAGUCUCAAGUUCGAACCUUAGGCAUUCGGCUAUGUCAAAAUUCUUGAAAAGGUGAUUUGCCACCCGUAAGGGUUCUGCGUGUCACGCUCUAAAUUAAAUUUAGAUAUGUAUGCAAAGAAGAAGCUGCAGAUACCUGGAAAUACCUUGUGCUCUAACAAGAAAAAAUGGAGAAAAUGAGAUCUUAAUUGAGAGAGAGUUUUCACUUGUAAUUGCAGUACAUAUCUCUGCAAUACAAUCUUGAAUUAUAUAUAAACAUGUGUACAAAUAUAAGUGAUCCUUUCAUAUAAAAUGAUCUAAAGUAAGAUAAACAUUACAUGAGAAAAAUAAGACAAACUAGACAUCAAAGUAACCAAUAUAUGUGCAGUUUGAUACUAUUCAUCUGCUGCAGAAAUUAUGUGCCAUCCAAAAGAGCUUUCAGCUUCAUUGUACAUGGAAAAUUUCAUAAAUAUUGUUUGAAUGUGUGCAUCAGUGAUUAAUUUAUUUUUCUCAUGUUCAAUUUGAUUUCUUUUACCAAGUCUUUAGGAGUUUGUUAAGCAGUUAGUACCUUAGUGGCAUUAGUUGGCACAGUUGCUGAUUUUCAGCUAGUUAGUUAUUUUUUUCAGUUUUUAAAUCAAUGUAUUUAAUUAUGAAAUUAUACCAUCAAUAACUAUCAAUCUUCUUCUCUCAAUUUUAUUCUCGUAUCUUCUGUAAAACAAACCAACAAACUGGUAUCAGAGCUCUUUUUUAUUAAGGGACCUGUGAGUAAGCCAAGAGAAACCUACUACACAACCUUACCUUUCUUGAUUCUUUCCAGCAAAUGGAUUCUGAAACACCUUUUACAGCACUAGCUCCACCAAUGUUUAAGGGUGAAAAUUAUCAUUUAUGGGCAGCCAAAAUGGAAGCUCACCUAGAGGCGAAUGAUCUCUGGGAAGCUGUGGAAGAGGACUACGAAGUUCCUCCAUUAUCUGCAAAUCCAACAAUGGCGCAGAUCAAGAACCACAAGGAGAAGAAAUCAAGAAAGUCAAAGGCAAAAGCUACCUUGUUUGCUGCUGUCUCACAAGAGAUUUUUACAAGAAUCAUGAACCAAAAGUCAGCAUUUGGUGUGUGGAAUUUCCUCAAAGCUGAAUAUGAAGGAGAUGAAAAAGUUAAAGGAAUGCAAGUGUUGAAUCUGAUUCGUGAGUUCGAGAUGCAGCAAAUGAAGGAGUCAGAGACAAUUAAGGAGUAUACAGAUAAGCUUCUUAGCAUUGCUAAUAAAAUAAGGUUGCUUGGUUCUGAGAUUUCUGAUUCUAGAAUUGCUCAAAAAAUACUUGUGACUCUUCCUGAAAGAUUUGAUGCUACUAUAUCCUCCAUGGAGAGUAGCAAAGAUCUGUCACAAAUUACAUUGGCAGAACUAAACAGUGCUUUACAGGCUCAAGAACAAAGGAGACUGAUGAGAAGUGAAAGUUCUGUGGAAGGAGCAUUGCAGGCUAAGCUACAAAUCAAUCAAGGAGAGAAAGACAAGAAGAAGAGUAAUAAGAAGAACUUCAGUUCUCGUGAUAUAGCUAGCAGCAACAAAGGAGAAAAGAAGAGAGAAUUUCCUCCUUGCAGACACUGCGACAAAAAGGGUCAUCCUCCUUUCAAAUGUUGGAAAAGACCUGAUGUGAAGUGUGGGAAGUGCAACAAACUUGGGCACCAUGAAAAAAUAUGCAAAAGCAAUUUCCAACAGAAGGAUGAUGCUCAAACAGCAAGCGAACAAGAGGAAGAAAAACAGUUAUUUGUAGCAUCUAGUUUUAAAAGCAGCAGCUCAAGCUCAAGUGAGUGUUGGCUCGUAGAUAGUGGUUGUACCAAUCACAUGAUUGGUAAUGCAGAGUUUUUUUGGGGAUGGAUAGGUCACUAGUAUUCAAAGUCAAAAUUGGUAAUGGUGACUACAUUGCUGCCAAAGGAAGGGGAACUGUCGCUAUAGAGAGUUGCACAGAUACUAAAUUAAUUUCUGAUGUUAUAUAUGUACCUGACAUUGAUCAGAAUUUAUUAAGUGUUGGGCAGCUAGUUGAGAAGGGAUUCAAAGUCUUUUUUGAAAGGAAGCACUACACGAUCAAGGACUCUCAUGACAAUGAUGUCAUAAGAAUUAAAAUGAAGGGCAAGAGUUUCUCGCUUGAUCCGAUGGAGGAGGAGCAAGUAGUUUAUGCUGUUGCUAUAACUAACAUAGAGACUUGGCAUAAAAGGCUAGGUCAUUUCCAUCAUGCAGCAAAUUUGAAUAUGCAAAAGAAGGGGUUGGUUCGUGGUUUGCCUCACAUUGAGCCUGAUCCACCAUGUUGCAAAUCGUGUCAAUUUGGUAAACAAGCAAGACUUCCUUUCCAACAUGGAGACUGGAGAGCCACUGAUAAGUUGCAAUUAAUUCAUACAGAUGUAGCUGACCUCACAAAACUCCUUCACUCAAUGGGAGUAAAUAUUACAUUAUCUUUAUUGUUGAUUACACAAGAAUGUGUUGGAUCUAUUUUCUUAGGUUCAAAUCAGAGGUUGCAGGUGUGCUCUUCAAAUUCAAGAACUGGAUUGAGAAUCAAAGUGGCUGUAAAAUUCAAGUGUUGCGAUCAGAUAAUGGAAAAGAGUACACCUCCAAUGAAUUUGAUAAAUUUUAUGAAGAGGCUAGAAUAGAGCAUCAACUUACAACGCCAUACACUCCAUAACAAAAUGGGGUCAGCGAGCGAAAGAACAGAACAAUAAUAGAGAUGGCCAGAUGUAUGCUUCAUGAGAAGGAUCUUCCGAAGGAAUAUUGGGCUAAGGCAGCAAAUACAGCAGUAUUUCUGCUAAACCGACUUCCCACAAAAGCAGUCGAUGGAAAGACCCCUUUCGAGACAUGGUAUGAUUAUAAACUGCUGAUAAAAAAUCUGAAAGUAUUUGGUUGUUUGUGCUUUACUCAUGUUCCAUAGAUGAAGCGAGACAAGUUGGACAAAAGAACUGAGCCUGGCGUAUUCAUUGGAUAUAGCUUGACAUCUAAAGCUUAUAGAAUUUUUCAACCUGACACAAGAAAAAUUCUAUUAAGCAGGGAUGUAACUUUCAUGGAGAAUGAUAAGUGGGACUUCAACAAUGAAGAAAAUUAGCAGUUUGAUGAUCAAAAUCAAGACGAGUUGAUUGAUGAUUCUCCAAUACGUGGCACCAGAUCACUUGCUGACAUAUACCAGAGAUGCAACAUUGCUGUUCUUGAACCUUCAGGAUACUGGGAAGCCGAGAAGGACCCAAAUUGGAGAGCUGCAAUGAAAGAGGAGCUGUGCAUGAUUGAGAAAAAUCAAACAUGGGUCCUAGUUGAAAGGCCUCCACAUCAGAAAGUAAUUGGAGUGAAAUGGGUGUUUAGAAGAAAGAAAAACGCAGAUGGCUCAAUCAAUAAAUAUAAAGCAAGGUUAGUUGUGAAAGGGUACGCUCAAGUUUUCGGAGUAGACUUCUUUGAUACUUUUGCUCCUGUUGCAAGGUUAGAUACCAUCAGAAUGCUACUGGCUAUUGCAGCACAAAAGCAAUGGAAAAUCCAUCAACUAGAUGUAAAAUCAGCAUUCUUAAAUAGAUUUUUGGAAGAAAAAAUUUAUGUUGAGCAACCUGGAGGAUUUACUGUGAAAGGCCAUGAAGAGAAGGUGUAUUUAUUGAAGAAGACAUUGUAUGGCUUAAAACAAGCCCCAAGGGCCUGGUACAGCAAAAUUGAUGAAUACCUACUAAACUUAGGCUUUGCAAAGAGUCUUAGUGAGUCCACUUUAUAUAUAAAAGGUAACACUACUGAUUUCAUUAUGGUCUCAUUAUAUAUUGAUGAUCUUUUGGUCACUGGCAGCAAUAUUGAGCUUAUUCAACAGUUAAAAAAAGACAUGAUGCAAGUCUUUGAGAUGACUGAUCUUGGAGAAAUGUCUUACUUUCUCGAAAUGGAAAUUAAGCAAAGACAAGGUGAAGUUUUCAUCUGUCAACAGAAGUAUGCGAAGGAAAUCUUAAGGAAGUUUAACAUGGAGAACUGCAAAAGUGUAACUACUCCUAUGUGUCAAAAAGAGAAGCUUUACAGGGACGAUGGAAGCGAAAAAGUGGAUAAGUCACACUAUAGAAGUUUGAUGGGCUGCUUAAUGUAUCUUACAGCAACAAGACCAGAUAUACCGUUUGCUGUAAGUGUUCUUUCUAGAUUCUUGAAUUAUGCUAGUGAGUCUCAUCUUAUUGCCGCAAAAAGAGUUCUUCGGUAUGUCAGGGGAACCUUAAGUUUUGGGUUAAAUUCAGUUCUUCAACAAACUUCCAGUUGUACGGUUAUUCUGAUAGUGAUUGGGGUGGAUCGUUCGAUGACAAGAAAAGCACAUCUGGUUUUUGUUUCAGUUUUGGAUCAGGAAUAUUCAACUGGAGUUCGAAGAAACAAGAAAUUGUAGCACAAUCUACAGCUGAAGCAGAAUUUAUAGCUGCUGCAUCAGCAGUUAAUCAAGCUCUUUGGCUGCGGAAAAUUCUAAAUGAUAUAAACUUGGUACAAAAGACAAGUACUGAGAUUAUGGUGGACAAUCAAGCAGCAAUAGCCAUCUCUAAUAAUCCAGUUUUUCAUGAAAAAAUCAAGCAUUUCAGCAUUAAACUUUUCUUCGUUAGAGAUGUUCAAAAGGAUGGUGCAGUACAACUCAAGCAUUGCAAGACUAAAGAUGAGCUGGCAGACAUAUUUAGAAAGCCUCUUGCAAAGAUUAGAUUUGAAGAUCUAAGAGAAAAACUUGGAGUUCGCACCUACUGAUGCAAGGAGGAGUGUUUGAAUGUGUGCAUCAGUGAUUAAUUUGUUUUCUCAUGUUCAAUUUGAUUUCUUUUACCAAGUCUUUAGGAGUUUGUUAAGCAGUUAGUGCCUUAGUGGCAUUAGUUGGCACAGUUGUUGAUUUUCAGCUAGUUAGUUGUUUUUUCCAGUUUUUAAAUCAGUGUAUUUAAUUAUGAAAUUAUACCAUCAUUGACUAUCAAUCUUCUUCUCUCAAUUUUAUUCUCGUCUCUACUGUAAAACAAACCAACAAAUAUUAAUGAUCCUUGAGAUUUACCUCUCACAUUCUAAGCUUAAUUCUCAGAAAUUCUAUUGUUUUUGGUAAAGCUUCGAUUAUCUAAUCAGCAAGCUGCAAAUCACUUGAACAAUGGUGCAGCUUUAUAAAACAAAUCAAUUGGAGAGUUUUGAAUCUGUCCUAGAUCAUCAAGUAACUUUUUUAACCAUAUAUCAUGAUUUGCAACAGCUGCAACUGAGAUAUACUCAGCUUCCACAGUUUCUUGUGUAACAAUAUCUUUCAAGUCAAACGGAGAUUACCUGUUCCGGAGGGAUCCUUGCAUUCCAACAAAUAACUCUUGAACCUAAUGAGAAAAUAUAGUCAGAAGUGUUCUUCAUGUCAUCUACACAAUCAGCCCAAUCGUUGUCACCAUAUCCAAUUAACUUUACAUUUUCAAUCUUCAUAUACCAAGUAUCAAGGUCUGUGGUACCCUUCACAUAUUUCAACACUCUUCGUGCAACUCUCAUAUAGACAUUGCUAGGUGAACUCAUGAAUCUUGAUAGCAAACCAACAUGGAACAUCAAAUCUAGUCUAGCUGUUGUCAAAUAUAGCAAACUUCCUACAAUUCUGAGCAAGAGUAGAAAUUUCCUUAUAUGGCUCUAAUUUGAACUUCUUAAGAGCAUCUAUGACAUACUUUCUUUGUGAAAUGAAGAUGCCUGUGCUGCAUUAGUGUAUCUCCAUCCGAGGAAAGUAAUUCAUGGGACCUAGAUCAAACAUUUUAAACACAUUUUUCAUUUUCCUUUUGAAUUUCUAGGAGCAUUUCCAAUGCAUUUUUUAAAGCAUUUCUAAUGCACUCUUUAUAUAUGUCAAACUCUUUAUUUUAAAGAGUCAUAACAUAAAGUGACAUCUCAAUGCACGUUUUAUUCUUUAAAUAUAAAAUAGAUAUGGAGAGUCAACUUUACUCUCUCCUCUAUAUUUAAUAAAUGCACUAUAAAUUUUUAUACAUUUGAUUUAAUUGAUAUAUGUUAUUCUUAUUUUUUCUAUUGCUAAAAAUUANNNNNNNNNNNNNNNNNNNNNNNNNNNNNNNNNNNNNNNNNNNNNNNNNNNNNNNNNNNNNNNNNNNNNNNNNNNNNNNNNNNNNNNNNNNNNNNNNNNNNNNNNNNNNNNNNNNNNNNNNNNNNNNNNNNNNNNNNNNNNNNNNNNNNNNNNNNNNNNNNNNNNNNNNNNNNNNNNNNNNNNNNNNNNNNNNNNNNNNNNNNNNNNNNNNNNNNNNNNNNNNNNNNNNNNNNNNNNNNNNNNNNNNNNNNNNNNNNNNNNNNNNNNNNNNNNNNNNNNNNNNNNNNNNNNNNNNNNNNNNNNNNNNNNNNNNNNNNNNNNNNNNNNNNNNNNNNNNNNNNNNNNNNNNNNNNNNNNNNNNNNNNNNNNNNNNNNNNNNNNNNNNNNNNNNNNNNNNNNNNNNNNAUUUAUAAUUUUAUGGUUUUUAUACAGAUUUUAAUUCUAAAAUAUAACAUAUUAAUUAUAUUCUAAUUCAAUUAUACAUUUCUUUUCCUAAUAUAUAUAUAUAUAUAUAUAUAUAUAUAUAUAUAUAUAUAUAUAUAUAGGUACAGUUAAUUUGUUAAUAAUUUCUAAACAAAGUCUUGAUACAAAGUGCUUCAGCAUAAACUAAGCAGUGUUUUCACAUACUCUCUUUUUCCUUUUUUCUUUUUUCUUUUAAGUGAUCUUUUUUAUGCAUGUGUUGUUUAUAUUGAUGUUCUCAAAGUCUUUUUCAUCUCAAAGUAAACUUAUUUGAUUAUAGGAAACCUUUAGCUACUAAUAAACAAAAAUUAUGGCAUCUAAAUAUUCUCAAGAACUCGGAGAUGUAAAUCUAACAGGUCUAACUCUUGCUUCCUUAAAGCACAUCAUCACAGCCAAGUUCUCCAGGACCAAAAGAAUAGAGAUUUGGAAGCUUUAAAGUUGAUUUGAUCCACUCUGACAUUUAAUAACCAGACAGUCAACUAAAUACAAACUGGAAAAAGCAAAUUAGACCAAGGUGUUAUGUUAUCCACUAUUUUAUGUAUCUGCCUGCCUCAGCCAAUCAUGAAAUGUAGAUUUGCAUUAUCCAGCAUGCAGCCCUUAACAAUGUUAAUGAAGACAUGAUCUCAAGAAAUGUAGAUUGCUGCCCUGAUGAAAAAUAUUUUGCUUUCUUCUCUCAACUGAAUCACUAACCGCCCAUAUGCAACAAAAAAAUGAAAAAACUCUACCUAAGCCUCUCAACAGCUGCCUGUAAAAUUUCCUUAUCAUCUGCCUAUUAAUUGCAUCCACAGACUGGACUGAAUUAAGUAAAUAAUAUGUGCAACAGAAACCACUCUUUUGUUGUGUCAAAUCCAACUGUAACCCGGAUUCUUCCUCACUCCUCUAUCACACAUCAGUUUCCUUACAUCUGCCGCAUCGUCCCAAUAGCCUUCUGUUGCCAACAUAUUGGACAGUAAUAUGUAUGUUGCGGGAUCAUCAGGCCACAGCUCUAGAAGCUUUCUUGCAGAUCGCACAGCAAUUUCUCUAUUUCCAUGAACUAAACAAGCACUAAGCAGAGCUUUGUAAACUGAGGGCCCUGGAUCCAUAGGCAUGCAAUUAAUUAUGGCCUCAGCUUCACUUAGAUACCCAGCUCUACCAAAGAUAUCAACAACACUAGCGUAAUGCUCUACUCUAAGAGGUUCGAGUGAUAUAUCACUUCUCAUAAAAUCAAAAUACUCAAGCCCCUUAUCCACGCUACCAACAUGGCUACAAGCAGAUAACACAGCAAGGAAGGUGGUACUAUUAGGUUUGAUCUUAGUUUUUCUCAUCUGCUCAAAUAAUUCAACAGCCUCGUUACCAAAUCCAUGGUGAGCACAUCCUGUUAGAAGUGCAUUCCAUGAGACCACAUCAUGAUCCUCCAUCAACCAAAACACCCUCUUUGAAUCAUCAAUAGCUCCACAUCUUGCAUACAUGGAGACAAGCCCAUUUUGAACAUAAACACUCGAAGCAUACCCUGUUUUUACAAUAAGAGCAUGCAUUUCCCUUCCUUCUUCAAUAGCUAAAAAAGCCCCUAUUGCUCCUAACAAACUUGUAAAUGUGUAGAAGUCCAUUUUGAUGUUAGCAUGCCUCAUUUCACAGAAACACUUAAGAGCAUCCUCACCUAAUCCUAGAUUUGAAUAACCAGCAAUGACUGCAUUCCAUGAUAUUUGAUCACUUAAUUGAACACCAGAGGAUAUUUUAUUAAAAUCCUCCAAAUUGUUAGUACACUUUGAAUACACAGUCACAAGUGUAGCUGCUAUAUAAAGAUUACACUCCAAACCACACCGAAUUAUAGAACAAUGAACUUGCUUGCAAUACUGCAUAUAUUUAGGACCAGAAAAUGAACUAAGAAGACUAUUAUAAGUCACAUAAUUUGCCUUAAUACCCAGACGCAUCAUUUCUCUUACUAAAAUCAUUGCUUCAUCAGGUUGCUCAUUCUGUGCAUAUGCAGUGACCAUAGCAGUCCAAGUAACCACAUUCUUAUCCACCAUAUAAUCAAAAACCCUCCAAGAAUCAUCAACACCGUCACAUUUUGAGUACAUGUCAAUUAAAGCCGUCCCCACAAAAACAUUAUUAUCAAACCCAAGUUUCAGACUUAGUCCAUGAACCUGAGCUCCAAAGUUUCGAACCUCUAAUUGGGAGCAGACAACAAGACAAGUCGAAACACUAAAUGAUGUUACACCUCUCAUCGCACCUAACAUCUCGACAAACAAUUGAACAGCAACAUGUGGGCAUGACAUUCAAAUACCCAAAGAUUAACGAAUUCCAAGUAACAUCAUUUCGUUCAGGCAUUUCGUUGAAAACUUCAUGAGCACUCUGAAUUUCGCUACACUUAGCAUACAUAUCUACGACAGCGCUGCAUAUAUGUACGUUUGAAGUAAAACCCAUUCUGAUAAUGGUAGAAUGUAAUUGAAUACCCAGAUCAUAAGAAGCAAACUUCGCACAAAAGGAGACAACUUUGUUGAUAAAGUAAGGAUUAGAAAAGGACCCAUUUCGCAGUAAAUGAGCAAAUAGGUCUGAAUCAAAGGUCUGGUAGUACUGAUAGAGGUAAUCUUGUUCUGGGUUGCUGGCAAUGUGGUAAGCGCGGGAAAGCAGAUGAUUGGUGGGUUUGAAAGCUCUCUGUAGAUUGCACCACAGUUGAGAAGUAAAGAAUCGCAAGCUCAUUGAGUUGCAAACCAUUUCAGAGAUACAAAUUUAUCACAAUUUACCAUUGUAUCAUGGUUACAUUAAGAGACAGAUCCGUAACUACACAAACGACGAUGUCAUUGGAUAACCUGGGGAACUCAUUCGAAGGAGACAUUUAAUACAAAUUAGUACUUGAAAUAAAUACUUAUGUCACUUUACUCCUCAUGUAGACCUGGUCUACUAUCGGGCCAAGUCAAGUUCGAGCUGGCUUAACUUUCCAAGUUUUUAUCCCUACGCCAGUUCGGGUUGCUUUUACUGAAGAGAUAAUUAUAUUUUUAAUGUUUAAAUUUAUAUGAUAAUUAAAUGGUUAAAUUUUUAAAAUUAAAAUUAAAUUUGAUAAUUUAUAAAUAAAUUAUAAAUAAUAUUUUUAGUAGAUUAUAUAUUAUAUAUACUGUUGUAAAAUUCUUUUUAUGUAAAUGAGAUGAAAAAUAAAAAAUACAUAGUAAAAAUGCGUCGUAAAAUAAUAAAAUGAUAAAUUUAUUUAUUAUAUAUAAAUGUGUUUUUAUUAAGUCAUUAGAAUUUUGUUAUGUAAUAAAUAUUAAAAUUUAUAAAUUAAAAAUCAAGAAUUAAGACUAUUAAAUUGGGAUUAAUAGAAAUUAAAGGAAGAAAGUUAUAUAAGAUAAAAUUUAUUAUAAAAUUAUAUCACAAAUGAAUAUAUUUUAAUUUUUGACGUGUUCAAUAAUUUUUUAUUUUUUAUUGAUAACUAAAAAAUUAAAAAAAAUUAAAAAUUACCUGCUAAAAAUAUUAUUUUUUUAUUUUUUUAUAAAUUAUUAUAUUUAAUUAUUAAUUUUAAAAAUUCGACCACUCUAUUUCCAUUUUUUUGACAAGAUCAGACUAACUAUUUCUUUACUAAAAUAUAUAAAACCCACAACUAUGUUCCUGUACUAUGCCAGUUUAUUUCAGUUUAGUCCUAUAUAUCUAUUUGUUUUCUGAAGAGUCCUUAUACUAUAAUCUUUAUUAUCUUUAUGUCCUUAUAUGAGCGGCUUGUGCAUAUGGCUGAUGAAAUCGUCAAACUAAGUCCAGCCAAGCAAAUUAAUUAAAAAUCAAAGUACACAUUAGCUGACAAGUGUCAUACAGGGAUGAUUACAUGGCAAGCACCUAAUAUAAAUUGAUAUAACACUUUAGUUUCUUACCUAGAUUUCCAUUCACCUGAAUCAAAUUUUAGAAAAUUUAGAACAAGAAAAGUAAAAAAAGAAAUAGCUCGUCUUGAUGAUGAGUAGCUGUUUGAAACUAAAUUAUUUAACGGGAUCCCUCUUGUAAUGAAUUAUUAUUCAAUGUUUUGAAAUUGACCUGCAAAAUCUUAAUAAUAUCAAAAAGAACCAAAACUUAAAAGAUUUCAACAUAUAAAGACACCAAUAUUUACAAUAUAUAUAUAAAAAAUACAUUGCAAAAAACCACAAGAAGGGUAUUUCUUUUAUAGUAUAUAGUUACCGUCUAAUAUUUAAAAUUUAUAUUUUUCAUCCUUCUAUUUUUAAAAACCCCUCCUCUUGAAAUUUUCGUUAAACAAUCGUUAACUAUAUUUGAUUUUAUACUAUUUACUCAUUGAUCUUUAGUGUAAUAUACAAAUUACCCCUUAUAGUUUAUUUAUUAUACUAUAACCCUUUGUCUAAUUUUUGUGCAAAAGUUAAUUUUAGUGUCUAUACAAAAAUAAUUAACUAGUAUUCUUUAAUUACUCUAAUUUUAGCAUAAUUAAAUUUUAGUAAAAUUUAAAUAUUUUAAAAAUACUUAUAUUUGUCAAAAUAUUAAAAAUUCAUAUAAUUUAACUUUAAAAUAUUAAAAUAAAAUAGGCAUUAUUUUUAUUAUUAAUUUUGUUACACUAGAAUUGUAACUUCGAUAAAAAGUUUAAUGAUCAAAUUAUAUUUUUUUUAUCAAUUUAGUUAUUUAAUUGUAUUGACUUUUACAAGGGAUCUUAGUGAAAUAAAAAAUGUAGAGGUAAUUUGUAUAUUAUACAAAAGUUCAAGGGCAAAUAGUAAUCCAGUUAACAAUUGUUUAACGAAAAAUCGGAUGGAAUGAGUUUUUAGUAUUAAAAAAUAUAAUUUUUAAAUAUUAAGGGGUAAAUACUGUAAUAUAAAAAGAACAAGAGAUGUAUAGCAAUUACUCCUUUAACGGUAGUGAUGGUGAGAUGGGUAACAAAGAGUCAGAUUCGGAUAAGAUUAUUUUGAAUNNNNNNNNNNNNNNNNNNNNNNNNNNNNNNNNNNNNNNNNNNNNNNNNNNNNNNNNNNNNNNNNNNNNNNNNNNNNNNNNNNNNNNNNNNNNNNNNNNNNNNNNNNNNNNNNNNNNNNNNNNNNNNNNNNNNNNNNNNNNNNNNNNNNNNNNNNNNNNNNNNNNNNNNNNNNNNNNNNNNNNNNNNNNNNNNNNNNNNNNNNNNNNNNNNNNNNNNNNNNNNNNNNNNNNNNNNNNNNNNNNNNNNNNNNNNNNNNNNNNNNNNNNNNNNNNNNNNNNNNNNNNNNNNNNNNNNNNNNNNNNNNNNNNNNNNNNNNNNNNNNNNNNNNNNNNNNNNNNNNNNNNNNNNNNNNNNNNNNNNNNNNNNNNNUUUAUUUUUCUUAAAAUUUUCUAGUUGAAAAUCUGAAGUUCAAAGUUUCAAUACUAAUAAUGGAUCAUCUUUUACCUCGUACCUGCAUGAUUGCUUCUUUGUUAGACUAUUAUUUUGUUUAUCUUAUAGUUUCCUUCAAAAUUAAAGAAAACAAAUCAAAAAAUAAGUUUUUUUUUUUAAUUUUAAAAAUAGGUUACUUGUAAAUGUGUUUCUAUUGAUAAAUUAAUCAAUUUUAAAUUCAAAAUGCAUUGCAAAUUUAUUUAAUUAAUUCAUUAUUAUCAAUUAAAUUUUUUGAUUUUUAUUAGAAAAACUGCUUAAAUUUAUUAAUUUAAAUUUUUUACUCAAAAUAUAAUUUUAUUUUCAAAUCCAAACAUUUUACCUCAUAAAUAUAACAUAAAUACAAAUUAAAAUAAAAAUUAAACUAAAUUACAAGAUAACAAAUAUGAAGUUGUUUUCUAUUAUAAAUAUUUUAUUUGAUAACUUGUUAAUAUUUUGUUUCUUAAUAUUAUAUAUAUUUAAUUGAAGUUAAUUAUUUUAUUUAAUGGCUAAUAAUUAAUAAUUUAAAAAAAAUUAGAAUUUAAGAGAUGAUAUUACAAAAUAUAUAUUUAUAAAAUUUUAGUUGAAAUAAAAUAUAUUAAAAAAAUUAGUAGCGAAAUGAUUAUAUAUGAUAAUUAAAUGUCACAAAAUAUUACAUUACAGGUUAUUUUAGAUUUUGAAUAUAGUUAUGUCAGGUAUUAUCAAAUUAUGUCGAUUUCAAGAUCUAAUAGUUUCGGGUUCGCCUUAUUUUCAGUUUUUACCUAUUUCGAGCUAGGAUUGUUUUUGUCCCAAGUCAUUUGGAUUCAAAUCACUUCGGUCUUUGAUUGCUUCAAGUCUGAGUCAUUUUAGGUUCAAGCAAUUUCGGUCUCGUUAUUUUAGAUUUGAAUUUUUAUUUUUUAUUAAAAUUCAGAUUCGAACAUAUCAAAUUUUAGGCGAGUAAGAUCGGAUUUCCAUAUUUUAGUAUUAGAGAUGGCAGAUAGGCAGAUAUUUUCGGAUAUCUAACCUAACCAAAUCCUAAUAAGACUGGUUCAAAUAAUUAUAAACAAAUUUGAGAUUAAAUUCUAAUAUCCAUGCAGAGCUCGAAAUCAAACUCUUGGAUACCCGCUACUUGAACCCGAUUAUUUAAACAAAUACGGAUAUUGAGUACUUGAAUUUAGUACCCAAUGUCCGCUUAAAUGACAGACAUAUAUAUUAUGUACAUGAAAUAAAAUAAGAAAAAAUUAAAAUUAUAAAUUUUAUAUAAACUUACAUACUUUAGAUUUUAUACUUUAUUAAUUUUUGUUAAUAUAUUUUAGAUUUUAAUUAUUGUAAAUGGAUUUAGUAGAUAGAUACUCAUAUAAUUACUCGAAUAUUAAUAUGGAUAGAGUAUUUGCUACCUAUUUAAAUAUCUAUAAAAAUUAUUUAAUAAAUAUAUAUUAAAUGGAAUUUUAUCUACUUGAAAUAGUAUAUGGAUACUUUUAUCUAAAUUUAAAAUAAGUUCAAAUAAUUAUGUAAUCUCUUAAAUGAAUUUAAAAUAAAUAUAAGUAUACAUAUUUUAAUUGAGUACAAAUUCUAAUAUUUUUAAAUAGGCAAACACCUUAUCUGUAAUACAAAGUUUAGGAGCUAAAUUAGUCCUUAUUUCUUUUCUAAAAUGUAAUACAAGAGGUUGAGCAUUGUUUUGGCGGUGUUUGGCUUGUCUAAUAAAGCAGCAUAAUAGCAUUUGUAAUUAUACUUUUUAUAUAAUUUUUAAUAAAUUAUAAAUAAAUAAUUUUUUAUUUUAAUUUAUCUUGAAAUGUACAUGUAUUUUAAUAAUUUUUUAUUUUAUUUUUUUGUUAAUAAAAUAAAAAUAAAAAAACGAAUAAGAAAAUGUAAUUUUCAAAAGAAAAAAAUUAAAAAAAAUAAGAGACAAAAAUAAUAGAAAUUCUUAAAAUUUAAAAAGAGAGAAUAAACCAAUAUCAGUGAUUUAAGAGGUGGUUGAGGGUGCUCGGACAAGUGAACAUUAAGGUUGGCUCGACUAAGCUGGCUUAACUAGGUUGCACACAUAAACCCCUCUGUGUCGCCACUCACCAAAGCAGUCCUCUUACGAUUAUUGACUGCUAAAACCCCAUUUUCCUGAUUUUUAUCUAACAUUUCCUCUCUUUUCAUUACUCUCUCCCUUAUCUCUCCACACUCCCAUCCAUCAGCCAUGCCCUCCUUCGCCGCACCCACCAAUCUCAUCACCAACACUCCUCUCUCCUCCUCUUCCCGCCGUAAAUCACUCGCCUCCUCGACCGGCACUCCUCGCGCUUCCUCUUUCAAAUGCGAUCUCUCUUCUUCUUCUUCUUCUUCUUCUUCUUCUUCUUCACAACAAAACCCUAAACCCCACAAUUCCCUUCUCAAAACCUUGACUAAACCUCUGGCCGUUGCUUCCGCUGCCAGUCUCUUCCUCCGACUCACCCCCAUCCCUUCCCCCUUCAGCGGCGGUGGUAAUAAUGGCGGCGACUGGGGAGGCCGGGGCGGCGGAGGAGGUGGAGGCGGAGAAAACAACUUUAAUGGCGGUGAAGCUGGCGGAGAUGGGUUUUGGAAUAAACUGUUUCAACCGGCACCGGCAAUUGCGGACGAGUCACAGUCAAAAGAUUUUGAUUCACAUGGUUUACCGGCAAACAUUGUGGUUCAGUUAAACAAAUUGAGCGGUUUUAAGAAAUACAAACUCUCAGACAUCGUUUUCUUCGAUCGGCGACGAUAUACAACUGUCGGCAGCCAAGAUUCAUUUUUUGAAAUGGUGUCACUCCGACCGGGAGGGACUUACACGAAAGCACAGCUCCAAAAAGAGCUUGAAACACUAGCGAGUUGUGGAAUGUUCGAGAAAGUAGAUAUGGAAGGAAAAACAAACCCUGAUGGAACCCUAGGGAUUACGAUUUCAUUUACUGAGAGUACAUGGCAAUCAGCCGAUAAGUUUAGGUGUAUCAAUGUAGGACUAAUGCAACAGUCGAAACCAAUUGAGAUGGAUCCAGAUAUGACUGAUAAGGAGAAAUUAGAGUAUUAUAGGAGUCAAGAGAAGGAUUAUAAGAGAAGGAUUGAGAAGGCGCGCCCGUGUUUGUUGCCCGCAUCUGUGAAUAGAGAGGUGCUUCAGAUGUUGAGAGAUCAAGGGAAGGUUAGCGCGAGAUUGUUGCAGAAGAUUAGGGAUAGAGUACAGAAAUGGUAUCAUGAUGAAGGCUAUGCUUGUGCUCAGGUUGUUAAUUUUGGGAAUCUGAAUACUAAAGAAGUUGUUUGUGAAGUUGUUGAAGGGGAUAUUACUCAGAUGGUUAUUCAGUAUCAGGAUAAACUUGGUAAUGUUGUUGAAGGGAAUACUCAACUUCCUGUUGUUAAAAGGGAAUUGCCUAAACAGGUGAAUUUUCAAUUUGGUUGUUUAUGUGAUUAGUGCAUGACUUUGAGGACCAAUAUAGACUUCAGUUUUAGGUUAGACUGAAUGAACCAUUUCCCAUAAGUUCCAUAUUCAGUAAAAGCUGUGAAUAUAACCAAUUAAGAUAUCUGAUUCAAUAGAAACAAUAAAGCAAAUGGGGCGUAUAAAUAGUAACAAAAUUUGUUUUGGUUGUUAAGUCAUCAAUAUCUAAGACUUCAUAUUAAACUGAGCAUAUAUUUACCAAUAAUCUAGGGCUCUAGGACAAAUGAAUUUGAUAAAUAAAGCCAAAUUGUUAAUUCAAUUGUUCAAUUUCAUAAUCAUGGCAGGUGAUAUAGUUGGACUAUUAUUUUAUUUUGAUGGAGAUUACUAGUUUAAACAUUUGAGCCUUUAGUCCCAAGCAUGAAUUAUCAGUUAUUAGACUUGCAUUGCCAAUUGAAUUGCUGCUGACUUUUUGCUUACAUCCUACCCUAGGCUACAAAAAUCUUUGUGCGCUGACUCAGUGAUAUGUAUAUUAAUUGGUAACAUACAGCUUCGACAAGGUCAAGUUUUUAACAUUGAAGCUGGGAAACAAGCUCUCAGGAACAUAAAUUCAUUGGCCUUGUUUUCAAAUAUUGAAGUGAACCCAAGGCCUGAUGAGAAGAAUGAGGGAGGAAUUAUUGUUGAGAUUAAGCUUAAAGAACUAGAGCCUAAAUCAGCUGAAGUUAGCACUGAGUGGAGUAUUGUACCUGGACGUGGAGGGCGUCCCACAUUGGUAUGUAUGUCCAGUUAUGUAAUGAAUCCAUUUCUAAUUAGAUUUGACUUGAGGCUUAGUACCAUAGUUCUAAUUAAAAAAAUUAUGACAUUCCUGUCCAGGCUUCAUUCCAGCCAGGUGGAACUGUUUCUUUUGAGCACCGGAAUAUCAAAGGGCUGAAUAGAUCCAUUCUUGGUUCAAUAACCACCAGCAAUUUCUUUUUACCUCAGGUGAUUUCUCAUAAAUAUUUAUUUGUUUUUCCCUCAAUAGUAUCCAGGGAUGCUUCAUUAUCCUUCACCUAAUGUAUCACAUCUGAAAAUGUCAUUGGUGAAUCUAUUCAUCAGGAUGAUCUUGCUUUUAAGCUGGAGUAUGUUCAUCCAUAUUUGGAUGGUGUAUAUAAUCCACGCAACCGCACUCUCCGUGCAAGCUGCUUCAACAGCCGGAAACUAAGUCCAGUCUUCACUGGUGGGCCAGGAGUGGAUGAAGUCCCUCCUAUAUGGGUUGAUCGUGCUGGCCUCAAAGCUAACAUUACUGAGGUGAUUUGGCAAUGCCUUAUCUAUGUAUAGUCUGUUGUUUGGGAAGCCUUUUGAAUCCUAUCAGGUCUUUACCUAACAAAUGCUAAUUGACAUGUGAAAACAGAAUUUUACUCGUCAGAGUAAAUUUACUUACGGAAUUGUGAUGGAAGAGAUAACAACACGAGAUGAAAGCAGCCAUAUUUCUGCCAAUGGUCAAAGAGUGUUGCCAAGUGGAGGAAUUAGUGCAGAUGGGCCUCCAACAACUCUCAGUGGUACUGGCAUUGAUCGCAUGGCCUUUCUACAAGCAAAUAUCACGCGUGAUAACACCAAGUUCGUAAAUGGAGCUGUAGUUGGUGAGAGGAAUGUAUUUCAGGUUAGCUUUUUUCUGUUUUUAAUUUUUUAUCUUAAGGGGUGUUUUGAAUUAGUUUUAUUAUUAAAAUCUUUGGAGUUGCUGAACCCUCUACUUUUGUUUGUGUUUUAGAUGCAAACUGCCUUUUUCUUUUUCCUUUUUCUGUUUUAUCUUUUUAGUUUAUUAGUGAGCUGAGGAAAGUAAAAGGGUAUAAUUAUGCUUGGGCAAGUAUCACUUAUACUAUUCGCUUUAGAGAACAAUCUUUGAGCAUACUCAAGGUUUGGAAUGAUUAUCGUAAUGCCUUGUUACGGUGCUGGUGUUUGAUUAAGUAAAUCUUGGAAUGCAAACAUUGAGGAUUUGUUGAGAGAAAAUAGUACAUUUAAAAUGUAUAUCUAUUUACUGUUUGCAUUUCCUGAGCUCCUGAGUCCUGAAUGCCAAGUAUUUAUCUUGAAUGAAAGAGAUAAUGUUCCCCCUAAGUGUCAGCGAAACUUCAGUAGUUCAAUAGAUAUUGUGUACUGUAACAAUUUGGUGGUUAUGUACAAAUUUUGGGUUUGGUUGUGCAGUGGGUUUAUCUUCACAGAAUGUCUACCAAUCUCAGUUUGUGUCUUUCGGAAGUAAUAUGUUGACUUCUCAGAUCUUUUAUGUGCGAGUUGCAGGUGGACCAAGGCCUUGGAAUUGGCAGCAAGUUUCCAUUCUUUAACCGUCACCAACUUACUAUCACGCGAUUUAUACCAUUGACGCAAGUGGAGGAAGGUGCUGGUAAACCGCCACCGCCUGUACUUGUCCUGAAUGGGCAUUAUGGUGGAUGUGUAGGAGAUCUUCCAAGUUAUGAUGCUUUUACCCUUGGCGGACCUUAUUCUGUAAGAGGCUACAAUAUGGGUGAAUUAGGAGCAGCCAGAAACAUCCUUGAGGUAAGAAUUACUGGAGACAAGUUAACUGAAUAGGAUGAACUGUCUUCUAAAUUAUAUACUGUUAUUUUAGUUCUGUUACAUGUGAAAUGGAGAGAGAUCUGUACCAACCAUUAAUCUACUGAUUAUCUAUAGAUGGAAACUACAUUUCAAAAGCAUGGAGAACUGCAGCUAAAUAUCUGAUUUCUUUUUUACAUUUUUGCCUGCAGCUUGGAGCUGAAAUAAGAAUACCUGUGAGAAAUACGCAUGUAUAUGCAUUUGCAGAGCAUGGAAAUGAUCUCGGAACAUCGAAGGAUGUCAAAGGAAACCCAACAGAGGUCUACAGGAGAAUGGGACAUGGUUCAUCAUAUGGUGUUGGUGUCAAGCUGGGUUUAGUGAGAGCUGAGUAUGCGGUCGAUCAUAAUACUGGCACUGGUUCAAUAUUUUUCCGUUUUGGGGAGAGAUACUGAAAACAAUCCACAAUUGGUUAUGUAGAUGUGCUUAGUAUAUUUCAGCUAUUAGGUUUUUUUGGAAGAACUGGAACUGUUGACCAGAGCGAAACUUUACGAGAACCCUAGAACUAGAUUGAGAAAUAUCUUUUCAUUUGAGUGCACUGCGCCCUUUUUCCAGUAGAUGGUUGUUAGUCUCUUAUAUUGGCUGUUUGAUGAGAGAUUUGAAAUGGUGAAAAAGAGACGGAUGUUUCAGAUAAUUUGUGUGCUUGCUCUUUAGACAUGUCUCUGGCUAAUUAGGCAAGUUUCUUUAUCUUUGGUUGUGUAAAACUGAAAAUAAAUUUACACAUUUCAAAGUGAUUAAAUUUUCUCAAGUCUCUUUUGGCUUUUGCUUUAGAUUAAGUCUGGCCUUUCUAACAAGUAUAACAUCUUUAUGUAUUUCGGUUCCUGAUAAUGAUCUUAUGACGAAUUAGAAAUCUCAGUAAUUGAUAUAUCCAGGUCCUCCAAUUUCACCAGGUACACCGCAAAUUGAAGAAGAGAAGGCUUGCGAGGAAAUAAAAUGAUUUCGUGGAUUUAUAUCUAUUGAAAUGGUGAAAUCUGCAGGUGAUCCAAUUCAGGGAUGCAGACUUGCAUGCCUCCCUACCACAGAACUACAACUACAAAUAUCCACAAGCUCACGUCUUCCAUGGCCAAAGGCUGAAAACUGCACUCUCAAUACCAUCAUGCAAUCCUCAUACCUAGCAGAAGUUGCCUUCCAUGUUCCAUCCAUAUAAGAUUAAUGGCAAGAUAAGGCUUCAUUAGAAGUCACUCUUCAGACUGUUUAAGAGUAAUGGCAAGCAAUUAUUUCUGAUGCUUCAUCCUCCCCUUCAAUGCCGUGUUGCAUUUAACUGCUACAAUCCCAAUUCCUUUUUCAACUUAGCCAGAGUUGCUUCAAUCUCGUCAAUGUUAUCUUUAAUGCUGCUACCCCUGCCACCUUCGUUUUGAACAUCAUUUCCUGUUCGUUUUGUCCCUGAACUCGCAAAUGAACUGUCCUUUUGAGAUCCAAAAUCAUUUGCUUCAGCUUCUGUAUUGGUAAUGUCAAGCUCUUUCUCCAGAAAUUCCACAAAGUCUUCUCCAAUUUCCUGUAAAACAUUAAAUAUCAUAGAACGUGAGACUGUCAUUUAAUAGUCCUAUCUGAUUUACACAAAUCUUCAGGUUUAUACAAAUGUCCAAAGAAUAAUUGGGGUGGGAGCAAAGGGAUAAAUUAUGCAUUAGAAAAAGACAUACUGCUAAUUCCUCCCAUAGGCUCUUUGGUUUCCCCUGUGAUGAAGAAGUCGCUUCCCAAUUCUGAAAUUCUUCUUGCAGAUCUCUAAAGAAGUCCCCUGUAACAACAAUGUCAGAAUCGGAGAACUAAAAGGACAAGGAUAGUAGAAAAGUGAAAAUGCCAUCAGGAUCUUGAACAACAGGAAAGAAACAGAUUAUAACAAUUGUCUCAUCUUGUAGAGAGUACAAACUACCUAUUGUUAUUUGAACAUCCCUCAAAAAAUCACCUGCAGCAUAAAGCGUUCAAGUAUAAGAACACGUGAACCUAAAUCCUAAAAAUGCCUUAUAAAAGACACCAUAAAACAUUAAGCAAAUGAUUUCUCCGUCCAUUCGGAAGAUUAUCCAUAGAGGUUCACCAGAAAAAAACUAUUUGAAGAGCAUGUAAGAAAACUACAAACAACCAUUAAUUCCAGCACAGUUCACUUAGUUAAAAUUAGCCUGUCAGAUAUUCGAGGACAUGAUAUGUCAACUGUCUGCUACAGUGCUAUCCUCAAAUGGAAAAGAGUAACAACAGAAUCAUAUAGCAGUACAGUUCCCGCUUAUGUUUCAAAUGGAAAAGAGUAAUAACAGAAUCAUAGAUUCUGAUGCUGUUAACCAAGCAACAUCUUGUCAAUAAAAAGAACCGUUCACAGAUGGCAAAAAAAGAUAGCAUGAAUUUUAACCAAAGGUCCCGGUGCUACCCAGUUAUAAAUUGGUCCAAGUUGAUGAUUGAACACAAUCAUUUAAGCACUUUAUAUUAAUUCUUCCAGUUGACUGGUAGAAGGAAUCAGGUUGGACCUCAUCCCAGGAGAUCCUUCAGUAAAGACACACUAAUUAGAAUGUGUCAGGUGUUUCAAGGCAACUUAAUAAACCACUAAACGGGUGAUCAUCAUAGCAAACUUGGUGCAGGUAAUCAACAAGUAGAAAAGAGCAAUAGACUCGACAAGCAUUUUACAAGUUCGAUAAUCACAAAGAUUUUGGUUGGUUUGCUAAUUUUACCAAAUCCGUAAAAUUCUUCUUCAUUUUGUGUAUUCCCGCUUUGACUUCUUUCCGUGUCGGAGUAUGAAAAACCAGAUGAUUUUCCAGCAUCAUUCUUCCUCCGAGAUUCAGAGUCCAGCAAUGUAGUGUAGGCAUGCUUAAUUCUCAUAAAUUUCUCCUGUGCAUUUGCCUGCCCACCAAAUAAAUUUCAAAAAGAAACCAAUUACAGAAACAUCAAAAAUAUCAGAAGUGUUUACAAUUUCCAGUGACCUAGUACAGUUUAUCCUCCCUAUCUCUCGAGAGUUAUCAUUCGUUCCUCGUGGGAGUAAAUUACAUACAGUCAAAAUUUGCAAUCCACUUCAGAUUUUGCAUGAAAAAGGCAAUGGGUACAAAAUAUAUACGUAUAGCCAGGAUUGUAAAAAAUUUCUUUUACAUAAUUUGAUCCAAUGCCUUCAAUUUGUAUCCAUAUCCAUAUUUACACAUACUAGUCACAGGACCCUUAAAGUUAUCCAGAAAACUCAGAAUGGCAUUCUAAUUAGAUAGGCGUUUACACUAAAUGCUUAAUAGAUAACUACACUAGAACUCGUUCCACAAGGAAACAACCUAUAAAAUUAACUUACUUUUGCACAAAGGAAAUUCAAGGAAAGAACAAGAAGUUACAAAAUAAAAAGAUACAAUAUCCUCAAGAUUCAAUAGAAUCAAUACAAUUUAGCCAAAAUAAUCUCCAAAAGACUAGAAAACUAGAUACGCCCAGUUAAAUUCUACACAAUUGGAGCUAAAUACACUUAAAAUUAGUCAAAUAAAAUAAAUAGCACAAGAGGACUGGAUACCUCCUUAUUAACAUCAGGGUGAUAUUUUAAAGCAAGUUUCCUGUAAGCCCUUUUAAUUUCAUCAGGAGUUGCAGAAGGAGAAACACCUAAUACUUGAUAAGGAGAUUCUCUACGACUGGCCUUCAAAAGGGUAACACAAUUUCUUCUCUUAUUGUUGAAGAUUGGAUUGGGUACUUGAGGAGUGUAAAAAUCACCUCUAUAAAAGCUAUAUCUAACACUGGGUAUUGCGUGGUUUCUUAAGAGAAGAAGAGAUCUUGGAGAAUAGAGAAGGUUUCUUGGUGUUGGAGGAGGAGACAAUGCAUACAUGUUCUUGAAAAUAUUAACAACCAUGUAUUAUUGCAUGUGGGUUAUUCGUGAAAGAUGCAAAUUCUUGAUGAUACAUGUCGUUUUAUUAUUUCUUGUCCUAAUAUAAUCCAAGAAGAAACUGUAUCAACCGUUGAUAUGAUAGCGGUUUUAGCUCCCUAAAUGAACCGAACUAAACCGAAUUGAUUACAUUAAUGCCUAUUACAUGUGUAAAUUAUUAUUAUAUAAAUUACUUAAUAAAUUAGUAUAUAAUAUAAUACUAAAUAAUAAAUAGUCAUAUUAAUGAAAUAUUAUAAUGAUAGAAAUAUAUAAAUUAAUUUGUUAAUAAAAUAAAAGUGAAAGUAUUAUAUAUUAUUUUUUAUAAUUUAUUUAUUAUUUUUUAUAAAAAUUUAUUAUUAAAUUAUCUAAAUUCUAUUAUAGGUAUAUAUAGUGUGAUAUAUAAUAAUUUAUUAAUUAAUAAGAUUAUUUUAGUUAAUUCAAAAAUUUUUUAUUUGUGUUUUUAUAUAUAUUAUAGAUAAAUAAAUAAAUUAUAGAUAAUUAUUAUUAUCUUGUGAAUUUACUCGACUUUGUAUUUUUAUUUUCUUUCUAUGUAUAUAUUUUUAUUUUUGAAAUAAAUAGAAUAAUUAUGAAAUCGUUAUUAAAAAAUAGAUUAUUUUUAUUAUAUACAUUAUUUCAAAUUCAAGCUUUUAUUGUUAUAAAACGUUAAAUGCAAGGAGUCAUUUAUCUAUAGAAUUACAAAACUUUUGUAUCUAAAGGUAAUUAUAACAUUGGUAUUCUCUAAACAACUUGAAAAGAUAAUGAGAUAAAUAGCAACUUCAUUAUAUAUAACACUAAGACUCUGAUCGGUCCAAAUUAUGUAUAGAUAUUUAAGGGUAUAUUAAAACUUUAAUGAUAUAUUUCUAUAUAUAAAAUGGUGAAAAUAUGUGUUUUUGCCUCACUUAAGCUUAAUUGUCUAUUUUUAGGAAUAUUAGCAAAAAAGGAAAAAUAUGGAGCUAAAAGAAACUUAAUGGGACAUAUUCGUGUCAAGGUCCAAGAUUAAGACGCAUGGACUGCUAAUUAUAAGGUCUAAGGGAUAUUUUAGUCAUUUUGUAUAACUAUUAAGAUUUAUAUUAAGAGUUAUUUAUGAGAUAGUAUUUGGUGGAGAUUAAGAUACUUAAAGUUUUAUCUAUUAGAUUGACUUAUAUUAGUAUAUUCAUCUCUUUAUUUGGAGGAGGACUCUCCUCUAUAUAAAUCUCUGCAAAACUCUAAAAAUGGAAGGAAAAAAGGAUGAGAGUUUUCUCUUACCUGCUCUCUACACUUGCCACCAUUAUUCUCUCCAUAAUUCUCUACAGUUUUUCCAUAAACAUAUAGUUUUAGUUUUCAUUACUCUUUUUAGCAUCUAAGGAGCUUUUCAAGAAGUAGAGACUGAAGACCAAUCUUUUUCCUACUUGAAGAAAUUCUUGAUCUAGAGGGAGUUUUUACUUUUUAUAUCUUUCUAUUUAAUACCAUGAUCAUUGGGUUAAAUAUGUUAGGCUAGUUUUCAUAAGUGUUUAGUUUAGUCUUUCUACUUUUGUAUAAACCUUGUUAUUUUUAUUUAUUUAAUGAAUGAUUUUUUUACCUUCAUAUCUUUAUUAAUUUCAGUUAUUAUUGUUAGUUAACCAUCAUAUUAAUUUAGCAAUAGUAAUUGUUAUGAAAAUCUUUAAGUUUAAAAGUAUUAGAAACGUCAUCUUUACUUUAAUCUAUGUUGGUAUAAGAAACCUAGGUUGCAUUAUUAGCUUGAGUGACUUAAGGAAAAAGGCACAUCACCAUCUCAUUCAUUAGAUCUAGGCUUAAAGUAAAACAAAGAGAUUACUAAGUAAAUGGAUAAAUUAAAUAUUGUUGUUAGCAUAUAGUUUUAGAUCAUAAGCAUUUGCAUUUGCGUUGCAUAUUUAUUUAUUAUUUAGUUACUUUACUUUAUGAAUAUCAUUCUCUUAACAUACUGAUUUAGAGUGUUUAGAUUUACUUUUAUUUUUUUGUGUUGAUAAUUAGUCUUUAUAAUAAGUGGCCUCAUAGUUCCUUGAGAGAUCGACCUCGUGGUGAACUUACCCUUACUGUAGGAACGAUUCGUGCACUUGCGAGUACUAAAAAAGACAUAUCAAGUUUUUGGCGCCGUUGCCGGGGAACUGUGUCCAAAUUUAUUAUAUUGAUUGGUUAUCAAAAGUGUCUUGUGUUUGUUAGUUUGUUUUAUGUUUUUUGAUUUAUUUUGUUUAUGUGUUUUUAUUUUUUUUGUUUGUUUGGUGUUUUGUGAUUUGUUUUGUUUAUGUGUUUUUGUUUUGUUUGUAAAUUUUAUUUUAAAAAUUUUAUUUUCAAUCUGAAAUUUUCUUUUGUUUUGUAUGCUUAGCAGGAAACAACUAGAAGAAGAAUCAACAGAAGAAUUUGAUAUCAUGGCAAACCCACCAAGAGAAGUAGGAGCUAAAAGACGAAUGGCUAUGAAAGAUUAUGCACUGCCUACAAUUGGUAACACUACUUCAUGCAUAGUUCUAGGUGAUACAUCUAGGAAUUAUGAACUUAAGAGCAUUCAUUUUAAUAUGUUUCCUUCAUUUUAUGGUAUGCCUAGUGAGGAUGCAUUAACAUUUAUUAGAGAAUUUUAUGCCAUAGUUCAUACUUUUCUAUUGUCUAGACUUAAUUAGGAUCAACUAAGAACGAGGUGUUUCUCUUAUUCAUUGAAAGAAAGAGCAAAGACUUGGUUAAUGACAUUGUCUCCUAAUUCUUUGAGAAAUUGGAAUGAAAUUUAUCAAAAGUUUAUGAGUAGAUUUUACUCACAGCAAAAGACCAAAGAAUUAAGAGGUGAGAUUUCUAAUUUUUAUCAAGAGAAUGCUGAAUCUUUUCAUGAAGCAUAAGAUCGCUUCAAAUCACUUUUAUUACAAUGCCCACACCAUGGAUUCCCAUUCCUAAUAACUAACCAAUUAUUUUAUGCUGGGUUGACACACCAAUACCAAUGUAUGGUUGAUAAUGCAGCUGGGGGUGCUAUGUUAGAAAGGACACCUUAUGAGGUUUAUGACAUCUUUGAGAUGUUAUGAGCCAAUUCUCAACAAAAGAGUGUGAGGACAAAGAGAAUAGAAGUAAAUGAAGUGGUAGCUAAUAGUGAGAUAGUCAUGCAAUUGGUUGAAUUGACUAAGCAAGUUAAAAUGCUUACUUUAACAAAAGACUCACCAAAUAAUGAGGUAUGUGGUAUUUGGGGUAUUUAUGGUAUAAUGCUAAUGUUUGUUCAUCUUUUGAUAAUUACAGAGGAAAUAUGUAUGACCAAACAAAGUUGAUGAAUUCUUACCAACCCAUGCAUCCUAUAAAUGACUCUUAUUUCAACACAUAUAAUACAGGUUGGAGAAACCAUUCAAAUUUUUCUUGAAAAUACAAUGACCAAAACCCACUACAAUUAUUGAGAAAUCAAAAUCAACCUUAUUACCAAGACCAAUAUUCUCAAUUCCAAAGGGACUCCAAUCCUUUCUUUCAAGAUCAAGAAUAAACUAUUCGAUCUAAUGAACAAAGAAAGCCAAGUUUGGAAGAAACACUUCAAUUAUUUAUGAUGGCUUCUCAUGAUAGGAUGGAGAGGAAUGAGAAAAAGACAGAUUCCAUUGAAGCUUCACUGAAACAUUUAGAAGUUCAAAUGGAACAAAUUGUUGAAAAGCUCAAUAAAGAGGAACUAUCAAGUCAACCUGAACAAGCCAAUUCCAUUACUACUAUUAGAAGAGGUGAGAUUGUCGAUAAUAUUGCUAUGGAAACUGAAAGAAAUUCUUCUUCUUAUGCAGGUACACCUAAAAAUGAUAGAUUAGAGCAAAUCAAUAAGGAUAGCAUGUAAAAGGAAGAAAAAGUAGAGCCAAAUCUUAGACUUGAGAGAAAGAAAAUGAAGCAUUUUGUGGACCUGAAUUUUAUAAGGCAGCUUAGCCUUAUAGACCCCCUAUUCCUUUUCUAAACCAAACAAAAGAGAGCAAAAAGGACAAAUUUUUUUUUGAAAAUAUUAAGAUGCUCUCUAAAGUUAAUACUAACGUACCUUUGUUGGAUGUUAUCAGGAAUAAACCAGUUUAUGCAAAAUUCUUUGAAGAUUUGAACACCAACAAAAGGCAAUAUACGAACAACGAAAAAGUACAAGUAGCAAGUGUAAUGCUUCAACAUCAAUUGCCCCUUAAGAUGAAGGAUCCUGGUAGCUUCACCAUUGAUAUUACAAUAAGUGAUAAAAAGGAUAGAAAAGCCAUGUUAGAUUUGGGAGCAAGCAUCAACUUGAUGCCUUAGUCGAUGUAUGAACGACUAGGUUUGGAAGAGUUGAAGCCUACCACUAUGUCUCUAUAAUUUGCAGACAUAUCGAUAAAAUAUCCUAGAGGUAUAGUGGAAGACUUGCUAGUACAAGUAGGUAAGUUAAUAAUUCCAGUUGAUUUUGUAGUACUUGACAUGGAAAACACAACAACAAGGGAUAAAAAACAACUAUACUCCUUAGUAGACCUUUCAUGGAAACUACUAGAACUAUAAUUGAUGUGCAUGAUGGAAAACUUACCAUGACAGUUUUAGGAGAAAGCGUGAAAUUUUAAGUGUUUGAUUCUCUAACUUUAUCUCCUAAAUCUACUAUUGAUAAAUGUUCAUAUAAUUAUUUAGAUUCUAUUGUUUAUAAACAAUUAUAUGAUGAUAUUUCAUUCUUAAUGACAAGACGAUACUUUAGAUGUUCGCAUAAAUAGUAUGAAGCCAUACUUGAAAGGAAUGGCUUAUGACGAAGAGGUGGAGUGUGCGGAUGAGCGCCCACCAUGAGCAUAAUCAGGAAUGUCUAGCUAUAGACAAUAAAAUUAGCAAUUUGUAUUUUUAUUUUUAUGCAUUUAAGUUAUUUUUCUUUUAUUUCUAUUUUAUUUAUUUAUUUUAUUUAUUAUUUUUCUAUUUUUUAUUUAUUUUAUGUUUAUCUUGUAAGCUUAUAUUUGAUCCCAAAAAGGCAAUAUGUCUCCAUGAGAAGCAAUUAAAGCUCCAACAAAAAAAAAGAAAAUUUGAGCGAGCCACGUUGCGACAGCGAAUUUUCACACGGGCCCAUAGCGGCCAGCGACAGAGACGACACGGGCCAGUAGUAGCCAGUGGUAGAGACAACAUGGGCCCGCAGCAGCCAAGCAGCCCCGGGUCGCAGGACGCUUCGCGAGGAAGCCAGCCGUGGCAGCCCCAGUAGCUGCGUGCUGCCGCAAGGCGCGGAGGGGCCACGAGCCACGGGGCAAUCUGCCGCGAGCCACAUACCCGCAACAUAGUGUCAUGGGCUUGGUCUUUUCUACCAACGAACCGUGCGACACUAGCUACUUUCUCCCUGUAGACAAGUAAACUAGUCAGUCUUACUCUUCAAAUGCUAGACAAAAUGCUAGCUAGGAUGGCAAGAAGAACAAAAGAGAGCUUAAGAAAGCUUAGAGAGCUUUUAGAGAGAGGAAUUGCUUUAUUUCUACUGGAUUUGCUUGAUUACAACUUGAUCAUUAUAAAUGAAUUCUCUAAGCUAUAUAUAGGCCUCCACCUCCUCAACGGACGGUGAGGAUACAUUUGAUCUAAUGACUAAGAUUAAGUAUCUAGAAUGUUCUACACACUUUCAUACUUAUCUACACAUUAGACAUGCUUCUAGAUUAUUCUAGAAUGUUCCAGAUUCUUCCAGAUUCUUCUAGAUGAUUCUAGAAUGUUCUAGAAUCCUCCCUUGCUUUGUAGCGAACUCUGGAGGCUUCUUGGGCCUCUGAACCUUUGUGCGAGAAGGAAAAAUCUACGGGAUGUGACAUUAGGCAGGCAGCGUGCGCACGGGCCCGCAGCAUCAACAGGCAGCACACGAACGGGCCCGUAGUGGAGGCAGGCAGCGUGUAGGCACGGGCCCGCAGCAUAGGCACGCAGCGCGAACAAACGAGCCCGCAGUAUAGGCAGACGCAGCAGCAGCUUAAUGACGCAGUCCGCGGAGCGGCCGUAAAAAAAAAAUUUUGAGCAAAAAUUAAAAUAAUUAAAUCCAAGAAAUUGAGAUUGAUUAUGAAUUAUUUUUAGUUAAAAUACCCUCUUUUAAGAUUAAAUAUAUAUCUAUUUCCUCCACAUAAAUAGUCAUAUCAUUGAUUUAUGAUUUUCUUUUAAAUUUUAUUCUAGAUUUUAUAUUUAUUUAUUAAGACCUAACUUUUAAUUAUCUUAGGAUUUAAUUUUUCUAGUAUCUUUAGGAUAAUUUAUUAUUUUUAAUUCUUUAUUUCUUUUAUAAUUAUCAAUGAUGUGUGUUCAAGUGUGCUUCUAAGGUUUGGAUGGUAGAGAUUGGAAUUCAAGUUCAUGGAUUACUAUGCAUUGCAAAAUUCCAAUAAAAUCUUUUUCCUCUCUUUUUGUUCUUUAUUUUUCUAUAUGCAAUGACAUUGAGGAUAAUGUCAAAUUUAAGUGUUGGGGAGGGAAAUAGAAUAUUUCUUCGAUUAAACUUUAUAUGUCAUAUGCCAUGAGAAUUAACAACUUUGGUUAAUCUUUUGUAAAAUUUUAAAUUUUUCCACUCAGUUUUUUCUUAUUGUUCUAUAUAAGAGUCGAUGAAAGAAUGCUAUUAUGUUAAGAUUCUUGAACUCUUGAGUUAGUUUUUAACAUGUAUAAAUAUGAACUCGUGAGUUAUUUGCACUUAAAUGAUCAAGUGUUCAUCUUUUGUAUAUGGACAUGAUGAAUAGUUUAGCAACAUUCGACAUGGGUAUGAUUAGAAGUCUAUGAUUUAGAUUAUGAUUUCCUUGUUAUUGAAUUGGCUUGCCUAAAUUUGUGAGAUAUGAUAUAGGCAAGUUUAAAGCUCUAAGUUUAAUAACUCUACUCCGCUAAUUUUAGUUGCUUAGUAACCGGGGAUCUUCAUGACCAAUGUCGAUUUUUGCGUAAAAAGGCAAUUAAGAUUAUAAGUAUCCAAAGCAUCUUGAUGUAUGUUUUAUUGAGUAACCAGGUACAUUUAUUACUCAUGUUUGUAUUUGCGUAAAAAGGCAUAACAUCUCAAGAAAAAAAGAAGUACCCCAAGUAUCAAAAAUUAAAAUCCAAGGGGUAUAAAGAAAAGAAAAGAAAAAGUAUAAGAGCUUCAAAAGCAAGUAAUAAAUGCCUAUUGAUCUCUUAUUUUUUAAUAAAGGUUUUGCCUUUUUGAAUAGGGUUAUGAUAAUUUGGAUUAUGCAUCAUAGUUGUAUCAUUUGAAGAUGAGUUAGACUAUUUGUUGUGAAACAGGUGUGAAAGAUUGGAUGCUUGAGUCGUUUGAUUAACAAUGAUUGAGUUUAUAUUUUUAAAGAAAAUUAUUAUGACUCAAGUGUUCUUGCGUUGACAUGAUCUUUGCAUUAGUGAGAUUCUUUUGAAUAAUAUCUUUAAGCUGAGUAGGGAUGUUCUUCAUGAUUUUUGCAAAAGUUAAUUCACACUUGUUAUUUACUUGAGGAUAAGUAAAAGUUUAAGUGUGGGGGUAUUUGAUCGGUCCAAAUUAUGUAUAGAUAUUUAAGGGUACUUUAAAGCUUUAAUGAUAUAUUUUUAUAUAUAAAAUGGUAAAAAUAUGUGCUUUUGCCUCACUUAAGCUUAAUUGUCUAUUUUCAAGAAUAUUAGCAAAAAGAGAAAAAUAUGGAGCUAAAAGAAGCUUAACGGGACAUAUUCAUGUCAAGGCCCAAGAUUAAAAUGCAUAGACUGCUAAUUAUAAGAUCCAAGGGAUAUUUUAGUCAUUUUGUAUAAUUAUUAGGAUUUAUAUUAAGAGUUAUUUAUGAGAUAGUAUUUGGUGGAGAUUAAGAUACUUUAAGUCUUAUCUAUUAGAUAGACUUAUAUUAGUAUACUCAUCUCUUUAUUUAGAGGAAGACUCUCCUCUAUAUAAAUUUCUGCAAAACCCUAAAAGAGGAAGGAAGAAAGAAGGAGAGGAGUUUUCUCCUACCUGCUCCCUACACCUGCCACCAUUAUUCUCUCCAUAAUUCUCUACAGUUUUUCCAUAAACAUAUAGUUUUAGUUUUCAUUAUUCUUUUUAGGAUCUAAGGAGCUUUUCAAGAAGUGGAGACUGAGGACCAAUCUUUUUCCUACUUGAAGAAAUUCUUGAUCUAGAAGGAGUUUAUACUNNNNNNNNNNNNNNNNNNNNNNNNNNNNNNNNNNNNNNNNNNNNNNNNNNNNNNNNNNNNNNNNNNNNNNNNNNNNNNNNNNNNNNNNNNNCAUAUCUUUAUUAAUUUCAGUUAUUAUUGUUAGUUAACCAUCAUAUUAAUUAGCAAUAGUAAUUGUUAUGAAAAUCUUUAAGUUUAAAAGUAUUAGAAACAUCAUCUUUACUUUAAUCUAUGUUGGUAUAAAAAACCUAGGUUGCAUUAUUAGCUUGAGUGACUUAAGGAAAAAGGCACAUCACCAUCUCAUUCAUUAGAUCUAGACUUAAAAUAAAACAAAGAGAUUACUAAGUAAAUGGUUAGAUUAAAUACUGUUGUUAGCAUAUAGUUUUAGAUCAUAAGCAUUUACAUUUGCAUUGCAUAUUUAUUUAUUGUUUAGUUACUUUACUUUAUGAAUGUCAUUCUCUCAACAUACUGAUUUAGAGUGUUUAAAUUUACUUUUAUUGUUUUGUAUUGAUAAUUAGUCUUUAUAAUAAGUGGCCUUAUAGUUCUUUAAGAGAUCGACCUUGUGGUAAACUUACUCUUAUUAUAGGAACGGUUCGUGCACUUGCGAGUACUAAAAAAGAUAUAUCAGACUCAUUAGAAUAGAAUAUCAAAUUCAUCAAUAAAAUAGUAAAUGUUAUUCAAAAAUUUGAUGCAAGUAGCAAGUUGAUUAUAUAUAAUAUUUAGAUUUAUUUUAGAAUACUUAAGGAUUCAUUGAAAUAAAAUGCUAACUUCUCAAAAAUAAUCAAUAUAUCUUAUCGUAAAAUUUAACGUGAGUAGUUAGUUUUAUAUAUAUAUUAUUUGAGAAUAUUUAAAAAUUUAUUAAAAUAAAAUAUUAAAUUUAUUGAAAUAAAUAAUAAAUCUUAUCAGAGAAUUCGAUGUGAGUAGGAAGUUUAAUAUAUAUGAUAGUCAGAUUCAUUUUAUAUCUGUUAAUUGACAUUUUCCGAUUUUUCCUCCAUUACUUGGAAUUCAAGGUGACUAUGACAAUGAGGCUGCGUUCUUUUCUCCUCUUUAUACUCUCUGAUCAGAGGCAUGACAUUUCAUAGACCUCCCAAUUUUCAAAACCCCAAUCAUAUACCAUUCCUUUCAAUCUGUACCGAUGCACUUUGUGAUCAGAGGCAUAACAUUUCAUGGACCCCAUUUCAAAAUCCCAAUCAUAUACCGUUCCUUUCAAUCAUCAUCACUACAUACAUUUGAUGAACUCAUCAAAACAUAUACUCGUGAUCACGCUCUAAACCAGGGUAAACAUCUGCAUGCCCGCUUGAUCGUAAGCGGCUUAGCUUCUUCGAAUAAUUUUGCCUCCAAGCUCAUCUCUUUCUACACUGAAACUAGACAGUUAUCUAUUGUUCGUAAACUGUUCGACAGAAUUCCCAAACCAAACUUUUAUCAACGGACUGUCCUCAUCGGGGCCUACUCUCGACAUGGGUUUUAUCAGGAUGUUUUAGAUGUCUUCUCUGAAAUGCAAAAUGAAAGGUUAAGACCCAACAAGUUUGUUAUUCCAAGUGUUCUUAGAGCUUGUGGUCAUGUGUUUGAUUUACAAACUGGGAAGAUAUUGCACUCUGUGAUUUUGAGACAUUUGUUUGAAUCUGAUGUUGUUGUUAAUACUGCGUUAAUUGACAUGUAUUCAAGAUGCAGACAUGUUGAGAAGGCAAGAAAAGUGUUUGAUGGGAUGCAAGAAAAGGACUUGGUAGCAUUGAAUGCCAUGGUUUUAGGCUAUGCUCAAAAUGGUUUUGCAAAGGAAGGAUUUCUUUUGGUAGAACAAAUGCAAAUGUUGGAUAUCAAGCCUAAUUUAGUAACUUGGAAUACUUUAAUUUCAGGGUUUGCACAAGCAGGUGACAAAGUAAUGGUUCAAGAAUUGUUUGGAUUGAUGUCCAUGCAUGGCUUUGAGCCUGAUGUCAUUUCUUGGACUUCAGUUAUUUCAAGGUUUGUGCAAAAUUCUCACAAUGAGGCAGCUUUCGCUGCAUUUAAACAGAUGUUGCAGCAUGGGGCUUAUCCGAAUUCUGCUACUAUUAGCAGCCUCCUGCCUGCUUGUGCGUCUCUAGCAAAUGUGAGGCAUGGGAGAGAGUUACAUGGAUAUGCAUUUGCGAUUGGAGUUGAAGAGGAUAUAUAUGUAAGGAGUGCUAUUGUUGACAUGUAUUCUAAAUGUGGUCUUAUAUCUGAAGCAAGGAUGUUGUUUUCUAAGAUGCCUGAAAGACACACGGUUACUUGGAAUUCAAUGAUUUUUGGGUAUGCAAAUCAUGGCUACUGCGAUGAAGCUAUAGAGCUUUUCAAUCAGAUGGAGAAGACGGAGGCAAAGAAGAUCGAUCACUUGAGUUUCACAGCUGUUCUCACAGCCUGUAGCCAUGGUCGACUGGUUGAACUGGGACAGAGUUUGUUUCUUUUGAUGCAUGAAAAAUACAAGAUUGUUCCAAGAUUGGAGCAUUAUGCAUGCAUGAUUGAUCUUCUUGGUAGAGCAGGAAAACUGUCUGAGGCUUAUGAUAUGAUUAAGACAAUGCCAGUUGAGCCUGAUUUAUUCGUAUGGGGUGCAUUAUUAGGGGCUUGUAGGCAACAUGGGGAAAUAGAUCUUGCUGAAAUAGCUGCUAGGCAUUUGGCUGAGCUUGAGCCUAGGAAUGCUGGAAACAAUAUGCUUUUAUCAAAUUUAUAUGCUGAUGCUGGCAGUUGGGAAAAUGUUGCAAAGUUAAAGAUGGGGAAGAGAAAAAGGUUGAGAAAAUUUUCCGCGUACAGUUGGAUACAAUUGUUAUAACAGACCCCGAAAGGUGGACCAAAGUCCAUCAACACGUUUAGUGGUGAGGAGAGAGAGUAAAAGACGCACUGAUUUUGUGUGAAAUUUUAGAAAUUAUUCUCCACUUUUUUUUUUUAAAUUGUACUACUUGGGGACUUUUGUUCCUCUUUUUAUACUUAUUUUUAAAUUAUUAUUGUUUUUUUGAAUUAUUAUGCACCAGGCUUUCACAAAUUUUUAGAUUAUAAUAAAAUAAAUUUAUCAAAAUUAAUAUUAACAUUAAAUUAUUAAAUUUUUUUAUUUUUACAUAUGUAUUUAUUUUUGAGAUAUGAGAUUUUUGUUAUUUUAGAUUGUAAUAAAAUGAGUUUAAAAUUAAUAUUAUAUUAAAAAAUAUAUUUUGAAUAUAUCUUUUUAUAUAUUUAUGAAAGUUAGUCGUUUAUCCGUCUACGACUGUCGUAAUUAUUUUAAUUAUAAAUAAUAAUAUAAAUUAAAUUUAUAUAUAAAACUAAAUAAAUAUUUUUAUAUUUUGUAAUUAAUUAAAAUAUUUUAAAAUAAUGAUAAAUUAAAUAUUUUUAACAUCUUUGUUAGUUUUUAUAUUUGAAGAUUUUAUUAAUACAAAGAUAUAAAAUUAUAAAUAAAUUAAUAAAAAACUAUAAAAUUAUAUAUAAAUUUAAAUUUUACGUGUCAAUAAUAAGUACACGUGUCAAAAUUAAAAAUCAUAUGUCAGAAUAUAGUAACACAUGUCAAAAUUUUUUUAUUAAAUCAUAUACAUGUUAAUAAUUUUUUGUUAAUUUACAUGUACUAAAAUGUUCAUUUAUAUAUAUAUAUAUAAUAUCCAUUAGAUAUAAUAUUCUAUAAUAAUUAAUUUUGUUUGUAUUGAAAUAUUCAUUAUUUGUGAACUUAAUAUUCAUUAUGAUUAAUGUUCAUGUUCUUUUUCUUUGAUGUAUUAUUCAUCAAUAUUAAUAUUAAUGUUUAUUAUCUGGUAUUGCAAUGUUCAUUGUCUGUAUAUAUAAUGUUCAUCAAUAUUCUCAAAUAAAAAUAUUAAUUAUUUAUAAAAAAAUUUAUUGUUUUUGUGAUGCGUGUUAAAUUUUUUUUACGAUUGAUAUAAACAUUCAUCAUUUAAAAGCAUAAUAUUUAUUAGUUUAUCAAUAGAUAUUUGUCAUUAAUGAAAAUCAUACUACUAAUUCAUUCAAAUGAACAUAUAUAAUAUAGACAUAAUACAAAUUGUCCUUAUGCAGUUAAUAAAUAAAAAAAAAUCAAGCUAGAGUUAUACUAUAAAUACUUAUAGUGUAGUACAUAUAUCUUUUCAAUAAAAUUAAAUUAACAAAUAAUAAAAAAUUUACGUUCAAAUAAUAAAAAUUUAAUACAAAAUCAAUUAACAUAAAUUAUUUAAAAAAAAAAAAUACUUUAGCGUUUGACGCGCAUGUAAGCAUCUGACGCACGUGUCAGACACGAGCAUAAAUUUUUUUAUCAAUUAAACGGUACUGGAUGGAUCUCCAGGUCCAUAAAGCUAUAUAGACGGAGGUCCAUCUUACGAGUUGGAUAGAGGCUGCAUGAUAAAUGUGGUUUCUGAAGAAGGCUUCUGUCUGUUCAUUUUCUCAGAAGUGAAAAACUCUCGGGCUGCUUGUGGUGGACCUGGUGGUCUUCAGGCCUCCUGCAUUCUACUGAUUCCCUUUUGGAACUGUUACAUCAGGUGAUUUUAGGUCAAUUUGGCUCCACUUUGCAUCAUAAAUUCUAAAAGUUGAAUCCUAUAGGGAGAAAAACAGCAGGAUGGUUAUUGAUAAUGAAUUCCGAUGCAUAAAUCCAAUAUCAACAUUCUUAGAAGGGUCUUAAUACUGCAGAUAAGUUUCCAUGGCAAUUGCUGAUGGCAGUAUCUCACUGUUUCUUUUAUCUGCAGCAGGUCAGGAAAAUGCUGGAAAGAGAAAAGAAGGAAUUGGAACUUAAGACACUUUUCUAGCAGGAGAUAAUGGAGAAUGUGCAAAUGAUUUAAGCAAGAAAGUGGGAAGUAUACUUUACUGUUACCGAGUGAGGAAGGUUCAGACUUUCAAAUGAGCAUUUCAAAAGGCUACGACAAGCCAAUUGCAUUUUGAAGUUUGUAACUUAAUCCAUUUACAUCUUUGUUGAGCAUGUCAAGAAAUCUUUGUUCCUUGAAUUGAUACAACUUCCCUCGUUCUUUUUAACUCUAGUUUCCUUGAACAUAGAUUACUGCAAAUUGUUCCGGGAAGAUUUUGGCCUAUCAUGAAUUAAUGAAGGCAUCACAGCAAAGCAUUUCCUCAGCAGAUAACCAGCUGUUUGUUGGGAGGCCAGUCAACUCAAUGUUCUUAAGAGAUGCUAGAAGAAGGUCUUCAAUUUACAGCUACCGCUGAGACACUUUACCUUCCCUGUCAUAAAAAAUUUAUACAUAUCUCAGUGGCAGGGCCUCUGGAAUCCAAAUUAGGAUUUUAUGUUCAAGAGGGGAGAUCUAUCAAAACAUUGUCAUAAAUGCUUCCUUCAUCAAGUAAUUGGACAAGAAAGUGAGAAGAUAUGGCCAAAAACCAGUUGCAACAAGUAAUUAUUUGGCCACCUUCCCCACAAACCUUGCUCCAUCUCUUUCAGCUUUUGAAAGUAAAGAUGACAAUUUGUUUGGAACUUGUGAGGGCAACAAAAAAAAAAAAAAAAAAAAAAAGAAAGAACGAGAAAAGUGAUUUUUGUGCAAGCAUAUACCAUAUACACAUAUACAAGUGUCCGCCCGCACACAGGGAAAAAAAGAAAGAACAAAUUGCUAUACGUCAUUCCAUUCACUACAAUGGCAUAAAGUGCUCCAUUGUUAAAGUUUCUCUUCUGUAAUUCGUCCACACAGACUUCUUUAUCCUCAUGAAAUCCUUUGCAAGAUUCUCCCUACCAACUUUUGGUGAGUUGAGGACUAUAAUAUCUUUUAAUUGUACCAUUUUCAAUCUACAGAUUCUACCCUCAGUCCCACCCACCUUUUCUAUAACCUAAAAGAAACAGCCUAAAAGUUUAUGGGAUAAAUAUUAACACUCCCGGAAAAUGGCUAUGGGUGAGCCCGGAUGAUCUAAAGUUUACGACCUUCAAAAGUGUUAGGUAGAUGUAGGAUUCAGAGUUGGUCACACUACAGUCCCUUGCGGACCGGUCCUGUAUGUGGUGUCCAUACAAUCCCCUUCCUUGGCUAACAUGUACUAACCAUAUUACUGGCCAAAAAAAAAAAAAAAUCAGAAUAAUAGACCACCAGCCAUACUGCGACAAGGGAACGUAGUUCCAGCUAGAGUGAUCCCCACUCAAUUGGAAUAAUUUAAACUUGCAGAGUAGGGCAGGAUGACCAUAGAAGAAUCAAAUUGUAUUACCUGGAUUAGUUUCUAGUGCAAUAAUUGAACUCCAAACAAAGUUUUUCAAAUUAGAGGAGAUGAGAAUUAACAGGGAAUUACAUAUGAUGCUGCAGAUGCCUAGAUGAGGUAUAAGAAAUGCUUGUAAUUGCUGCAGUAGCAUCUAAACUAGGAAUAACAGAAAAUGAGUUAACAGUGAAGUAGAGAAAUGACUGGUUAAUGAGCAAAAUCAGAAGCAAGAAUCAAUAACAUGUAGCAUUGAAGAUUACAAAGCAUUAGAUCAUCUGACAUAAAUAAAACUAAUGGAUAUCACAAAUAGAGUAAUAGCAGCACCAUCUCCUAAGCUGAUGCUAUGAAAGUCCUGUAUGAUAAAGCCAACCCUGAAAGAAUAUCAACAACUUGCCAGGGACAACUUGUAAAGAUUGCCUAAGCAACAUUUAGUUAGUCUGCACUAUACCCAAUACCAUGAGAAAUCUUCGCCUUAAAUGCCCAUACCUAAAGGAUAAAUAACUUCCCUUCAUCCAGUUACUCCAAAUCCAACAUUCAAUGAAUCCCGUAUCUAUAAAAAGUUAGAUACUAUUAUCAUCCUACAGUAAGGAUACAGUAAGGAACAAUCAUCCGAUGACUGCACUGAGAACUCGCAGUUAUUAGAUGGUACAAAUAAACUUCCCAUAGUCAAGCCUCCAAGACUAGAGCAAAGCAGUUAUGCUUCUCGCAUCCAUGCAAAUAAAAUAAUUCAAAUGUAGCACCUAUACAUGUGACAAGAAUGAAACAAAGACAGAGAAAAUAUACUUCAUGAUCUAACACUAAACUCCUUAGUACAUGAAAUGCUUCUGAGAAACCUUUGGUAUGAACAGAAGUAUGUAACUAAAUAAGAUGCUAAAUUAACACGACUUCAAAAGAGAAUAGGAUGAAUGACAAUGUCAUUCAAAAUGUAGCAUGAUAAUACUACAGCAGAAUUUUGCUUAGCUUUCUUUUAUUUUAUUUUAUUGAUAUUUCUGAAACAGAAGGUAUCCAGUUAUACAAGAUAUAUAACAGUUACCAAUUAAAGAACAGGUUAAGAAUGUAAGAUAUGACUUUGUCAUUAUCUGGAGUAACUAUAAUUGACAUGGCCAAAUCCUAUUGCUUCUCUUAGAUAACAAGAAUGUCAAGAAAAACAACACAGAUCCUUAAGUGCAAAAGUGCCUGAGCACAUGAUAUUCUUUUCUAUUUCUCCCUAAUAUAUAUACUAAGAGAAGGACUGCAAGUAUAUGACUCAUGCAGAACCUCAUUAACAUUGGAAUUGAGUCUGGAUUGCCUCCAUAUAUUUCUUCCUGAAAACCCCUCCCAUUUUUGCCAAGUGCACAAGUUUUCAGCCAUCCGAAGGUCAAAUGUAAAUGAGGUUUGCUCAAACUUCAGAAUCUACAGAAAACAAAUAUUAUAAACUGUAAUUCUUGAGCAGCCAGUUGACUAGAAAUCCCAAAGCAUAUAAGCAGACAAUUAACAGGCAACUGUAGAACCUUGGAACCUGCAUAUGAACCUUGUUGGGAAAACUCAAACCUGUCAUUUGAUAUUACUCCAGUCGAAGGGCAGACUGAAGUGAAAUCAGUUCAACAGAAAUACCACCCAUCAGGAAGAUAGGACCAUGGUAUCUUUUUCUCAAUCAAUAGGGAAAGUACAAAAAUUAGAGUAAGAGUAGUACACCUAAGAUCUUGAGAGAACUGCCAUGUAGUACUUGACUUUUCUUUUAUCCAAACCAACACAAUAAUAUUGUCCAAAAUAAAAUUAAAAUUGAAGCGUUAACAAAAGAUGUUCUGCACAUAAAUGAUCAUAAGACAAUCCACUGUUAAAAAUGACAUCGAGACCAACUACUAACUUGGAACUAGAAGUUGAAAGAUGACAGAUGCAGCAGCGUGCAUGCUCCAAUCAUCCACGAACAUAUUUUAGGACUGGGCCGCAACAUAACGAGCAUCCAGACACUUUCAUCUGGUUAGAAGUUUGUUCUUUUCCCAGUGAAAUGAAGCAGUUUCACUAUUUAGAAAUGCUAAAACAUAAAAAUAAUGACCAUGUAACCAGUAAACAAACAUUAUAAAAAGUUGUUUUUUUAAAAAAUAAAUAAAAGAAAGGAAGCCCGUAACCUACCACCACGCGUAUUGACUAUUGCUAUGCAACUCCUCUUGCAACCCAGUGACAACAACCAAAUUUUUUAACUUCAUGAAGAGUGUAGUUGUGACAUUGGGCAGAAUGCCUACUAACAUUUCAAAACAGCCUUAGUUCUGCUGGUUGGACUGCAUAUUUAGAGGUUUUGGAGGUUCCCUUCACUCGCCGCUCAAGUCUAUCGGCCAGGAUUUAGUUUCAAGUCCUAGAUCUUUUCUUUUUUGAAAGGAAAGUCCUAGAUCUUUUGAAUUUCAGAAUAUUAUAAAAUUUAUGUAGUUUUUCGUACUAGUUUUCCAUCAUUUUUGUGCUUCGUCACAAGAUAAACUAAAUAGGGGGCAAAAGAAAAACAAAUAACAAAGAAUAGGCCACUAAGUUUUAACAGACAAAAUUUAGCAUUGAAUGAGAGCAAAAGGUUUGUUUUCCAGGUGAAGAUCCACCAUGACCGUUUAGACGUUUUCCCGUAUAUACAUGCAGACAAUUUUACAAAAAUCUAUUCCCAGUAGUUAAUUUAAUUCAGGCUUCCGACUAAUAAAUAUGUGCAGCAUCUUUAGAAACAUUGGCACUGCCUCCAUUGUGUACUCACACAGAUAUUUAACUUUUCAGGCUCAUCAAAUUCUACACGUAGGAAAGAUCAUUAAUUUGCAGUCUUAGCUCUACCAUAACCAUAACCAUAGAACUCCUAGUUAUUAAAUAACAACUAAAAUUAGACAUUCCUCAAAAGGGUACCAAAUUUCUAAUAACAGUUCCAUUUAAGUAUCAAAACCAACAAGAACAACUAAACCAAUCAACAAACAGAGAGGAACAGAAAAGGAAGAACAAAGAAAGAAAGAAAGAAAACUAACCUCUUUCUCUCUUGGUGUCAAAAACAAGUCUUUAUAAUAUCACAUGUGAUAAUUAUUUCCACUCCAAUCUCUGUGCUGUAUCAUAUUAUAGGGAUGAUGAUGAUGAUGAUUGUGGUUAUGAUUGUGAUUAUUGUUAUUAUUUCCCAGUUGCAUUCCAUACAUAGGCAUUGUCAUCAUGGGUCCCACUCCCGGAUGAUACGGAACAGGAACGGAAACAGCCAUCCCCAGGUGCCCAUUCCCUUCUCCAGCGUUACCGUUGCUGUUGCCAUUAUCCUGCAGACUCUGUGGAACGGGUGUAGAAGCAAACAACUGAUUAUCAGAAGCAGAAGGACCUUCACUGGACAGACCCUGCAUUCUCUUUAAAUAAAGACGAUAUUUUUGCAAAUGACUCGCGACAUUUUCGCGAGUUAAUCCUUCAACAUUCAUUAGUUGCAUUAUCGUUUUAGGCACUGCGUUUUUAAUCCCUAAAUAAGCCACCACAUCAACAAAUCUCUUAUGUAACUGUGGGGUCCAUACUAAACGCGGUCGUUUCAACGUCCUCGCCGUCGCCGGAUCUUCGCCGGUCAAAUUCUCCGUUCUCAGAGCCGAAUCCGCUUCUUCUCCUGAAUCAAUUCUCCGUAACUUCUCCUGAUCCGUAUCAUUAUUAUUGUUAGUAUUAUUAUUAAUCUCCUCCACCGCCGUCUCCGCCGUCGGAUCAUCGUUGUUAUUGUAAGAUUUGAACUUGUUUGAUGAAAACGCGCCAGUGGCGGAACGGAGACUCAAGAGAGUGUUUUGAGAUUCACGGUUGACGUCGAUAAUACUACGGUGAGGUUCCGGCGAGAUACUGAAAGCUGAAGCGAGCUCCGGUGGAAUUAACGGUUGAGAUAACGGUGUUAGGUCAUCGGCUGUAGGUAAGCCAAAUUCCCAAUCUCUAACCCUUUCUUCAUCGUCACCGUUAUUGUUAAUAACGCCGUUACUUUCGUAUUCACUCAUCUUCACUUCCUCUCCCAUGAUUUCACAGUUUCUCAAAUUUCUAAAAUCUUUUCUUGGAUCGGAGUCAGAGAGAAAGAUGGAGAUAUUUGUGUAAGGCCUGUUUGGCAGAAGGGAAAAUAGAGAAUAGAAAACAGGAAAAAAAAAAAAAAAAGAGAAAAAAAGUGCAAUAUCUGAUUCCAGAUCGGUUCCGUUCAAGUGCCAACGUGGACGACUUAGCCAGAUAUUUUUGAUCCGCUAAAUAUCUAUCCUUUUAACAUCUCUAUCUUACUCGCGAGCUUAAUCCAGAUCUUGCACUCGCCUUAAUUUAGCGACACGUUGCUAACACCCAGAGGUUUCACCCAAUGAGUGCUUGACAUGUAAGCAUACUAGUGAAGUGUGUGAUUACUUGGCCGUUGCCAAGUAGGUAAAGUGUGUGCACUUUUAGUGGCUAUUUUGGUAAUUUUAUGGUUCGCAUUGCCGACUUUGCCCUUUAUUUUUAUUUAUAUUUUGUUUUAUUUUAAGGGUUAUUGGGAUUGGACCAAUAGGGAAAGAGAGUAUUGGUAGACAGCUGGAAUGGGAGAAUAAAAAACUUGGACUAUUUGAGACGGCACAGCAUCAUACGCUAUGGUUCUUUCUACAGUUUACAUUAUGAGAUUUGUUCAGUACAAAUUGCUAAUGGGAGACAUGCGGAGAAUGCCGCGGGUACUAUUAGACGCUUGAAUCACCUGUGUUGGGGCUAAAUCACCUUCAACGUCCAUGAAUUUUAGGGUUUAUGUGAUUGAAGUCUUUAAUUUUUAAUUUAUAAUAUUAAAUGCUUUGAAUUCUGAUUUUUAUAUUUACAAAUUCACUAUAUUAAUCACAGUUAGCAAAUAUAAAUAGAUAAACGAUGUAACAAUUUAUGUAUAAAAUAUAUUUUUUUUAAAUGUCAAUUUUUAUUUAAAUACCAAUUGUAUAUAUCACAAGAUGACAUUUAUAAAUAAAUAUUUUAUAAUUUUAUAUUUAAUUAUUUAAAAUUAUAUGACAAUCGUCUAUUGAUUUAAUAUAUAGAUUGAGACAUACAGUUAGACUAAUUAAAAAAAAUUUAAAAUAAUAUACAUUACUUGGAGCAGCCAUGAGCCGGUUCGAAACUAAAACUAGACCAAUCAAAACUGGUUUGAAACUGAUCAAAUUCGAAAUUCAGGCUAAAACCUGAAAUGGCUCAAAACUGUUUCUCCUUUAUAUAUAUAUCAAUUAAAACUCUUAAAAAUUAAAUCCACAAAACUAAUUAAAAAAAAGAUGCAAUUAUAAAAUAAUACCCAUUGAACUACUUUUUGAUUGGUGCUGAAUUGUUAUUACGUGGUCGACCUGAAUGGUAGCCAUCGAAGAAGGGCAACUGAAUAAGAUUGGCAAGCGAACAAUUAGCAUUCUUUUCUAUUGCAUCCAUGAUGGAGAGGUCUCCCACAUUGCAACAGCUGAAAAUUGUGAAGAAGAACUUGUAGAAUUUUUAAAUUUAUAGUAUUUGUAUAAUUGGGAGUUUGAUUUUUGUAAAAAUUAAAAAGAAAAUAUUUUUUUGAUAUAUAUACUUAUUUUUGACAUAUAAAAUUUAAAUUUAUUUAUAAUUUUACACAUAUUUAUAUUGACUUAUUAAUUAUUAAGUUACAAUAUUAAUUAAAAUAAAAAAUUCUGACCUGAAAAAAAAUAGCAUCUUAAUUAUAUCUUAGAUAUUAUGUUAAUAAUUAUAAUGGUUUCCAAUCUUUAAAAAUAUCUUAUAAAUUAUACAUGAUUAAUAACCAAUAUACACUUUAUGCUUGAAAUGUAUACUUAUAUUUGUUAUAUAAAUAUUAUGUUGAUAUAUAAUUUUCAUGUUUAUUAUAUAAUUAAUAAUUUAUUUUUUUAAUUAACCAAUGAUUUUAUUUAAUUAUAUUUUUGAUAUUAUAUUAACUAAUAAAUUAAUUUUUUAAUUAUAUAAUAGUUUUUAAUACGAUAAAAUAGCAUAUUAAUAAUAUCUAUAGUAUUAAUUGUAUAUAUAAUUAAUACAUUAGCUUUUUCAAAAGAAAAUAUAAAUCUUCCAUCAAUAAAACAUCUUAAAAUAAGAAUGAAAAUAAUGAUUACAUUUAAGAAGUAUAUAUCGUAAAAUUCUAUUUAAAAAAAACUAUUCUCAUGUNNNNNNNNNNNNNNNNNNNNNNNNNNNNNNNNNNNNNNNNNNNNNNNNNNNNNNNNNNNNNNNNNNNNNNNNNNNNNNNNNNNNNNNNNNNNNNNNNNNNNNNNNNNNNNNNNNNNNUUGAUAAAGAACUUAUAUUGAUAGAAAACUUAUUAAUAAUAAUUGAAGAUUGUUCCGUAUAUAAAAAUUAUCAAAAAAUAUUUCUAUUACUUCCAUAAAAAGAAAACUGAACCUUACACAUAUAAUGGAAAUGGCUUUUAAAUUUUUAUAAAGAAUACUCAUAAAUCUCUACUAAAAAUAAGAUUAAAAAAUAAUACAACAUAAAAAUAACAAGAAAUGUUAUAGAUUUAAAUAUAACAAAAAUAAAUAAAUUAAAAUAGAAAAAAAGAAGAAAAAAGAAACAUAAAAGAGAACCAUACAUUAAUAAAUAAAGUAAAAAUCUAUUUCCACCGUCGCUAAUAAAGCAAAUAGAAAAAAAAAAUGGAAAAAAGACAGUUUCCACGUGGAAAGUAAUGGUUAGACAGAAUUUGCCGAGGUUUGCAAAAGAUAUGGACCCCACGUUCUGUUUAUAAAAUAAGAAUGAUGCCUUAUCCAAAUUGCAGCCAGACUGCACCAAUUUACAAAACUGCAUAAACAUUGUUUUGGUUUCAUGUCUUUGUCAAAGCCAAAUAAAAGUAAAAAAAAAUCCGAAUCUUUUCUAAUUGUUUGUUCAUUGUAAGGAUUAGGUUUUAUGGCGAUGUGCUCAAGUCAUGAACUACGUUGGCAAACUACUAAUGCCUAUUAUAAUUAUCAUUGCCAUUUUUGGUCCUUAUCUAUGUAAGCUCUCAUUUUAGAAAAUGGUUUCUUUUACAUUCUUGGUUUUCAUAAAUCUAUUUUGAACCUAAAUAUUGCUAUCUAGUAUAUGAUCUUUUCGACUUUAGAAACGUAGAUAUACUCUCAACGAGUGAAGUUACAAUGAAAAUUGGAAAACGUAAUUAGAAAUAUAUUAAUUUUAGAAUUCUAGUAUUUUUGCCUCGUAAUUGUUCGAUGUAUUUCUAAUGUAAAGAUUUCAACCGACUUUUUAUUUUUUAAAUAUAAAGUAAAAAUUUAAUUUGACUUUGAUAGUUUUAAUGAUAAAAAUUUUAAAUUAUUAUCGAUUAUAAUCUUCAUUCUGCUUUCAUAUUUGAAAAUAAAACUUCUAACCCCAUACUACUUUUUGCUGACCUUAGCUUAUGGAGAGAAAUUCUUGAAGGCUUAAAAGAGGACAGAGUUCAAGGUUUCUAUUAUGCCAUAUCAAAAGCUAGACGGACACCACUAGAUAACAUGCGAGUGGAGUUCAAUUCUAACGCUUCAUGGAACCGUGUACCACUCAAGGCAGACAUUAUUAUAGUAUGCAGAAACUGGAUUGGAUCUCCCCAUUGACGAUGAAGCCAGAGUCACCCAAGCCUCUUCUGCAUUACAAGCUGAAGAAUUAUUCCUCCUCAGAGCUAUGGAAUUGGCUAAGGAUAUGGGAGCUACUAACUGUGUACAAAUUAGAAAACAAUAGAAUUUUUGCUAAAUUUUAAUACCCUAUAUUUUAUGUAUAUUGAAGCAAUUGUACUUAGAAUAAGAGAUCCAUUGCUUUUUUUUUUGAAAUUUCUUUUAUUUUUGUCUUGCAGAUUGAAUAACUUUGGCCGCUUUUGCCCUCUUUAGAAAUAAUAUAAAUGAUAUAUCAAUUUAAUUGUUAAAAAAAGAAGCGGAAAUCUUCAGGUCGUAUUAUAUAAUUUCAGUCUUCUUUCUUCUUGACUCAUAAUAAAGUAAGGUUCUAACUUCUAAAGGACUAAUGUGCAAAUGUGCAUAGAUGACUCCAAUCAUGUAUGUCUUUUUUUUUUUAAUUCUUUUAUUAAUUUCCUUUCACUUAUUGUAUCUCUCUAUAAUUGUUUUUAAUUUUCUCAAAUAACUAUUUCAUCCAAAAAAUUAAUUUAUAUUUGGAAAGUUUUACAUGAAGGAAAAAGAAUAAAGAGGAAAAAUGAAUUUUAUUUUCUUUUAUUAGUUUUAUUCUUUUUUUAUGUUUCGAUAGAAGAAGAAUAAAAAGAAAGAAUGGAAUAGGAUUGGAAUGUAGAUAUUUUUAUAAAAUAAAUAAAUAAGGAAAAGUAAAAUUUUCUAACACCUACAAGAAAAUGUAAUUAAUAUUGUUCAAGUUAAUAGAGAAUCUGAAAUCCAUGCCAUUUCUCUAGUUGAACAUAUGUAAAAGAUUUUUCUUUUGACCUUUUUUUUGGGCGAAAUGAUGAAAUAGAGAAGAUAAGAGCUAUCUAAUAACGUAUAAAUGAGAUGGUAACGGUUUUUUUUAGCUCAACUAAAGUUUCGAGUUUAAAUAUUGGAUAUGCAGCUGCAUUAAAAUUCUUAAAAUAGUAUUUUACCAUCUGUAAAUAUCAUGCACAAUACACUUUAAAUUAACUUUAGAUAUAUGUAUACUAAAAAAAUAAAUCUUCUUUUAUAUAAAAUAACCAAAUAAUAUUACAAAUAAAAUAGUUAUUAUUACAUAUUUUCUCUUUUCGUUUGAUAAGAAAUAAAAGAGAUAAAAUUUAAAUUAUUUUUUUUUUCUUUUGUUGUUUCCAUCUCAUUCCCAAAGAGAGGAAAAUUAUAAUAAUUUCUUAUUUUUCUUCUUUAUUUUUCUUCCAUUUUUAUUUUUCUCCAAUUUAAAGAUGAAGUUCAGCUACUACAUGAAGUCUCAAGAAUAUGAAUGCUCACCAUUUCACCCCAAGAAAUUAAGGAGAAUAUAUUAAAUUAAAAUUUUUAUAAAUUUAUUUUAAGUGAAUAAUUUUUAAAGAGAGUAUGAACUUUUAAUGCAUUUUACAGAGUUUAUGUAUUUAUGAAUGAUUUUCAUAGACUUUAUUGAGAAAUUUUUUUAAAGACAUUAAUAAACUUUUAUUGAUUUUAUUAAUUUUCAUAUACUAUUAUUUAUCUAUUAUUCAAUUAUUUAAAAAAAAUUAAUCAUUAUGCUUUUACUAUUUUCUUCUUCUUAUUUCUUUCUGCCUUUAUUUUAAGCAUUAUUUAAUAUAAUAUUAUCUGCAACUGCAUACAAAAAUAACAAACUUCAUUUUAUUAUUGUGUCAAAUUCAUAUCUAUUUUUAAAAUUUGUAUCUCACAUUCAUUCCAAUUGAAAGUGAAAAUUAUACUCAUUUUCAUUUCAAUUGUUGCUACAAAGAUCCAUCUUUAAGCUAUAAAAUUAUAUGAUCUAUUUACUUAAUAAUAGACUUAUCAACUUGAAUAUCUUUUUUCAUGAAGCGAAUUGGUAUUCAGAUUAUUUUGUUAGAUUAAGACAUAAUUGUUUAAUCUUUUUUGCUUUAUUAUAGUUUACUUCUACCCUAAAAUAAAAACAAUAGGGGAAAUGAUAUUUUUUUAAAUUAGAAAUAUCUAUUUUAUACUAGUAAUUUAAAUUAAAUUACAUUGCAAUUUAAUAAGAUUGAUGUAAACAUAAACGGUUUUAAAAUGUUUAUUUGGAUUAAAUUAUACCAAGAAUAAAAAAAUUAAAGCAAAUAAAGAGUAUUAGUUAAUUAAUUUUAUUAGAUAUUGAGACUAGCUUAUACUAAAAUAAGAUUUUAUUCUAAUUGUAUAAAAGAAAUUAAAUUUGAACAAAUUUAAUAUUUGAUAAUAAAUUUAAAGAUAUAAAAUUUAUAGGUCAUUCUCUAUUGCACCUGAUGCUACAUAUAUAAUUUAAAGACAGUGUCAUAAACUCAAAGUAAUUUUAAUAUAAUGAAAAAAAUUACAGAAACGGAUUGUGUAUUAGACCAAAUUUUAAGAGUUAAAUAGUAUUUAAUCCGAUUUUUCUUUAGAGUGACAAAUAAAUGAUUGAUGUAUCCAAUACAGUAUUUCUCAAUUGAGAGAGGAAGAUGAAGAUGUUCGAUUGUAUUAUCAACUUAGCAUGACUUGUAAUUUGUUUCCCAGAUGCUAGAUAAGCACUCACAAGAUAACAGAUCCAUAAAUUAAUUAAUUUGUUAAUGAUGUGCCUAAUUGAAUUCUUAAUUAACCCUAACCAAACUCACUAAUCCACAAUUAAAAUUUAAUUGCUAAUAAUGACAGAUACCUAAUUCUUCAUCUAAUAUAAGAUAUCUGGAGAUGACUGCCUAAUUCCUUUUGAUACACUUAAAUGGGUUAUUCUUAAUUCAAUUGAUAAGUUUCUUUUUCUAUUAGUCUUUUAUUUUAUUUUUAUUUUAACAAUAUCCCCUCUUUUAGCAAUGAAAUUCAUAGAAAUAUAGUAUUAGCAAAAUAAAAAGAAAGUAGAAAAACUUGAGUAAUUUGAAUGAACCUGCAACAUUUUAAACCCAGGUUUUCAGUUUUUACCAUUAAGGCAAGGGAUCAUCUGUGCACUUUUUAAACACAGCCGUGGGGCUGCAAAUGAGCCGAACUACUUGCAAGCUACUCGAAACUCGGCUGGAUAAAAGUUUGUUUGAGUUUGUUCGUUAAAAAAAGAAAUGAGCUGAGCUCGAGUAUAGUAGUGCUCGAUCUUAAUAGUGUUCGACUUGUUUAAGCUCGCGAGCUAGCUUGUUUAUGAGCUCACAAGUUGAAUUUAUUUUUAUAUCAAAAAUUUAGACUAACUAUUUAGGUUUUAGAAUUUAAAUAUAUAUUUUACUUUAUGUAAAAUUUAUUUAAAAUUAUAAAAUUUAUAACAUAUUUGGUAAGCUCGAACUUACUUAACGAGCUUUAUUUCGAGCAUUGAAUUCAAGCUUAUAUACAAGCUGAGUUCAAACUGACCUUGUUUAUAUAAAGAACUGAGCUAAUUUAUAAGUCAAGUUCGAGUUUAGUUUGUUUUAUAAGAUAUCAAGCUAAUUACGAGCUGAUUAAAUUCGAGCUCGAAUUCUAAAAUAAAAUAAUAAAAAAAGAUGAUCGAGUUCGAAACAAGCUCAAGCUUAGUUUGUUUUAUGUGAGCUGAGCCUGAAUAUUGAAAAGCUCGGCUCGGCUCGGCUUGUUUGCAUCCUUAAGCACGAGGCGUUUUAAUGAAUUUUCAAUUCUAACUAUUAGAAUUUUUUUUUUAAUUCUGCAUACUUCAAAUGUAUAUAACAUAGAAAAUAUAUAAAUUACAUAUAUAUAUACACUAAUAUUUUACAUUUUAUUUUUAAAUACUUAAUACAUACUUAAUUAUUUUAAUGUAAAUACAUACUUAAUUAUUUUAAUAUAAAUUUAUAUAUCAGUGGUGUAUUAAUCCAAGAUAAUGUAUGAAAGAUACAUCUUGAAUGCAAGAAUUUUCUUUCUGUAGACAGAAAGCUUUUCUUUCCUACAAAUAUACAUCUGCUUUCCCAGAAAAAUCCAAAAGCCCAAAAGCCCAGUCCCUCUGCACCCAGUUGUGAGGAACCCUCUUAAAAUCCUAUGCAGACAGGCACAGAAUGGAAACAUUUUGCUCCAUAAUUUUAUACAUGUCAUAAUCCCAAUCCCAAAAUUGUAAACAGUAUAACAAUAAGCAGGUGAGCCAUGGCUAUGACAUGGAUAUCUCUGCAUCCACACCCUCUCCUUUCCAUCACUAAACCCAGACUCCCUCACUCUUCUCUUGCCAGCCAUAACUUAGCAGCUCCAUCUCUCUCCUUAUCCACACCCUUCACCACCAAAAGAGCCACUAUUCUUUUCCAAAGAAGAACUCAAAUUUGGAGACUUUAUGCUGCCCCUGAAGAAGCCUUGCCUUCAGAUACAGCAGCACUUGAGAGUGCCCAGAAAAUUGCGGCAACUAGUGAUGAUCCAACAGCCAAUAUUAUAUCUCUUCUUCUCUUCAUUGCCUUUGUUGUUUUGGCCAUUCUCACUGUUGGGGUAAAUUCUAACUUCAUUUCUCCUAAUUCUAUGUUUCCAAGAUUGUUAUGUUUCUGGGUCUUUAGUUAGCUUACUGAACAAAAUUGAAAGCUUGGAAGCUGGGCUGUUGAUAACAUUUAGUACGCUUUCUCUUAUGCUCAGUUACUGUUAAUGUAGGUUUUUUUUUUUUUUUUUUCUUUUCUCAGUAAAUUUACUAUAAUUGGAAUCUUGGAAAUGUGGGUUUGCAGGUAAUAUAUUUAGGAGUGACUGAUUUCUUAGGGAAGAGGGAGAAAGAGAAGUUUGAGAAGGAAGAAGCAGCUAAGAAGAAGAAGAAGGGUGGGAAGAAGGGAAAGGUAAGAGCAAGAACUGGACCAAGAGGAUUUGGACAGAAAAUUAAAGAAGAAGAUGAUAAUGAUGAUUCAUAAUUAGCAUAAUGCAAAAUGCUCUCUUUCUUGGNNNGGUUUAGUUAAAAUUUAAGAUUUCUGUCAUAAUUGAAAUUAAGAAAGCAAAUUGAUACUUGAAAUCUAGACCAACUCUUGUGCCUUGGGUUGAUGUUUGAAAUGGCACGAAAAAGAAAAUCCAAGGUAUUGCUUCUUCCUUAGGAAAUUAUCAUCCACCAUUGUAGUCAGUAUGUUUCACUCAGGGUCUUGGCCCUAUCCAACAUUGUAGUCAGCAUAUUUCACUCCGUGGAAAGAUGCUUCUUAUGGUAUUUACUUAGUUUUUCAAAAGAUCAUAUUGUUCCCAUGGUGUUUGUGGAGGGUGCGGAAGCUUGGAGACUCACUGGUCUACGAGUCCAUACGGGAAAGAGGGAGGGGGUCAAAUGGAUUGUUGGGUUGCUCGAUUUGAAGACGGUGAAGUCCUUAAUUUAGAUGCAACUUUUUUCUGAUCAUUCUGCGUUCCUGUUGCUGCACUUUGUUCAGCCAGUAUUUCAUGUCCAAAGGAGGUUUAGGUUUGAGAAUUCUUGGCUUCCUGAACCUAUUGUAAGCGGUUUUGUAUAUGAUCUUUGGACCAAAUAUGAUCUGUGGUAACGAGCUUUAAUUAUGGGGAGAAGGGCUUCGUAAGACAAAGAUUGAAGAUUGUAGAAGACAACUCCGUGCUCUCAGACCUCCAAGAGAUGUAGCCUCAGUGUUUGGCAUUAAGGUUGAGAAAGUGUGUUUCCAUUCUUGAUUUUUAUUUUAAAUGAUUUUUUGAGUUUUGAAAAUUGCUUUUGCAGAAAAAAUGAGAUGGAAAACAGAUUAAAGAAAAUAAUUUAUAAAAAAUUAAAAAAUUAAUAUAUUAAUAUAUUAAAUCAAAACAUUUCGAAAUCUGUAUUUUAACACCCAACUGUAAUGUGAAUAAUUUGUAUAAACUAAUAAGAGCAAUAAUAGAAAGAAUAUAAACAUAGUUGAGGUUAUUUUUUCUUUUUUUUUUUAGAAUACUAAUCAGCCGAGGUUUAUUAUUAACUAUAUUUAUUAUAAUAUAUAUAAAAGUACGAAAGAAGAUUUGUGUAUCAAGCACGAAUGAGAAAAUAUUUAAAUCGAUGAAAAUACUUCUACUAAUUAUAAUACUUUCAAUUUUAUUUUGUUGGCGUAUUAAUUUUUGAAUAUAAAAAUUGAUCUAUUUAAAUGAAAAUUUAUCAACAAAUAAAAAUACUUUUAGUUUUUAAUUAUUCAUUAGAAAAAGUAUAGUUGACGUAAGUCUUAUUUUUAUUAGAAUGUAUAAAAAAAAAAAGGAGCAUAGUUUAAUUAAAAUCGUAAUCUAAAAUGUAUAAUAGAUUUAUUACUUUUAAGGUAAAAAAUCAUCAUUUGCUAAAUUAUAAAAAUAUUUCUAGUUCAAUAAGAUAUUGAUGGAUUACUAUAUAUCCCACUAUAUAUAUAAUAUAAUUUAGUAUAAUAUAAUAUAAUAUAUGAUAGAAUUCAAAUAAUUUAAUGUAAAUUUUUAUAUAAAUUGAAAACAAAAGUCAUAAAAAAAGAAAUAUGAUAUUUCUAUUUGUAUUUUAUUGACAUAUAAUAAUUUAUAUAUUUUUAUUAUUAUAAUACUUUAUCAACAUAAUUAUUUACUACUUAAUAGUAUAUUAUAUAUUAGUUUAUUAAAUAAUUUUUAUAAUAAUAAUUUACGUAUGUGACAAAUAAUCUUAGUAUACUAGUAUUUAUAUAGCUGCCAUCACUUUUAUUGAUUAAUAGUUCACUAAACUUGGUAUUCCACUGUUUAGAUGCUUGUUUAAGUCCAUACAAGGACUUCUGUAACCUGCAAACUAGCUUGACAUUGUUGCCAGAUUGAAUAACACUCUCCCUCUCAAGCCGGUAGCCCAGAGGCAAAUCCAUGUAAACUUUUUCUAUUAAAUCUCCAUAUAAAACGCAUUAUUAACAUCAAAUUGGGCCAAAAACCAAUUAUUAAUAGCAACCAAAGCCAAGAACAUCUUGACAGUUGUAUGUUUGGCAACUGGACUAAAUGUUUCUUGGUAAUCAAAUCCUUUUUUCUGUGUGUAACCCUUAGCCACCAAUCUUGCUUUGUAUUUGUCAAGACUACCAUCAGCAUUGAACUUGGUUCUGUAUACCCACUUGCACCCAACAGGAACCUUGUUUGCUUGUAAAGGCACAACUGACCAAGACUUAUUUUGGAGCAAAGCAUCAAGCUCAGCUGACAUAGCAUUGCUGAUAAGUAAUAUGAUCUGGAUUGGAACUAAUUGAAAUGAUGAAUUUUAAGUAAGAAGGAAAGACAUAAGAGUAUGAAAUGUAGUUGGAAAGAGGAAAAGAAACUUAGGGCACUUGAGAAUGUGUAGAAUGAGAAAGAGAAUGAUGAUAUUGUUCCAAGUAAGAGGGCACCCUAAUAUUUUUGGCACUCCUCCUAAGAAUAUAAGAUUAAAUAGCAGGAGAAGAAGAAGAGGGUUGUGAAGAAGUAGUAAAGAAGUAGAAUUGGAAUUUAGUCGUGAAAUAGGUGAAGAAACAUAAAUAUUAGUGGAAGAAGUAACUGGAAGCUGUGUAGGAUAAUCAAUGUGAGUAUCUAAAAGGGAUACAUUAGGUAAAAAAAUAGGAGAAUUUGAAACAUAAAGUCUUAUUUUAGUGAAAAGGAAAUAUGUAUUCAUAGAAGACAACAUCCGUUGAUAUAAAACUAAUGUUAAAGUCUAGAUUAUAUAACCUGUAACCUUUAAUGCCUGCUGGAUAGCCAAGAAAAAUACACCUCCUCCCUCUAACAUCAAACUUAGUCCUGUGAUUAACCAUAUAUUUGCAAAGCACAAAUAUUUGAAGGAUCUAAUAUGAUGAUAAGUUGGUGCUUUAUGAAAUAGAACCUCAAAAGGUGUUUUACCAUCAAGAAGAACAGUUGGAGUUUGAUUGAUUAAAUAGACAACAGUCAAAAUUGCAUCUCCCACGAACUUAUUAGCAAAUCAACAUUAAACAACAAAGAUCUUGCCACAUUCAAAAUGUGUUAGUGCUUCCUUUCAACAAUGCUAUUAUGUUGAGUGUAUAAACACACUUCCUCUGAUGAAUAAUUCCUUUAUCAUGAUAAACAUCAUUCAAUUUGAACUUAGUACCUUGAUCUGUCCUUAUAACUUUGAUUGAUGCAUGAAAAUGAGUAAAAACAACAUUGUAAAAGUAUUUGAUCUAGUAACUAACUUCUAAUUUGCAUUUAAGAAGAAGAGCCAAAGUACAUUUAGAGAAUUCAUCAACUAUUGAAAGGAAGUAAUGAUUCUUAUCCAAGUCAGCAUUAAAGUACGGUCCCCAAACAUCCAUGUAGAUUAAGUAAAAAAAAUUGCAACUUGAUCUACUAAUUCUAGAAAUGGUAACCUUCUCAUCUUGGCCAUUGGACAAGUAAUACAAGGAAUAUUCUCAUCAUUCUUACAAGAAAGCAAGUGACUCAAGGACUGAAAAAUCUUUUGAAGAACAUGACUUAAUUUGUGAUGGCAAGUUUCAUAUGAAACUGCAUUUGCAACAGAAGAAUCAACAACAUUAAUUACUUUAUUAGGUAUAUAAGAAGUUUGAAGGUAAUAAAGUCCUUGAUGCAAUCUAGCUAGUCCAAUCGUCAUCCAUAAUGAGAGGGCCUAGAUCACGCACCAAUUAGAGAGAAAAAUAAGACAAACUUACUUUGAAGAUGUGAGCUUACUCACAGAGAGCAAGUUGAAUGAAAAAGAGGGGAUGUGCAGAACAUUCUAUAGUACUAUAAAAGGAUUAAAUGUUACAUUCCUAAUAUGUAUGACCUGAGCAAUAGAUCCGUUAGGUAACUUCACAACACAACCAUUAAUAGAUUGACAAUAAUUAAAGAGAAUCAACCAUUAUAUGAUAUGUGGCUCCUGUGUUAACUAUCGAGGUAGAAAUUCCAAACUUAACAUCAAUUUGCCUAUAUAUGGAGAACACAAAAAAAUCAUUACCUGCAGUAUUGGUGAGCUGAUUUUUUUAUAUGAGAUGAGGAAGUUGUUUAUGCAUUAGUCUAGCCAUCAAGUAAGCUCAUCAACUUGUGAGUUUGCUCCUUAGACAAACUCAACUGAUUAAAGGAUCUCAACCUCAUUGAUUCAUCAAGAUCUUGUGAUUUUACUAUAAGUUGAUUAGUAGAUGAAAUCUUAUUUACAACAGCAGCAUUUUUACCUUUGGUAAACUUGAAGUUUGCAGGAAAACCUAUAAGCUUGUAGCAUUUUUCUUUUAAAUGCCAUGUUUUACUGCAGUGAGUGCAAUACAAACUAGAUUUUCCUUUCUUGACUGCCAUUUCAGCUGCAUCAUUCAAAACUUGAGACUGUGCAUGAAUGGAUCUUUGACUUUCUUCCCUUAAAACCAUGUUAUAGGCUUAAUCAAGACUUGAAAAUGGUUUCACAAUGACAAUCUUUAAACAUAAAGCCUGAAAUGAUUCGUUCAAUCCAUUCAAGAAUUUAAAAACGUAAUCCUUUUGUUGAAGGUCAAUAUGUGCUUCAAGAUAACUGUGAUUGCCCUUUCCACAAGAACAAUGUGGAAGUGGCCUGAAAUUCCUCAAUUCUUCCUAACUAUCAUUAAGAUCAGUGAAAUAGGCAUUAACAGAUCUUAAACCCUAAGUUAUUGUACACAAAUUGUGUUACAAAUGACAAAUCCCGGAAUCAUCUUGUUCAAUUUGUUGUAUAUCUGACUAGCUUCCUCCAUGUAAAAAAUAGUAGAGGCAAUAGGAGCAGAAAUUGAUCUUAAUAACCAAGCUACAAUUAAGUUAUUAUAAUAUAUCCAUGCAAGAUAAAGAGAACUUUCUAGUGUCAGUUUAGGUAUACUCCCAUCCAAGAAACCUUGUUUGUUUUCUAAUUGAAACAACAAGAAGAAAAGACCUUGUCCAGGAUGAAAAAUUCAUCGAAGUGACCUUUGGUGAAAUGAUGACUGAACUAUGAUUCUUAGUGUGAUGAAGGUAGUAAGGUGAAGUUCGAUCUUCCAGGAGAUUGACAUUUUGGUUAGUGUUUUCUACAAUGAUUGAAGCUUGAGAAAGAAUAAAGAAGAUGACAAAAGAUGAAAAGAACUUUUGUAACCAUUUUCUUGGAUCUAAUAUGUAUGCUCUGAUACCAUAAUAGAGAGAGCAAAUGAACUAAAGAGAGAAAGAAAGGAUUGAAGAAAUGUGUAAAGUGUGUAUUUACUAAGUUAGUUACAUGGCUUAUAUAUAAAGCUUUUCUGUUACAAUCAAACCAAUCUAAAGCUACCACCUUAUUAGGUAGUUACUAACUAAAGAAUAAAUUACAGUUAGUUAACUAAUCAUCCAGCUUCAGUAAUUAACUCAUUUAAUUUGCUUCUUUGACAAAGGUGUAAGAUCGAAAGUGAAAAAUUCUCUCUUUAAUUCUUACAAAAUCUCUUAAUGGCUUCUCAAUCUUUUCAACUCUCCCUCUCCCUCUCUCUUUUAUUUUUCUUUUUAUGUGCACUUAUGGUCAAUUGUAUAGAUUUCUUCUUCUGAUGAAAGAUGUAGUCUUUUUUUCAACUAUUUUAGUCUUUCAUGCAAACAAUUAUUACAUAGCCUUAUACAUAUAAGUGGACUGGUGUUCAAAGGUUAAGGGUUAGCUUAAUUUGUCGAACGAAAAAAUUUCUUUUGUUCCUUUUAUUUCAAGUGUUCUGGUUUAUGGAUAUUAGAAUUGAAAGUGUUUUUAUUAGUAAAUUUGUUUAUUGUCGUUUGUUUGUUUAAUUGAUUAUUGCAGAAGAAGAAGAAAAAUAGAAAUAGCAAAUGAAAAAAAUCAAAAGUAAAUUUUUUUAUAAAGUAGUGGGAUUGAAUAAAAAGGUAUACGAUUCUACCAUUUAAAAAAUGAGAGGCUUAAUUAUAAAAAAAGUUAAAGUUCAAAGGUCUUAUGUUUUAUCUUUUGCCAUUUUAUUUUAUUAUUUUAUAAUUAGAUAAGUGUUUGUACACAAUUCUAUCAGUACUUAUAAAACACAUGCAAACUUCUGAUUACUUAAAGGCUUGAUGAUAUAAAAUUAUAAAGUAAUAGAGUCCAAUUCUACCAUAUUAAAUAUGAGAGAUUUAAUUAUAAAAAAAAUUAAAAUUUAGAAGUCAAAUUAUACUUUUUGCAUAUAAGUAAAUAACAGAUAAAAAUAGUAAAAAUUGAAGUGUUAACAUGUCACUCUUUUAAAAAAAUAAAAAUAAAACAUCACUAUUUCAUUGACUACCAUUACGUUGUUUUAUUAUUUAUAUAAAAUAUAUAUGAUAUUUAGAAAGAAAUAAAAUAUGAUAUUAAUAUCAAAAUUUAUUAAGUUUAAAUAUUUGUAUGAUUAUAGUUCAUAAUAUUUAUUUUAAAGACUACAAAUGUUUUUCACCUUUAGCACGAGGCAAAAGAAAAUAAUCGAAAAACCAACUACCAUUAUUUUUCAUAAUUUUGAUUUGUAAUUUAAUUGGAUGACCACCACAUAGAUCAAGCAAAGGAAGAAUUUAAGUGUUAAAAAUAUUUGUCUUAUAAAGAUAGUAAUUUUUAAUUCAAGAUUUUAAUAUUUAUAUUAAAUAAAUAUUACAUUUAUAAUGAAUAUAAAUAAUAAUUAUCCCGUUUCAUAUAAUCACAUGCACGACAAUAAAUNNNNNNNNNNNNNNNNNNNNNNNNNNNNNNNNNNNNNNNNNNNNNNNNNNNNNNNNNNNNNNNNNNNNNNNNNNNNNNNNNNNNNNNNNNNNNNNNNNNNNNNNNNNNNNNACAUUUCUUUUGGUGCAAAAUCAUUACUUUUUCCUAUUCUUUUUUCUUUCACAUAUUCGUUACAGGCAAUAAUGGUGUCCAAAUGGGAUUUUUCACAAAAUAGAAGUGAAUCAACCUAAAAGAUGAACAUGAAAUGAAGGGUCCCUAAUAGUUUUAGGGACUCUUUUAGGAGUUUGAGAACCAUAUUAUUACUUUUAAGGCGUGCACUUGAGAAGAUACAUAGGCAUAAAAAUCAUUGCUCCUAAGUAAGAAAAAGACAGUAAUAAGUGGGCACAAAAUUUUCUCCUUUUUAUCUGUCAGCCAAAAUUAUAGUAAAAAGAACAAUUACUUCUUUCUUUUAUCAUCUCUAUAAUGGUAAUGGUGGAAUGAGGUGAAGGCCCAAAAAACAAAGGAAGAAAAGAAAAAGAAAAAGAUGCUCUUUUUGUGUAUGUCUCUCCCUCUUUUCAGCCUUUUUGCAAUGUGGGUACCAAUUUAAUUAGUGUCAAUGUCUCCACUAAGCUUAGGAAAUUGUAAUACUUAAUUUGUAGAUUAAUAUGUGAAACAAAAGAAAAAAUAUCUAACUUUGUUCACUUUUUCUUUUUUACACUGAAUAAUUGUUCCUUGGAAAGGUGGAAAAUUAGAAUUCGAGCAAUUCUCUUGGUUUUUUAUAAUUUUUUAAAAUAUUAAAAUGGUAAAAAAUAUAUAUCAAAUUUUUAAAAAUAUAACACAUUCAAAAAUAUUAAAAUUUGAAUUAUAGAUUUGCAUCUUCUAGAGAUUUCUAGCCAUCGGAUUAUUGAUUUUUAAUUCUAAUGAUAAAAUAAAGUGACUGACAACUUAUUAAUUUUUAAUUCUGAUUUCAGAAAACUAAAAAUUUUAUUGAACUUACACUCUUUAUGUCAUAGUAAAAUUAACAUUCUUUUAUAUUCAAAUUGGAUAUAAUAUAUCAUUUUAAAUAAUUUUAAAAUAUUUAUUAAUUAAUUUUAAUAAAAUUAAUUUAAAUUAUUAAUUUUUAAAAUUUUUAAAUUUAAAUUUAAAAUUUAAUUUUUGAAAUUAAAUUAUUAAUAAAAAAUUUAACCGUUUAAAUCCAAAACAACAUUAUAAAUUGUAAACACGAUGUAUCAUGUUCAGUUGAAUAUGAAAAUAUAUUAAUAGGAAAUCAUGAUAAAGAAAGAGUGAUUUCAGUGAGUAUUAUAAGAAUAAAUUAUAAAUUUACGAUAGAGAAAGAGGAAUUUUACCAAUAGAAAAUCACGAUAGAGAAAGAUUGAUUUUAGUAAAUAUCAUCCAAAUAAAUUAUAAAUUUACAAAUUAAGGAGAGAUUAUUGAAAUCCACAUACACAUACAAAAACUCAUUCAUAAUCUUUAUUCAUUUUUCAUAUAAAUAUAUAUACAGUUAUAAAAAUUAGACUCUCUUUCUUCUCCCUUUAGCAGGAAGAAAAUGGCAUAGUUAACAGGGAAAAAGAAAGGUCUCUAACUUUUACAUAUUAGUUUCAAAUAUUUUAGAAAUACUUAAUAUACAUCAUAAUUUAUUAAACACUAGUCAUUUAUUCGUGCAUUGCAUGAUUGCUAUUAUUAUUUUAUUAGUGUGAUUAUUUAAAAAUUAUUUUAAAAUAUUUAUUAAUUAAUUUUAGUAUUAUAUAAGUGAAUACAAUAAUUAAUAUUACUAUUUUUAGGAUUAAAAAUUUAUUAUAUAAUUAAAAGAUUAAUCUAUUAUUAAAAAUAAUAUUAAAAAUAUAAUUUACAAUAUUAUUUUUUAAAAUUAGAAUUAUUAUCUAAUUAAAAAUUAAUUUAAUAGUUAAUAUAAUACUAAAAUAUAAUUAAUAUGCUAUUUUUAGGAUAGAAUUAGUAUCAUUAUUUGAUUAGAGAACUCUUUAUUAGUUAAUAUAAUAUUAAAAUAUAAUUAUUAUGCUAUCUUUUAGGAUUAGAGUUAAUAUUUAAUUAUGAACGUAACUUUAUUAAUUAAUAAAUUAAUAGAAAAAAAUUAUAAAAUUACACAUAAGCUUAAAUCCUAUGUAUCAAAUAUAGUACACAUAUCAAAUUAAAAUUCUAUGUAUUAAAAAUUAAGCACACAUAUUAAAAAAAUUAAAAUUUAGAAAUUAAUAUAUAUAUAUAUAUAUAUAUAUAUAUAUAUAUAUAUAUAUAUAUAUACAUCGUUUGAUGUUGAACAUUCAAGUUGAAUUUUGUUUCAUGUUAAAAAGUUCCAGAUACUCAAAAUAUACUAUUAUUUAGUAAAUAUAUACCAUUUGUUAUUUAAUUUUUUUUGUAUUUACAUUUUAUUUCAUUCGGAAAAAAUUGAGAUACUUAAUGUAUACCGUUUUUAAUUAAAUAUAUAUCUUUUGCUGCUAUUUACAUCAAAAGUAUACUAGACAUAUACUUUUUUUAAUAUAUAUUAAACAUUUAGUUUUUUUUUAUCUUGUAGCAAUUUAUCUAAUUUUCCGAACAUGAUAUUUUCAACACGUCUUCAAAUUUUUAAAUUAGAAAAAUACCUUUUGAAUUUAUUUAUUUAUUUAUUCAUCAUUAAUAUCAUAAAAUCAAAUAAAAUACAAUAAUAUUUCACAAAAAAUAAUGUGUUUUAAUUUCAUUAUCUAUCAAAAGUAUACAAAACAUAUACAUUUUUUAUUCAAAGUAUAAUACUCAACAUAUACCUUUUCAUCUAGAAAAACAUUUUAUUUUUUAAAUAAAAGUAAAUAAAAUUUUAUUUUUAGAUAUUUUUUGGUCAUAAAUAUUUAUAAAUAUUUUUAUAAUUAUUUUAUAUUUUUGUGACAUUUAUAAAAGAAUUCUUAUUUAAUAUUAUUGUGGAGUAUUUACGUAUGCUCAAAAGUAAUAUGUUUUCUAUUUUUUUGUUUCCCAAUUUCGUUCCAUUAAGGCCCAUAAUAAUGAAUUUCUUAUGGAACAUUAUUUAAUUAAAUUCUCAGUGAAAACCAGACUUUAAGACACACCAAUUAUGGACAUUUCUUCAUCACAAAUUAAAGUAUUUUAUCCAUGAAGAUUGGAACAUUAUUAUAUUCUAUUAAAUGAAGGGUUAAUUUUCAAGAAUAAUAUUCACAUUUGAUUGAUAUAUGCGAGUUUUUAUUCUAACAUAUUAAUUUAUAAAUUUAAAUUUUUAAAUAACUAAAUUUAAUAUUCAAAAUCUAGCUCAAAUCAUUAAAUGUUUACUCUCAUUAAUGAGAAAUUUUAAAUUUGAAUCAUAUUUUCUAUAUUAUAUGUAUUUUUAUUUUUAUAAAGAUUAUAAAAAAAUAAAUAUUUAUAUUAUAUAGUAAAUGAUCUGUUAUUUUUUAAUAAAUAAAUACAUAUAUCAACUUACAUGUAAGAAUAUUUAGGUUCCCAAGAGUAAUGCUUCUUGUUGUAAUAUAUGGCUUUGAUACGACAAUUCUGGACACUUAGAAAAGAAAAUAAAGGCAAUCAAAUAGAAAUUUAAACACAUAAUUAAUGAAUGGGAUUGCAAAAAAAAAAAAAACCCAAAUCACAAAUCAUAUAUUAUUUUUAAAUGUUAAUCUUUUCACCCAUUUAUAACUAAUAAUUUAGUAUAUUCGUUUGUCGAUGAUUAAUUUUUAAAAAUUAAAUUUAUUAUUUGAAUUAGGAUUUUUAUAUUUUAAAAAAUAUUACUCAAACAGCUUCUUUUUUUUUUCUCUAAAGUUCGGACGCCGGUGGGCGCUUCUUAACCAACCGUAUAUCCGCCCGCUGCAUGCAUAUGCUAAAGCGUAACAAAUGACUUCGAAUAAUAAUUUUUAAGAUAUUUGCUAUUUAUAAAUAUAAGAUCCUCCUUAGUAAACGUUGGAUAAAAGACUUUUAGAAAUUUUUUUAAAUAUUUUAAAAUUAAUAGAAAAAUAUCAUUUUCAUUGUAAGUAUAUUUUUUAAAUUUUUUUUAAUUUUUUAUUAAAAAUACGGUAUAUGAUUAUUACUCGUUAUUUUUUAGUUAUUUUUUAGUUGUUUUUUUAAUUUUUAUAAAAAAAUAACUAAAAAAAAUAAAAAACUAAAACAUAAUUUUAAAAAAUUAAAAUAUCUUAUUUUUGAUAUUUUAACACAGUAAAAAUGAAAAAAAGUAAUACCGUAAAUUUGAUAAAAAUAAAAAAUAUGAAUAUUUUUAUUAUUUUUCUUAAAAGAUUCUAUUAAGAGUAUAAAACUAUGAAUAAGUGGAGUGUGGAUACUCGAGUAGCUUUAUGAAUUAAUUUUAAAGUUUAUAAAUUCAGUUUGAGCUAGCUUGUAAGUUUAACGUGUUUCAAUUUUUUUAAAAAUAUUUAACUAUUAUGUGGAGAGUAAGACUUAUAUUACAAAUCUCACAAAAAAUGUAAAAUCUUAUUAAUUAAAUUAUAUAAAUAAAUUAUUUUGUAUUUAUAUUGUAAAAAUUAAUUAUUUUUAUUUUUACAUUAUAAAAAUUAAAUUAUAUGAUUUUAAAUAAAAAUUGAUGAUAAUAUGUAAAUUGACAACCAUAAAAUUAUUUUAUUAAUUUAAAUAUAAUAACAAAAUAACUUUAGUAUUAGUAAACAAAAGAUUAAAUUUAUUAUUUAAGUUCUAUUAAGCUCGAACUCGACUCAAAUAAGCUCGUAUUAUUAGUUUGGAUUGCGCUUGAAUUUUUCAAAAUUCAAUUAUGCUUGAACAUGUCUAUUUAAAAUGAGCUCAAGUUCUUCAAACUCUAAUCCGCUCGUUUAUGCCUCUAAAAACCUUAUGUUAUUAAGUUAAGAUGCACUAAAUAUUAUAACACUAUAUCUGGAUUUGUCGUUCUUACACAGUUGAUGAAAGUGGAUAGAACAUAAUAGGUGAGGUAAUAUAUACCUUUGUGUUUUUGUCAAGUAUGAGUCAAUUUAGAACUCGAAAUAACAGGGUGAAAGCUCAAAUCAAGCAUCGAGCACAUACUCGCAAGUAGUUAAAAUUACCAAAAUGCCCUUGAACCAUCUCCAUGGUCCUAGACUCCUCUACCGACAUCACCAUCACCAUCAUCACGGUAGUAGUUAUUAACAUCACGGUCGCAAGGAUCAAGGGAUUAUGAGCUAGGCUUAUCAACAUCAUACCCACUAAAAUAAAGGAUAGACUGACAAAAAGCACAAAUAGCAUAAACUAAAGACGUUGAUCCAUUUAAGAGCGUGUAGAUGAGAUAGUAACGUCUCUUCUAAUCAAUGUCUCGAGUUCAAACCUUAAAUAUACAACUGUGUUAAAACUCUUGAGGAAGUAUUUUGUCACUGUAAGGGAUGAUCCAACUAAGACGAACAAAAAUCUAAAAUGGAAAAAUCAAAAUUUUCGCCUUUGGUGAGAAGGAGCUUACUAGAGUUGAGAAAAGUUUGAAUAGCAACCGCCCACAAAUAGAAUUACAGAUAAUUAUAUCAUUUACACUAAGUUUUAUUUUGAUUAUUUAUCUUCUUUUUAAUUUUAUUAUAGUCAUUUAAUUUUAAAAAUUAUAGAGCAAAUUAGUCACUUAUCUAAAAUUGAUGAUUUAAUUUAUUGAAAUAAUAACAUAUCUUAAGCAUCCAAUGUUAGACUAACACGUGCUGUAAAAAAUUGACAAGUCACUAUCUUAGUCAUUAAACUAUUUAAUCUAAUCCAAAAUCANNNNNNNNNNNNNNNNNNNNNNNNNNNNNNNNNNNNNNNNNNNNNNNNNNNNNNNNNNNNNNNNNNNNNNNNNNNNNNNNNNNNNNNNNNNNNNNNNNNNNNNNNNNNNNNNNNNNNNNNNNNNNNNNNNNNNNNNNNNNNNNNNNNNNNNNNNNNNNNNNNNNNNNNNNNNNNNNNNNNNNNNNNNNNNNNNNNNNNNNNNNNNNNNNNNNNNNNNNNNNNNNNNNNNNNNNNNNNNNNNNNNNNNNNNNNNNNNNNNNNNNNNNNNNNNNNNNNNNNNNNNNNNNNNNNNNNNNNNNNNNNNNNNNNNNNNNNNNNNNNNNNNNNNNNNNNNNNNNNNNNNNNNNNNNNNNNNNNNNNNNNNNNNNNNNNNNNNNNNNNNNNNNNNNNNNNNNNNNNNNNNNNNNNNNNNNNNNNNNNNNNNNNNNNNNNNNNNNNNNNNNNNNNNNNNNNNNNNNNNNNNNNNNNNNAUAAAUUGUCAAAAUUUAAAUAAAUGACCAAUCUACAAACAAAAAUAAAUUAUAUAACUAAAAUAAAACUUAGUACGAGCUAAGUGACUAUUGCUAUAAUUAUCCCGAUAUGAGUAUCAUCAAUCUAACAACACCACCAACUAAGAAAAGAAAAAUCCAAAUAACUAAUUGUUUGGCUUGCCAGGUUUUGGCUAUGCUCAUGACCUAUGCCUCGGAUUAGAUCUUUUUAAAUCAAAAUCUUGACAAUUUCACAUGUCUUGUUAUUAAGGAUUAGAGAAGUUUUUAGACCUCUGCUUGAAAUAGGACUCCAAAUUUAGUAUAGAAUAGAACUUUUUUUUUUUUUACGUUUGUAGAGAGUCAUAUGGACUGUUUUUCCUUUAUAUAUUAGACCUUUAGGACUUGUAUAUAUACCAAAAUGUUUUUAUUCUAUUAAUUAAGAAAUCAAAUUCUUCAUAUCAUAAAUCUAUUUAUGGUAUCAGAGCAUUCCGAUCCGGAAUCAUCAAACACCAAACACCUUAUGUCGAUAAAAUCAACCAUGAAGACUGAGAUUCAAUCUAUCUCAGCACCCAUUAUCGCACAAAGGAAUCCUGAAGCAUGGGAGCAUCCAAACCACCCCCUGCAUCUCAAUCACAAUGAUCAACUAGGAAUAUCGCUUGUUCAACAACCUUUGGCAAAAGAUAACUACAUCACAUGGUCUCAAUCUAUGAAGAUGGCUCUCACCAUAAAAAAAUAAAACUGGUUUUAUCGAUGGUACCUUAUCUGUUCUAGAACCAAAUUCAGUAGACUAUCAUCAAUGGAAAAGGUGCAACAUUCUCGUCAAAACAUGGCUUCUUGAUGCUCUUUCCAAGGAUAUCUCAGGCGGCGUUAUUCACUGCCGAAUAACAAGGGAUAUGUGGCUCGAUCUACUCGAAAGGUUUUCUCAAACUAAUUCAGUAUAAUUAUUUAAUAUCGAAAGUUCUAUCCAUGCAUGCACACAAAAGUCCGAAUAUGUGACUGCUUUCUUUGUCAAACUGGAAACUCUUUGGGAUGAGAAAGAUGCACUUAAUGCAUUCCCAUCAUGUCAUUGUGAAGCUACCUCCCAGAUCAAGACCUACCUAGAAUCUUAGAAAACUAUGCAAUUCCUAAUGGGAUUAAGAGAACAAUUUGCAAGUGUACGUAGCAUGGUCAUUAGCAUGGAUCCUUUGCCCGGGAUCAACAAAGCUUACUCAAUGGCUUUAUGCCAAGAAAAACAAGUUGUUGGCUCUAUUCCCCAACCUGCUGCAGAAACAUCGGCAGCUUACAUGAUCAAGAAACCACCAACAUGGUAUCAACGUUCAAAUGAUAAUAAAACUAGAGUUGGAGAAAGGAAGUGUGAUAAAUGCGGGAUGAAUAACCAUUUAACCCAACAAUGUCGAGCACACCUCAAAUGCACCUACUGUAAUGGUGAAAGGCACACAUGGAAAUACUGCAGAAAGCGGAAAGCUGCACUUAAGACCAAGGAGGGACAGAUUAACCAUAACAAUUCCACUACAGAUACAAAUCAAUUUCCUCUUUCACAAGAUGAAUGUGGACAGAUGAUAGACCUCCUCAGAAAAUUCAAGAAAAUGUCCCCAGACACAAAAGCUUAUAACACAUUGCUUUGCAACAUGAACACACACCAGCCUUCAUCUGCUACCAUGCCGCUACAUAUGAGGAGUUUACAAGUACAUAACCAAACUCAGCUUGGAUACUUGAUAGUGGUGCUAGAGACCAUAUUGUGUGUGACCCCAAACUCCUAACCACAGUCUCACCUAUCACUACACGGGUUGUGCGAUUGCCUGAUAGCAAGAUCUAUAUUGUUACACACAUAGGCACUGUGGUGUUCUCUCCUACGCUCAUACUACACAACGUCCUGUGUCUUCCAUUAUUUCAUAUGAAUCUGGUCUCCAUCAGCAAACUAGCAUACGAUUCAUUCUUCACCACCAUAUUUAUCAGACAACUUUGUUUCAUAUAGGACCUACAAUCAGGAAAGACGAUUGGGAUGGGAACUGAAUGUGAAGGCCUAUAUUACCUCAGCACUCCUCAUGGAAAACUUGUGAAGUGCAACGUGAUACAAAAGGCAUCAGUUCCCUUAUGGCAUCGCAGAUUCGGACAUCCAGCAAACAAAGUCAUACCCAUCUUCCUUUUUCUUAAGAAUAUAGAACCACCAGUUAGUACAUGUGAUAUAUGUCCAUUGGCCAAGUUAACCAGACAACCAUAUUCAAUAAAACCUUCCUUUAGAGAUACAUGUUUUGAUUUGAUUCAUGUUGACAUAUGGGGAGGCUACCAAAUUCCCACAUUUUCUGGUGCAAAGUACUUUCUCACAAUUAUAGAUGAUCACUCAUGAUGCAUUUUGAUCUACCUUAUGAAACACAAGUCAGAAACACAGCAGCUCCUUACCAACUUUAUUACCCUUGCCGAGACACAAUUUGGACAUAAGGUUUGAACCGUAAGAAGCGACAAUGGCCCUGAAUAUAAGUUAUAUCAACUCUACUCCAGUAAAGGCAUAGAACAUCAGACAAGCUACAUAAACACACCUCAACAAAACUCAGUUGUGGAGCGCAAACAUCGACAUCUUCUCAACAUGGCAAGAGCUUUACUGUUUCAAGCUCACCUACUAAAUCCUUUCUGGGGAGAGGCAAUACGACUGCGGCAUACCUCAUCAAUUGUACACCCUCACCACUCCUUCAAGGAGACACACCUUUCCAAAAACUAUUUGGAAAGGAACCAACAUAUUCUCACCUAAAGGUCUUCAGAUGUAAAUGUUUUGCUUCUAUACAU